UUUUUUUUUUUUUUGCCUUUUUCCUUUUUUUUGCAGUUUCCUUUUUUUUUAUUGCUUUCUAUCUUUUUUUUUUUUGACAGGGGAGGGGGCAAUCGGAGGGGUGGGAUGGCGUGGCGCGGUUGUCUGGUCACGACCAGGGGGUACGGCACGAGGGGUGGGGGGUGUUCGCGCGAGGGGACAACGCGAGGGGGGGCGGUGGGCGCGGCGUGGUAGGAUUGGCGAGUAGCGGAACGGCGGCGGCGAAAACUAGGGUUAGAAGAAAAAUGAGAAACAAGAGAUUAAACACAAGUAACCAGCAACAAUUAAACGAGUAAGCACACAAAUUCAACAAAGACACUUAUUGAAAGAAUGUGCGAGGCUAAACGGUUGCUGGGACAAGGAUCUAACCUGAAAAAAAAAUUGUUUUGGUUUUUGUGGACUGUAGGAAGGGAAAAGCACUCGUUAAAACUCACCGAUCAACCUGGAAAGCUGAUACCACUUGAUAAAGGCGGAGUGCCCGAUCUUUCCGUGAGUGGAGAUAAUUUCGAUUUGGUGGAAGUAGACCCUCACGAUCCAACUACGACGAGCAAACCCGAAGCGCCAAUGCAAUCGCUGAACCAAGUCCUGAUGGUUACCAACCUCGCCAGUGCGAGAUCAGCCUGAUCACAAAGAUCGCUUCCUGCACGCAAUCAAAAAAUGAACAAGAAAAAGACACGAGCAAUCUCAAUAUCACUCGAAGGUGGAGUUCUGAAUCACACGAGGAUAGCACGUAUUUGCGUGUGUUCGAGAGUAGCUAAAGCUAUAUGAAAACAAAACUCAAGUUGUACAAAAGGGACUCCGACUAAAUAAAGGGGGCGCAGCCCCUGAAGUCCGGAGGAGGCGCCACGGCAAGAGGGGGGGCACGCGACCAGGGGGACGGCUGCGGCUCCCAACCCUAGGCGCCCCACCUGGGCUGCCCUGUUGGGCCAUCUUCUUAUUCCGCUGGGCCUUUGUUCCUUAACAACAUGAUGAAGUUUAAUUCUCUCACACGGGCCCGAGUGAUUGGCCCAACUGGAUGAUCAACUGUAGGUGCCUGAGGUGGAGGAGCAACUGGAGGCGCCUAAGGUGCUGCUGGUGUAGAUGUACUCGUGGUGUCCUCAUCACUUGCUCUGGCGCGCUUGACCUGAGAGAUCCAUGGGAUCUGCUUCUGGGUCCAUCUUCCAGUCUCUGGCUCUCCCAAAAUCCGAACUGCACCACAUCUGCUACCUUAACAAAAGUUGUAGAACUCAGGCCAAGGCCCAACUCUUGUAAGUGGUUCGAGUCCAAGAACGCAGUGGAUUUGGGGAUCCAAAGCUCCAAAGUUGGGAGGAACACUGGUUUCGGGACUUAGAGAAAAACGGAGGUUUGCUAGGCUUCAGGGGUCGGGGCUGAUUGAGCUGCAGAUUUGGGAACCUUCGGAGACGAAUUGGACCAAGGUCCAACUAAUAAAGUUGUAGCAGUGACUUCGUUCUCCAACUCCCAUAAAGGAAUUUCUAGACGUUCAGCUUAACUUACCAAAGAUAAAGGAACUUGUCUUAAGGCGCGAGACAAGACUGAUUUUCCAGACAUAGCCAUAGUGGCUAAAGGAGUUUGAGUUGACCAGAUCAGGGAACUUGUCUUAAGAUUGAACUCGGCUGAUUUAAACCUAAGUCGUUACACACUAUCUACAACAAUAAAGCAUGUGCUCGUGGUCAGUAACGAGUACCAAUUUAAAGACAAAGAUCAAGAUAGCAGUAACACCUACCACGGUGGCCAGGGGGUCAGCUAUCAGCUAGUCUCUCUCUUGGUUCACCAUGGGAGGGAGUUGUGUGCCAUCAUGUUCCCCGGCAGCCGGCGCAUCGAGAGGGACCAUCGUCUGGCUGGAUGAUGGACCAACCUCUGACAACAAAGAGGUAGUGGCCACGCGACUAGUUGACGCCCUCACCUUAGACAGCGGGAGAACAGGCAACACUUGCAGUGCCCCGGCAGCCUCCACAUUAGCUUCUGGCUCGGGGGCUACACGUGCACCCUCGACUUCGUCGGCAGCCACCACUUCAAUCUUGGCUUCUAGCUCCCACUUCAAUCUUUGCUUCUAGCUCCACCUCGGCCUCCAGUUCUGGAUUAGCAUCCGGAUUUAGCAUCAUCGCUACCAACUCCGUCACCAUCGCGGAGGUACUCUCCACGAUGGGUUCGGCCUCCGGCAGCUCAGGGGCUAGCACUAGAGAAAUGUCAUGUGAUGACAACAAGUCGUGCAUAAGAGCUGUUAUAGAAGAUACCACACCUAGGGCAACCUCGGGCACGAGCUGAUCCUUUGGCGGCGGGACAGCGGGCUCCAAGGCCGGCUCGGGGGCUGAACAGCUACUACCAUUAGCUCCAGACCCUGAAAUGACUUCCUGGGCUGAGUGGCUACUUCCAUCAGCACCAGACUGAGUACUCGGGCCCUCGGUUUCCAUGCUGGCAGAUCUCCUAGAACAAGGCAAGCGUUAAAUGCGUUACUCGAUGAUACUACUUGAUGACAUCAAGUCGAUAUCGGCACUCGAAUACUUACUGGGUGGACCUCCUAAUCUUGAUGGAGGGCUCGAUUCCUAGGCACAGCAUCUUGACAGUUGGUGAUGACUUCUUCGGCAUGUCUUGCUAGCUCACAGGUGGAUCCUCACCAGCCUUAGCUGUCGUCUCCUUCCUUUGGGUACCUGGCACCGGGAUUUCUUGUAUGGUCGGUAGCCUUCGCCGCCUCAAGAUUAGAGUAGUCGGUUCUUCUACCUCUGUCUCUUCCUCAACUACCUGCACAUUAGCAAGAUCAAAGUCAAAUUCUGGUGAUUUAGCAAACAAUGAACAGGUACUCGAUCCUCAGGAUCUUGUUACCUAGGGAGGGACUUCAUUGGCCGACGAUUUCAUCGCCACCCGUUUGGCAGUGGUAGUACGCGCCUUCUUCGGGAGUGGCGCCACUUCAACUUCUGGAAUGUCCUUUGCCGCAUGCUUGGACGUCCCCGACAAUGACCCCGCCUUGUCAGAUAGACAGGGCUUCACAACAUACUUUUCAGCAGACUCUCAAUCAGAGUUGCUGAGGGAGGACCAGUCUGGAGACCCCUCCUUUUCUCCUUCCUUCUCCUCCUUCUCCUCGAAUGCCUUCUGCAUAGCCUCAAGGGACUGCAUAUGGGGCGUGACAUCAGCACCUGGUGGAGGCUUGAGCACCUUCUAGCUGUAUGGCAGUACUCGAGCACAUUCGAAGACUUAAUCCGAGUACUCAAAGGAGCACCACAAACUAGUUGGUGACAUCUACAGAAGUACUUGGGACUGCUGCAUUUGACUAAAAAAUACUUAGGGGCUUGUCAGCCAUAGACCUAUGGGCCCACCGGGAGGCUUGAAUAGUUCUACAACACUGGGCUAUACACCAAGACAUAUCAGACAUGAAGACUACGGUGCAGGACAGCAUGGUCUACAUGGCGGAGAAGGACUAGUCAAGGAUUAGGAAACUACUCAUAGCAAUUAGAGUAGGACUCUCUAGUCGAAUCCGACUACUCUUGUACAACAACCAACCUGUAACCCUACCCCCGGCAAUAUAAGGCAAGGCAGAGACCCCCUCCAAACAUCUCAUUAAUCAAUACAAUCAACCAACACACAGGACAUAGUGUAUUAUGCAACAUGAGCGGCCUAAACCUGUCUAAAUCAUGUGUUCGAGUUCACCUUCGAGUUCCUGGUCUUCGGCGAGCCCCACGCACAAAACACUACCUCGGGUACCCCCUCAGUAGGUUGCCGGGUCUAAACACCGAUAGGGUCAUGUACUUUGAUGGAUCACUGAAGCUCGAGGGCACCGGUGCAGGAGUACUCUUAAUAUCUCUCAAGGGGAACAACUCAAAUAUGUCUUGCAAAUCUUCUGGGAGGUAUCCAACAAUGAAGUUGAAUACGAGGCACUUCUGCAUGGGCUCUGCCUAGUAGUUUCGCUGGGAAUCAAGUGAUUGUUGGUCUACGACAACUCACUGGUGGUAAUUAAUCAAGUCAACAAUAAGUGGGAUCGCCACAAGGAGGACAUGGAUGCGUAUCACCUGGAAGUACGCAAGUUAGAGAACAAGUUCUCUGGUCUGGAGUUCCACCAUGUAGCUCGCGACAACAAUGUAGCCGCGGAUAUCUUAUCCAAACUUGGAUCUACUCGUGCUCAGGUUCUAGCCGGGGUCUUCAUCCAUGAGCUACACAAGCCAUCCAUAGUGGAGCUGACGCCAUCAAAAAUCAUCGAUCAAGGUCAUGAUGCACCAGAAUGGAAGGUUAUAAUGAUUGGUGUAGACUGGAGAAGUCCCAUUAUCAACUACACCAAGGAGCACAAGUUACCUCCAGACAAAACAGAAGUAGAACAAGUCUCAUGAUGUGGCAAAAACUAUGUUCUAGUCGGGGACAAGCUCUAUAGAAGAGGCGCAUCAUCAGGAGUACUCAUAAAGUGUGUCUCACAGCAAGAUGUCAAGGACAUACUGGAGAAAAUUCAUACCAGCAUCUGCGGCAAUCACACAUCCUCAUGAACAAUCAUGGGCAAAGCUUUCAAAGUAGGGUUCUAUUGGCCUACAACUCUUGCUGAUGCCAAGGAACUAGUCCGCCGAUGCCAAGGAUGUCAAUUUUUUUCCAAGCAACAACACGUCCCUACCUACAAGCUGAUCACUAUACCACCCUCUUGGCCCUUCGCAUGCUGGGGGCUAGACAUGAUUGGCCCACUGCCUACGGCGCCUGAAGGAUUCAACCAAGUACUGGUGGCGAUCGACUAGUUUACCAAGUGGAUCGAGGUGAAGCUAGUGACCUGCCUAAGGAAGAUAGAGUACUUGAUUUCCUCAACAAAAUUCUCCAUCUCUAUGGCUUUCCUAAUCACAUUAUCACAAACCUGGGCUCCAAUUUCAACAAUCACAAGUUCUGGGAGUACUGUGAGAACAGUAGGAUUGACGUUUGGUAUGUCUCUGUCACUCAUCAUGGGCCAAUGGUCAGGUUGAGCGUGCUAACGGGAUGUUACUGGGAGCUCUCAAGAAAAGACUAUACAAUAUUGGAAACACAAAGGGGGGCAAGUGGCUCAAGGAGCUACCCAAUGUUCUCUACGGAUCAGAAGUCGUCCUCCCCGCUGACAUCACGUGGAAAUCUCCAGUAAUCGAGCAGUACGAGGAGGGCGAGGUAGAUGAAAAAAGGCGUGUAGACUUACACAGUCUCGAAGAAGCUCACUAUGCAACACUUGUUCAAUCUGCAAGGUACCUUGAAGGAAUCUAUCAUUAUCAUGAUCGCAACAUCAAAGAACGUUCAUUCAAUACAGGCGACAUGGUCCUCAAUCGCAUCCAAGAUACCUAGGGACUGCACAAGCUAAAUUUGUCAUGGGAGGGUGUUUUCAUCGUCUCCAAGGUCACUAGACCUGGGUUGUAUAGGCUCCAACACCUCUCUGGCGAAGAUGUCGACAACUCAUGGAACAUCGAGCAACUUUGUCGAUUUUAUCCUUAAGUUUAAAUAUUCAUGUAAAUUGGCCAUCAGUCUCAAUUGUAUAAUUACAAUUUAAUAAAGUAGAUUUAUUUUUCAUCGUAAAAUGACUACCUAUUCCUGCUUAAUUAUGACUUGCAAAGCAAGUUCGUAGAGCUACUCAGCUCCCUAAGCACUAACGCCCAACUCGCAGCUUGUAAUCACAAGUUUGUACAAGGCUAUUCAGCCUUUGGGACAAAAUUUCCCACAUGCGGCUUGCAAAAACAAGUCUACAGAGGUAUUUUGUGAGUUAUUCAACUCAUUGGACAAGUUUGUCCUCCGACGUCCUUCAAAAAAAGAAGUCGUCAGCAAGUUGGGAGUUAUUUGGACUACCCGAUCUUUUCUUAUCUAGCCAAGUCUGUCUAGUCACAACUUAUAAUAACAAGCCUGUAGUUCCAAGCUUUCGAGAGCACAACAUCUGAACAACCCAAAGAGGUUGCAAGGAUAGGCUCCAAUCAAAGAAAUCUUGAAGACUCUACUUGUCUAAGGAGUAAGACUACCCAGAUGCCCUGAGUCCUUGCACUCCACAGAAAGGAGUUGCAUCCUAAAGUAAUCUACACCGUGUAUCUGAGAAAGCUCAUAAGAGUAGCCUUGUGCGCAAACACUUACAACUACCGUACGAGGAACUAUUAGGGUAGUUCAUAAGAUGCACUAAAAACUAACAAGUUGACAGCAACAAAAUUGUAAUAAGACUUCAAAUAAUUUACAUUUCAUUCAAAUCAUGUUUAUAUUACAAUGAACUGAUGUUUAUUUUUUACAGAAACUACUCAAGGUCUAAUUGCCUAGCUUAAUACCGCUGCGAGUUUUCAGGAAAUAUUGAAGUGUGCCUAUUCACCCCCUCCCCCCCCCUAAGCAUCAAAAGACCCUUUCAAGCUCCAACAUUUUUCAAUCCAAAAGUCAUGACUACCCAUUCGAACAAACCGAGAUGGCCAGGACACCUGAAAGCCAUUUUGGAGAUGUCUUCUUUGGCCAUUAAUACUUGAUUGUACCCGAUGUUGCCGUCCAUAAAGCUGAUGACCUUGUGUCCUACGGCAGCAUCUAUUAAAACAUCAGCCGUCGGCAUUCGGGUAUCCGUCCAUCGGUGUAGCUUGGUUAAGAUUUCUGAAAUCAAUACAAACACGUAGUUUUCCAUUCUUGUUAUAUACAGGGACAAUGUUAGAAAUCCACUCGGCAUAUUGACACUGCCGAAUAAACCCUGCUAAUCAGUCUUGUGAUUUCGGCCUUUAUAUCAGGUAAGAUUUUUGGAUUACAACAUCAUGCGGGCUGCUGAUAUGGCCAAUACCCUGGUUUUAUGGACAACCGGUGUUCGACAAUGGACCGGUCUAGACCAGGCAUUUCAUGAUACUCCCAAGCAAAGCAAUCUUUCAAUUCCCUUAACAAAUCUACUAACUCGCGCUUAUACUCAGGGUCUAACUUAGCACUAAUAUACGUCGACCUUGCCUUGCUACCAUCUGCAAGAUCUACCAUCUCUAACGAAUCGGCCGACGUAAACCCGUGCCCAAGCUUUCCAUCUUCUCGGAUGAACUCACCCAUUUAAGAUGAUUCUUCUGAGCCGACUGCUUGGAUUGGUUGUAGACCGAAAUCGGACACCUUCAAGAAAUCAGUGUCUCCUAGGUCUCGCCGGAUAUGCACCUGAUGUCUUCGUAGCUCCAUUGUUGGGCAUCAGCUGCGGCAACGCUAUAAGAGGAGUCGGCGGUGACCACUUCAAUUGUGCCGCCGAUCCACUGGACGAGGCAUUGGUGCAUUGUAGAUGGGAUGCAGCAGUUCGCGUGAAUCCAGUCUCGCCCAAGCAGCAUAUUAUAGGACCCUUUACCAUUAAUGACAAAGAAAGUAGUGGGUACGGUUUUACUAUCGAUGGUGAGGUUGACGCAGAGUGCCCCCGGGCAGGGGAUAUGUUGCCUUCGAAGUCCUUGAGCAUCAUGUCUGUCUUGCUCAAGUCUUCUUCGCCCUUGCCAAGUUUCUGGAACAUGGCAUACGGCAUGAUAUUCACUGCUGCGCCUCCAUCUACCAACAGCUUGGUGACGGGUUUUCCGUUGACUUGCCCUUUGAGGAACAGAGCCUUGAGAUGCUGGCGUUUCUCAUCUUCAGGUUUUUCGAAAGUAGCAGUCAUUGGCUCCAGAGCCAAUUGUGCCAUGUGUUCUUCUAUUUCUGUUGCGUCGCGGUCGGCGGGAGCCAUGAACUCCAUUGGUUAGAUGAACACCAUGUUGACGUCGGCAGCCGAACCCUAACCGUCAUUUUCUUCAUCGGCUUUUCUCCUGGGGCACCAAACUUGAGAUUUGACACCAUUCCUAUCCACCGCCAGCCUCUGUUCUUCUUCUUGUUGUUCCCAUUGGCGCAAACGCUAGACCCUUCUUUUCUGGGAUUUGGUCAAACCAUCCGGGCACCAUCUGGGGUUCACCGGUUUUUUUGGCAGCUCUGUACGUUCCCAGUCCGGCUCUUGGCCCAAUGGAUUUUCAUCGGAGACUCUUGAGUCGACUAUUUCUCCCAGCCGAUCAUACGCGCUAGCUCUGCCCCUCCAGCCAAUUACGCUCGUAUACUCUGCCCCCCAGCUGAUCACGCACUGAAACAUGCCAAUCCUCUUGUUCAAGCGUGUUUCUGCUGAUCGGCUCCAAUCCUCGUGUUCGAGAGUAGCUAAAGCUAGAUGUAAAACAAAAACUCAAGUCGUAAACAAAAGGGACUCCGACUAAAUAAAGGGGGCGCAGCCCCUGGAGUCCGGAGGAGGCGCCACGGCAGGAGGGGGCGCGCGCGACCAGGGGGAGGGCCGCGGCUCCCAACCCUAGGCGCCCCACCUGGGCUGCCCUGUUGGGCCAUCUUCUUAUUCCGCUGGGCCUUCGUUCCUUAACAGCAUGAUGAAGUUUAAUUCUCUCGCACGGGCCCGAGUGAUUGGCCCAACUGGAUGAUCAACUGUAGGCGCCUGAGGUGGAGGAGCAACUGGAGGCGCCUGAGGUGCUGCUGGUGUAGAUGUACUCGUGGUGUCCUCAUCAUCCUCCCCUUCUUGAACUGAAGUCGUCCUCGACAGCAACUCCUCAUCUUCGCCCACAUACGGUUUCAAAUCUGCAACAUUAAAACUCAUGGAAACACCAAACUCCGCAGGCAGGUCAAGGAUAUAAGCAUUAUCAUUAAUCUUGGUUAGCACUUUAAAAGGACCAGCAGCACGUGGCAUCAAUUUAGAACGACAUAAAGUAGGAAAACGAUCCUUUCUCAAAUGCAAUCAAACCAGAUCACCCGGUACAAAAGUAACAUGUUUUCUCCCUUUACUACCCGCAACCUGAUAUUUAGCAUUAGCAGCAGCAAUGUUUUGUUGAGUUUGCUCAUGCAAGCUAAUCAUUUGAUCAAAAUGUGCAGCGGCAUCAAUGUGUGGGGUGUCGUCGGCAUCAAGUGCAAACAAAUCAAUAGGCGCCCGAGGAAUAUAACCAUAAACAACCUGAAAGGGACACAUCUUGGUAGAAGAAUGCGUUGCAUGAUUAUAAGCAAACUCAACAUCAGGCAAGCAAUCUUCCCAACGUUUCAAGUGUUUAUCUAAAACAGCCCAAAGCAUGGUGGACAAGGUUCGAUUAACCACCUCAGUUUGUCCAUCAGUCUGAGGGUGACAAGUGGUGCUAAACAGCAAUUUAGUUCCCAUUUUAUUCCACAGUGAUCUCCAAAAAUGACUGAGAAACUUAGCAUCACGAUCAGAGACUAUUGUAUUUGGAAUACCAUGCAAACGAAUAAUCUCGCGAAAGAACAAUUCAGCAACAUUGCUAGCAUCAUCAGUCUUAUGACAAGGUAUAAAAUGAGCCAUUUUGGAGAAACGAUCAACAACCACAAAAAUACUCUCCCUCCCCUUCUUAGUUCUAGGAAAUCCCAAAACAAAGUCCAUAGAAAUAUCAAGCCAAGGGGAAGUGGGAACAGGCAAAGGCACGUACAAACCAUGGUUGUUCAAUCGUGACUUAGCUUUCUGGCAAGUAGUGCAGCGUGCAACAAGGCGCUCAACAACGCGCAUCUGGGGCCAAAAGAAGUGGGCAGCCAGCACUUCAUGCGUCUUGUAGACACCAAAGUGCCCCAUGAGACCGCCUCCAUGCGCUUCCUGUAACAACAAACGAUGAACCGAGCUAGCUGGAACACACAGCUUGUUAGCGCGAAACAGGAACCCAUCCUGUAUGUGAAAUUUGCCCCAUGGUUUGCCAUGAAUACAAUGGGCGAAAGCAUCUUUAAAAUCAGCAUCAUCCACAUAUUGAUCCUUCACAGUUUGCAAGCCAAAGAUUUUAAAAUCUAACUAUGACAGCAUGGUAUAGCGACGAGACAAAGCAUCAGCAAUGACAUUUUCCUUCCCGCUCUUGUGUUUAAUAAUGUAAGGGAGACUCAAUGAAUUCUACCCAUUUAGCAUGACGACGGUUCAGGUUUGUUUCGGUACGAAUAUGUUUUAAAGCCUCAUGAUCAGAAUGAAUUAUAAACUCGCGAUGCCAAAGGUAGUGCUACCAAGUAUGCAAAGUGCGCACUAAAGCAUAAAGCUCCUUAUCAUAAGUAGAAUAAUUCAAGCUAGCACCACUUAAUUUCUCACUAAAGUAAGCAACCGGUUUUCCUUCUUGUAACAAAACAGCACCUAGCCCAAUACCACUAGCAUCGCAUUCAAGCUCAAACACUUAAGUAAAAUCAGGCAACUGCAAGAGAGGAGCAUUGGUUAACUUAUCUUUCAAGGUGCUGAACGCAACCUCUUGCGAAUCACUCCAAGCAAAGGGAACAUCCUUCUUUGUAAGCUCAUGUAGAGGCGCUGCAAUGGAGCUAAAAUCAUGAACAAACCGGUGGUAGAAACCUGCAAGGCCAAGAAAGCUUCGAAUUUGUGUGACCGUCGUCGGUGUAGGCCACGCCCGAAUGGCAUCGAUCUUGCUGCUAUCCACCUCAAUGCCCUGUGGAGUAACAACAUAGCCAAGAAACGAGACACGUUGUGUGCAAAACAUGCAUUUUUCGAGGUUAGCAAAUAAAUGGGCCGCACGCAACGCAUCAAAAACAGCACGCAAAUGAUCUAAAUGCUCUUCCAUAGACUUGCUGUAAAUGAGGCUAUCAUCAAAAUAGACAACUACAAAUAAUCCUAUGAAGGGCCUCAGAACUUCAUUCAUCAAACGCAUAAAUGUGCUGGGAGCAUUUGUCAAACCAAACGGCAUAACCAACCAUUCAUAUAACCCAAAUUUUGUUUUAAAACCUAAAUUUGCACGUGUUCGAGAGUAGCUAAAGCUAGAUGUAAAACAAAAACUCAAGUCGUAAACAAAAGGGACUCCGACUAAAUAAAGGGGGCGCAGCCCUUGGAGUCCGGAGCAGGCGCUACGGCAGGAGGGGGGCGCACGCGACCAGGGGGAGGGCCCCGGCUCCCAACCCUAGGCGCCCCACCUGGGCUGCCCUGUUGGGCCAUCUUCUUAUUCCGCUGAGCCUUCGUUCCUUAACAGCAUGAUGAAGUUUAAUUCUCUCGCACGAGCCCGGGUGAUUGGCCCAACUGGAUGAUCAACUGUAGGCGCCUGAGGUGGAGGAGCAACUGGAGGCGCCUGAGGUGAUGCUGGUGUAGAUGUACUCGUGGUGUCCUCAUCAAUCUUCGUACCGGCGCAUCAUUUCUUCCCAGCGCUUCAUGUCCUCUCGUUGCCUUUGAUACUUGUUGAGCAGAUCCUGGGACGUUACAGACUGACGCGGCCUCUCCGAGUUUUCAUCCUCCGUUUCCACCCGGCCUUUUCCCUUAACAUCUCUGGCCGAGAUCUGAUUCCUGAAGUCCACCGUGCUGCUCCUUCUAGCCGAUUCUAACGUUGGCACCUUGGUUUGGAGCGCGUUCUUUCCGCCGAUGUCAACCAUGUUGGCUGGGAAGGGGUGCCGGUCGAUCUUCAUUGGCUUCACUGGCUUCGUGGGACCUCAAAUUUAAGUCUCCCUUGCUCAAAGGCCGACUGUAUCUGUUGAUGGAAGACCUUGCACUCAUUGGUGUCGUGAGACGUGGCUUUGUGCCACUUGCAGCACUUCAUCUUCUUAAGCUGCUCGACCGACGGAAUUGUAUGGUAGGGUGAAAGCUUGAUUUGUCCUUCCUAUAGCAGUAAGUCAAAGAUUUUAUCACCCUUAGAUGUAUCGAAGCCGAACGUUUUCGGUUCCUUUUUACCAAAUAGGCAUGAGAUUGGCUUUUUGCCCUUGACCCAUUUUGCCAAGCCGAUCUCUGCCUCUUCUUCUGACUUGGACCCUUCCACGUACGUCACCUUUUUCUGGAAGGGGCGCAUUUCCUGACCGGACAGUCGGUGAACUAUUUGGCUCAAACUCUCGAACUCCUGGAAAGCGGUAUCGGCCAGCUGGGCGUCGGUCAAAACCAGACAGUAGCACUUGUUCCUGACUUCUCUGAAUCUCUGUAUGUAACUGGCCACUGACUUGUCGCUUCUCUAUUUGAGUCCAGUUAAAUCUGAAAGCUUCACCUCGUGGACCCCUGCAAAGAAGUACUUGUGGAAUUGUUUUUCCAAAUCGGCCCAAGUGAUGAUGGAGUUAGGCGGCAGCGUCGUAAACCAUUGAAAGGCCGACUCGGAUAGGGAUGAUGAGAACAAACGUACCCUCAAAGCAUCUUGUGCAGCAGCUUCUCGCACUGGAUGAUGAAUCUGUUGACGUGCUCCACCAUAGACGUGUCAUCUUGGCCCGAGAACUUAGUGAAGUCAGGCACCUUGUACCGAUGCGGGAACAGCAACAGGUCGUAAGCAGGUGGGUAUGGCGUACUGUAAGUGUAGGUUUGUACUUUUGGUUUCAAUCCAAACUGGUCUUAUAUUAUAUCCGCUAUUCUAGCGGUCCAAUCCACCUGUUGCUGAUGCACAAUCGGCUGAGCCAUCGGCAUAUGUUGUUGAACUUGCGGCACUGUGAUUGGGUGGAAGAUUGGAGCAUGCUGCAGAUCUUGCGGCUGGACUGUUGGUUGAGGAGCCGAUGGCUGUUGAUGAGCGGGAUCCACGUGUUGUAGCACAUCUGCUGCCUCAUCGUACCCUAUUGGCGCGACAGUCCUGAGAGGAUCCUGGACACCGGCCCCCUCUGCCGAUUUUCGGAGCAGCCUGUUGAUAUUGCGGGACUGUCGGCCGAGAAGCUGAUGGAAAUGGCAUCUGUACCAGAGAUUUUGGGGUGUGAACUCCUGGAGGCACCCCAUAACCAGUGGAUGGAUCUAGAUUAGCAGGUACACUCGCCGCUCCCCACUGCGCUGACGUCAUCAACGGCGUUUGCACGGAAGGGAAAGGUUUAGGGUGAAAUGGUACUUGCGAUUGGAUGGGUGGCGUACCACCAUAACCCAAGGGCAACGUGGUGUUGUACCCCCCGGUCUGCAUAUGCAUCGGCUAAGGAGCCGAUUGGAACAUGUUGGGUGCUGCGAAAAGCCUUUGACCGGUGCGCUGAUAGGGGGUGCGUAAGAUGGUCCUUGAUACCCCUGUGCCACACCAUUGGCCAUGUAGCUAAUGACGGUGUUGUACACUGUGUGAGUCAUCACCUUGGACUAAUCAAUCAUAGCCUGAUAAACAGACUGUUGGAUCAUCUCGGACAUCCUCCCCGAGUCUUCGGCGAUGGUGAUCUGGCGAGGAAUUGGAAGUGCACUCUUUUUGACAGGCUCCCCACUUCUGGUACGACUGUAGGAUUGCAGGCAUGCCUUCUUGAAGUCUUCAAUAGCCUUUGUCAACUCAUCCCUUUGGUCGUCCUUGAGAUCUGCUUUAGUGACUUCAAUGAUGUUGUCUUCUGAGAUUUCGGCACCCUUCGACAUGUUGGAUCUUGUUUCUGGUCCCACCGGGCGUGCCAAAAAUGUGUUGACACUAAAAAUCGGAUGAUGGCUCUAGCUCCUGCGUCGGACACACGACCUGGGAGAAUCUGCUUAGCUCCUGUUCGGGUUAUCACUCUGGUGCGGUUCACGCGACGUGCCAGUCAAUCUAACCUGUUGAUUGAUAAGGAAAGAAAAGGUAUUAAAUUGCAAGGGUUCGAUCGGCUGAAGUUCCAAUCUAUUUCAAAGGGUGUAUCAGCGAAUCGACCAAUUUAGUGUAAGGAUGAUCGGCUAUGAAACAAUUGAUAACCACGUGGCAAAUGUAAAAAAAACUACUGGAGUAACCUAAAUAACGCUACGGAUUCAACACUUGGAACAAAUCUAAUCGGCUGUGUGAUGAUAAACAAAAUAUUGGUAUAGCCGACAAUUCGUAUCUCAAGCUGGAUAACUAGUGAUAAAAACUAAAAUAACAGGUAAAACCUAUAAUUCUAGUAAAUAUCAAUAACUGUUAAAUAAAUCUAAACGAAACAACAGCAAUGCGUCCAAAGUUAAAGCUUAGAUAUUACUCAAUACGCGGAACUUACAAAUUGGCUGGGGGUCAUAUUGAUGCAGCCCUGCCGACUCGCACGAACUCGUGAAAAGAGAAAAGGGUUUGGCGAAGUCGCCAACUUGAAAGUAAAGUUACGUGAAAAGUAGAUCUGUAUUGAUGAUUGUUGUGUUGUUUUACAAGCCUUGCGAGGCACCUAUUUAUACCCUGCUACAACUGAUUUCUUAACUGACUAUGAUUUUAUCUCUAAUUCAAAAUAACAAAUAUUUACAUACAGAUACAACUCGCAUCGGAGUCGAACACUAUUCAUCUUUUCCAUGGACCAAUCCUCGUCUUCAUCUGGUCACCGCCUUGGCCCAUUUUAGGCCCACAUCGGCCAAGCUGCUCUGGCUCCCAAUCGGCCAAUCUUCAUCGACUCCCUCGGCUUAAUCGGCCGAAACACUGUAGCUCUAUCGGUCGAUUCCUCCAGCCACAGCUUCUUGUUUAACCAGAUCGGCCACUUUCCUCUCUUUGACGCCGACCUUAACAUGUGUCAAAAAUCGGCGUCAACACAUACUUCCAACCAGAGGAAGCCUUUCCUCCAUAAAGAUUUUGAUGACGAUGGAAGCGUCCCACCUAAUUGAGUUUUUCACAUGUGCAUCAUACCUCCAAAAUGAGGGGAAUGUGCUGGUAGACAUGAUAAAAAGAGGCUCCAUACUCAAAGCAGAGAGUGGGAUGGGUGUGUACUUGACCGCUUCGGACCUGAAAUCCCUAAGUUUUAGCUAGGGCUCCUAAAGACAUAUAAUUGUGUGCCCUGGUGAAGGAGGAGUUUGGCCCAUGGUUGUAUGGUUCUGCUCACCCCUCCUAAACUCAGGGCUCACAGAUAAGGGAGUGAUGUUGGGGGAAUCAUAAAUGGGUUCCCCCUAGAUGGGUCUAAACAAUCUCCUAUACGGCCUAUGGAUGGUUCAACCCAAGGACCUAGAUGCAAUUUUAUUCCCCACCAAGGGUAUGAGGGAAAACUGCCCCUACCCUCUCUCCCACUAUACCGGGUGUGAUUGGUAGGGUGCAUAGCUCCUGUUCAGAUUUGUGUAAUGCAGCUCGCUAGUGUUUGGUAGCCUGCACAAGGGUGUUAGCUAGGCUUGUGUAGUGCAAAAGGAGGUUCCUAGUCUGGCUUAUCAGGAACAGAAAUCAGUUGUGUUUCCAGCUAUGUAGGCUAGCUUAAGCUCCUUUGGGUGAGUUGCUUCACCUCCCCUUCGUCCCCUUCCUCCUAUCGUUCUCACCGCACCGGAUGCUCGUGGUCGAGGUGCGGCGCCGCCGGGCGCUGUUGGCGCCAGCGGAGAAGCUUCGCCACCCAUGUUGCUCCUGUAGCCCGAGGGGAAGAUCCGUGAGGGCUAGCUCUGCUGCGCGCGGAAGGUGCUUUAGGACCUCUCCUCGCUCCUCCUCGCCGUUCGCCGCCACCGCGGGUGUCGUCAUCCACCGCCGCAGCAGGAAUCGUCGUCGGGGUCGCCUUGUUCCUCGCCUUCCACUGCAACCGCUCCGGCUGCCUGCAUCCCCUCCUGCCGCCAGUGAGCACACCCGCAUGAUCCCCUCCACUGCCUCUUUCUGUUGCGCCACCUGCUAGGACCCAUAAGCCCCCAAAUCCGCCUGCUAGGACCCAUAAGCCCCCAAAUCCUUGUCGAUUGGAAUGCCCUGAGGCCAUCCGCCAUGCAUGCGUGCAGACGGUAGGGUCAACAACAACGACCUGUGUUCGGGACUCGUGUGCACUGUGCACGACCACCGUGGCGCAGGCGCGACGGGCGGCGGGUGAGGUCCGACGAGCCCAACGAUACGCCAACAACCCUUGGGCUCAAACACGCGGACAUAUCAGCAGGUGCCGCCCCCGGAGGAGAGGGAGGAGGAGGCAACGAUGGUGGUAGGGGACAGGGUGUCGCGGGAGGAAAUGAUGGGUGUUAACUUCACCUCUAGCAACACACAGGGUCAUUUUAUCAUAUUGUGCAGCCAACCAAACAUAAGCAUAGCAAACCAGACUAUCUUUAGCCACCCUACCAAACAACGAGCAAUUUGCAUUGAUUUAGCUUGGUCAAAAUUGAUCUGGGUUAGAGUUAGUCUGGCUAGGAACUAAUGCAGCCUACCGAUCACUAUCAUAAAGUACUUAUGGGUAUUAGGGCAGGAGGAGACUCUUCUUCUACUCCAUCGGUCUCAUACAAACCCUAGGUCUAUGGGAGCACCGGAUGCCUCCUGGAGGUUCCUUUCUGUUCCGUUGAAUUUCUAAUUCACCAACAUGAAUAUUUAAGAUCGGAUAUUUUUUUAAUGUAAAAAUAUCUCUAAAUAUAUAGAAAAUAUAUGUAUCUAGAAAAGUCAAAAUGAUUUGAAAUGGAGGGAGUACCUCUAAAUUCUAAUCGAUGGCUUGCGUUAGUGCCCAACGGCCGAAAUCAGUGGAGCUGCAAAAUUGAAUAAAGGAUUCAUUGCGACAAAAAGAUUGGGAAUCAAGCAGCUAGCCAAUCCUUGCCUUAGUCUGGACGCCUCUCUCACGGUCUCACCAGUGCCCACUGUGUGGCUCCCGGAGCACCGUGGAGGUCAAGUGCGCCAACGCCAGCAACGCCGAGGACUCCUCCGCCGACUCCGCGCGUCGGGACGCGGGGUCCGGCGGCGAGGACGGGGCUCCUAAUACUACCAACUACGCGAUCCUGGACGACCUCGCCGUCAGGCCCGUGGCCGCCGCCGCCGGCCUGAGCGGCGCCGCGCUCGGCCGACGCAGAUGACGUGCACGAGCAGACCGUGCCCUUCGGGUACAAGGAGGUACAGGUACUGUCUCGUCGUCCCAUCGCCUCCUCAUCAUUGCUAAGAUUCACGAUCACGUCGCUCGGUAGCAUGUUUGCUGUGCUGGUGAAAGCUCAUCGCCCAUUGCUCUACUACCGAUCGUGCUUGUUUCCAGGGCCUGGACCUGCUCUGGGCGGCGCUGCACUCCAAGACGGCGCUCACCGACGUGUUCCUACCCGCCGUCGCUCCGGCCGCCCAGCGCCGCCACCGCCCAUCAACGUUCAUUCGGGAACAGUAGUUCCUCAAUUCAGACUUUUCUGGUUGAUUGAGAUCGAGUCGAAAUUAGUAGCUGUGCUGUUUCUGCUUGCUGUCUAGGUAAUUGAGCAGGUCGUCACUAGUAUUUUUGACUGGAAGCUGUGAUCUUAUCUGUAGCAAGCUAAUCGAGUGUUACGAUGCUCAUCGAGUCUUUAGCUAGUAGCAAUGCUUUACAUCUGGAUGGCUCUGUAAAACACCAACGGCAUAUGCAACAAAGCAGGUGGUGAAAAUGAAACUUGCAGGAACAUCUUCUGUAGCUGUUUGUUAUGGACGAGCCUAGGCACUACUACAGAGUGAGACAUGCUCCCACUGGUGCGCGUGGGCCUGAUUGCGAUCAGACGCGCACGCCAGGGACUGUUUGUUCUUCCAGUUAUUUCCGAGCAUGCCUGGAAGAAAUCUUGGUUGCCUGAAAAAUAAACCCCGGUUUAUGUGUGCAACAAAUGGAGCACUCUGCAGUUCACAUUUUGCACAAAAAUGCGUAAGAUGUUGAAUAAUUUACAAGAGAAAGAUGUACACAGAUGCAUAGCAUCACUACUUGAAACUCGUAUGAAUCCAUGUUUCCGGAACUUUGGCGUGAUAACCAUCUUCUAUAUAUUUUCCAGGGUCGGAAAAUUCUCGUGAACAAAGCACAUUCCCUAUGAAUGCGCCUCAAAAUAUAAAGAAGCAACCAACUCUAACUGUUCUCCAACCCCCAAAAUUUUGAACGGUGUUUCAAGUAGACUUAGGGAAGGCAAGAUCCUUGAGUUGCUGAGGAUCUACAGCAGAUGGUGCUUUGGUGAGUGCACACUGAGCCGUCGUGGUCUUGGGGAAUGCUAUCACGUCCCGGAUUGAGCUCUCACCAGCCAAGAGCAUCACCAGCCGAUCCAAUCCAUAAGCAAUGCCUCCUGCAGUAAAAUUUCCAAUACACCAAAACAAUAAGCAAACAAAAGCAGCAAAGACUGGGCACAACAUAUGGUAUAAAUUGCUAUAUAAUAUUGAGCAUGAGCAUUAGCCUAUCUUAGAAUAAGAAUGUGUCAGAAGGCAUAUAAUGAGAAAAGUGGAAUUUUCUAAAAGGGCAGCUAUUAUCUGAGGAAUAGCAACUUAGUGAAACAUCAGAAAAGACGGUUUGUAUUGUAAGACUUUAGUAUAAUAUUAGACGGAGUUUAUUGUAACUGAACAUGCAUACCAUGUGGGGGAGCACCCAUGUCGAAAGAUUCUAAAAGGUACCCAAAUUUCUCCUCCGCCUGCAUUGGAAAUAAGGAAAAGCAUAAGUCACAAAAGAGUGAGCAUCACCAAAUACAGUACCAGCAUGUUGACCACACUAACAAUCUGAGCAGAAUGUGGAUAAAAGCAUGCAAUGCUUGCAUAAAAUUGGUUCAAAUACCAUUACCCUGUAAUGCUGGUAGUUUCAAAAUUUUGACCAUCAAAUUUGUAAAUUUGUAAACAUAUACACCUACAAUGACUUCCAUUCUGUUAACUUUGUCAUCUGAUAAACAAAUGGCAGCUGAAGACAUUCUUUUCUCAACAAAUUUUUAUAACUUUUUUUACGGCAGUUUCACCUAACACCAUAUAUGGGACAUUUGAGAACCGAGAGCAUGCUUGCAAUCAUAAUGGGGGCAGUACGAACCAUAUGAACUAUGAAGGGCAAGCAGAUAACUGAAGUCAUACCUGUUCAGGUGAGAUACCAAUGAUCUCAAAAAUCCUUUGCUGUACAUCACUUUUGUAGAUUCUCAAACUGCCCCCUCCAAUCUAUUAAUAACAGGACACAUUAUUAGAUGUUUGGUAUAAUUUUCAACAUGAAAUCUAGCAAUCUUUUGCAUAUAUUUCAGUAACAUGGAUAUAUCAUAGCUGUGAAAAAAAUUAAUAUCAACACAUCAGACCAACUUUUGCACAUCUCAAUUCAUUAUUGCUAAAACCAGAAAGAAGGGUCAUUCACUCAGGCAGCUCUAUAGAAGUAAUUUAGCAUCUAUAAGGUCAAAGUAUUAAGUAUUUGAAUCAUCUUCAUUUAUGGACCCAUAUAUUACAAUACACAAGCAACACUCAACAGAAAACAAAUAAGAACUCAGAUUGUACUGCACAAAACAACUAAAUAAAUUGUAUUGAACAUUGAUGCGUAAUAGUAUGUCCAAUUGCCAGUCAGCAUGCAAUAUGAAUCCUCAACUGUAACUUGAUUAAAUUCCUGAUUCAAAGUUUAUGUAAACCAGUCGAAUGAUACAACUAGCAUGUUUCAAUUUAAAAACAAAGACUACUCAAUUCAAUAUAGUAAUGAUAUUUCUUGGCUAAAAUAAAUGUAAAUAAACAUGUUUGCAUUAGUCUUUUUUUUCUGAAUAUGUGCUGGAUUGCAUCUGUGUGAAGGUAUGACAAUUUGCUAAGCAAGACAAUGCAAGAAAAACUUCAAUAACCAAGACCGGUAACAAUCUUGAACUUUAGGGUGUAUCAUAAGACUCAAAUAGAUUAAGACAAUGUAUCAGUUAGCUUUGUAUGCACACUAAGAAAGAUGAAAACAGGAUGUACCUCCACACCGUUGUAAAUCAUGUCAUAAGCCAGGGCACGAGCUGAUGGUAGAUCAUUCAUGUCUUCAGGAUUUGGCGCGGUGAAAGGAUGAUGUAGGGCCUGGGUUCAUAAAGGCAGAAAUUGACAUACUCAGAAAGCAUAAAUUCAGACAGCUACUUCUAGGGACGUGCAAAUUCUCAGUGUAUCGGGACCAAAAUUAGAACAGUGGGCAUUUGCUGUAAUCAUGAUCUUAUUGUUACCAACCCAUUAAAAUGGCAUUAGCAUGUAAUAUGAGAAACAUAUUGAUUAUAACCAACCCUGUAUUAUGUUUGUUGCUAUGUGUGUCGUACCAUAUCAUGCUAGGUCACAUUUACAGACUCUGGAGAUUAAUUCCAAUAAUGGUGGACAUUCUGGUGCUAAAAUGUGAUACCCUACUAUACCAAAUUCUGCAAAUGGUGUAAUGUCAACACAAUAAAAUAACAGCCUCUUUCAAAAUAGCAAGUAUACACAGAUCUCUAAAAUAAUGUGAUCAGAGACAAUUAAGCAGUUCUUAUAAUUAAUAGAAGACUAAGAAUAACUGACCUCAUAUCUCUGCUCAUCACUGUUCCAUUCAAACAUUGGAAAAUCUGUCACCCAAAGAACUGAAUUUGUUGACUGGAAAAAUAUAGAAAAUGCAAAAGUGGAUGUCAGGAGUAUAAGGCAGAAACAGAAUUAUUAAAAAUAAUACUCCCUCCAUCCCAAAUUAUAAGUCAUUCCAAGAAUCUUGGAGAGUCAAGUAUAUCAAGUUUGACCAAAUUUUUCAUGAUAAUAUAAUAACAUUUAUGAUGUCAACUAAGUAUCAUUAGAUUCUUCAUCAAUUAUAUUUUCAUAGUAUACCUAUUUGAUGUCAUAAAUCUUUAUAAUUUUCUCUAUAAUUUUGGUCAAACUUGAGAUGCUUUGACUCUCCAAGAUUCUUGGAAUGACUUAUAAUUUGGCAUGGAGGGAGUAAUAUAAUAUGGAAAAAAACAACAGCAUCUCAUCAAUAUACCAUGAGUAAUGUAUAGAACAUAUCGACAUUAAGGAUCAAUAUAUUCCACAGUUUCUGACUCACCGUGUCUAUCACUUCCAGCUUAUGAGCAAUAAAUAAUCUUAACCAGCCAAGAAUCCGGUUAGCUGAUGAUUGUUCACCCAGUGCAAACAGGAUAAGAUCACCCGCCUUUGCAUCCAGAAGUUCCACAAGCUGCUCUUUCUUUUCAGGUUUCAUACUUGAUACCAGCGGACCAAUUCCUUCAAGAUCCCCUAUGAAAGAAGACAAAAAUAUUAUAUAUAUAGAACAAUUGUACAAGCGAUGCCACAGAAAAAGUCUAAUAGAAGAGCAAAGAUUUUUUUUCAUUUUACCAUUCUCCAUAACUUUGAGGAAAGGUAGGCCCUUGGCUCCAGCUUUGGAAGCUUCAGUGUAAACAGUUCCUUUCUUUAGGUCAGUGUUUGAAAACACCGUCGCACCACCAGGAACACACAGUGCCUUUAUUAUACCUCCAUUUUCCAAGGUAUCAGCAAAAACCUUGAAGCUACUGCCCAAAAAUGCACCGCUAACCUGCAUUGGACCGAAUAGUUAAUGAGGGGAUCAAUUGUGUGACUAAUUAAUUAGGAAAGUAAUUCUUAGCACAUGUUCGACAUAUAUGUUGCAUGGCAAAAGCAGCACAGGAUCUAUCAGGCCACUAACAAAACAUAUAGUAAUAACAGUACUAUAUGAACAGUGCUAAUGUGCAUUGCAGACAUAGUUAACUAAUCAAAUCAUUAAUGUCGCAAGUAUAAAGGUAAGCAGAAAGGUCAGGAAUCCUCACAUCUUUCAGCUCCCAAUCAAAGCGAAGGUCAGGCCUAUCUGUCCCAUAGCGAUCCAUUGCCUCUGCAUAUGUUAACCUUGGAAAUGGAUUUGGCAGCUUGAUACCUCCUGCCGCUAGAAAAACCUGUUACAUGAAUUCUUCGACCAUUCAUUAAUUCAACCAUAAACAGUGGUAGUUAGUGAAGGGACAAUGACAUUUCCUGAACAAUGUACUGAGACCUUGACUUACAGCUAACUAUCUAAUGUAGCUAACUGAUAAGUCAGCAAAUAGAGUCAGAGACUGUGACAUAUCUUUAUAAGAAAACAUUUGUGGUUACCUUUCACACAUGGCAACCACCGACAGGCAAGGGUCAAAGGGUCUCAAUACAAUGUUGAACUCGAGAAAGGAAAGAAAGAGAAAAAGGUAUGUCAAAACCAGCAUACAUGUCUCAUCAAAUCUUCAUUUAACUUCAACAUAUCCUCCAUUGAUGUAAAGGCAAUCUCCAUAUCAAGUUGUGUAAACUCCGGUUGCCUGUCCGCACGCAAAUCUUCAUCCCGGAAGCACCUACAAGAAUCAUAUAAUGCAGCUUUUAAAGAGUAGUUAACUCGUCUAAUAAUACUAUAUGAACUGUAUGUGAUCAUAUGCUCAUGCUGUGAGUUUAUUGCCGAGACAGAAAUGAAAUUUGAAAAUUAAGCUCCGAAGGUAACAAAAACAAAAUAAAUCUCAUUGACAUAAGAAAAAAAAAUCGUGGCUCCUAACUAGAUAGAAUAAUGGCAGAAGAGUUCAGAUACGUGAAACAACCAAAGUGCAAUUAUAUCUAGAAAAGAAACAGCAGUUACCUUGCAAUCUGAUAAUAUUUUUCAAAGCCAGAAACCAUCAACAUUUGCUUGAACAACUGAGGGCUUUGAGGGAGAGCGUAGAAUGUUCCUGGCUUCAGAAACCAUAUUGGAAGAAAUCAGGGAGCAUUUAGCGCUUAUUUGAAAAGGUAAUAAACACCACUGUUUAUUUCUAGCUAUUAGACCUACAACCAACAAUCACUUGCAAUAGAAUUCUGAUGCAUGAUAAUGUGUAGUUUAUAAACACAAUUGUAAUAUACUCGAAUGGAAUAACUUCGCAAACUAAGAACAGAAGUCUUCCAGACUACAAUCACAACGUAAUUUUCUCAAACAUCAGAAUCAACCAGCACAAAGAAAAAGAAAGAACUAACUUAAUAUGUACAUUUAAACUGUCAUAAGAUUAUUUUAUAUUGGAGAAAGUUGCUUUUGCAGAAAAGAAUCCAAAGUCCAAACAUGACAUGAAGCACAACUCUUCAAAGUUGCAAGGGAUAGCAAAGUGCAUAAUGUGUUUUUUAAUAGAUAAAACGAGAACUGUCCUGUGAAGAAACAGAUAAAUUGUAUACAGCUUAAUCACCUGAACUCUCGAUGGUACAAGAUAGUCCCGAGCACCUUCUGGUGUAGAUUUGGAUAAAACUGGAGUCUCAAUCUACCUUAACAUGUAACUUUAGAUCAGAGUCAAAUAGAAAUAUUACUGCUACUAUAGACAUUGUUAGUAACUGGCAUUGCCUUAGAUUUAGUGACUAGUUGUUAGGUGAUACAAGCAAUAGCAGAUGUUUGACAGUGCAUGCAUGAUGGAUCUGUUUUGACUAAUCUACACAAUUUUCAUCAAUUAGAUUGUACUGCUGGUAAGAUGCUAAAAUUGAAAAGUACUGCUGGUGACUAAACAAGAAGUAUCUUGCACGAUGAUAAAAACAAAUUUUCAAUGACAUUAAAACUGAUGCUAUUAUAAUAGGAUUCAAAAUCCGAGUCACAAGUUGAAGGAUUAGAGCCCUGACUCAAGACUGACCAUCUAGCACUACAUCAUGAAACUAUUUCGGAUUUAUUUUGUUACAAAGUGAAAAAUAACAGGUAUAUGACAAGUAGGAUAUAUUGAGGUGGAAAUUCAGGUAAAUAAACAAUGAGUGUAACAGUAUAUAAUAAACAGCAUACCUCAACAAAUUCAUGUUCAUCCUCCAAGUAACGUCGGAUGAGUUUAACAACAUUGUGGCGCAACCGCAAGUUGGACUGCAUUUGAGGACGACGCAAGUCCAGCACUCUAAACCUGUAAUAUUCGAUGAUAGGAAGUUACAAAAAAAGCACAUUACCUAAAAUGGCAGAGCAUAAACACAUAGCUUAAAUUAAUUUUAGCAUAUCAGGAAUCUCAAGUUCGAAAGGAGAAAAGAAUAAGAACAAGGUGAUCAACUUUACGAAAAGAGGAAUGCUCUAUCUUUUGACAAGCACAUUAAAAUCUUGAACAGAGUUGUUGUUGGGAUCAAGAAGCAAAGUACAGUAGUCCGGCAGAAUCCAACGGUUGGUUUGACUAAAGUAACAUUAUAUAAGUUGGUACAAGUUAGCAUAGUCCGAAUCCAAUGAAAAGAAGCUAUAGUCCAGCAGAAUCCAAUGAUGGCAAGAAUUUCCUAACAAAACUGCAUCUACACACCCCCGUCCCAACAUUAAAUAUCUAACUAUUGAAGGGAUUUGAAAGGAAAAACAAUCCAAAACUAGAGUUGUGAACAUAAUUAGUAUAUAGCAAACUGAAGUGAAUAUUACUACAGCAACUGAGAGCAGAUAGAAAGUGUGACAAGCAAUCAUGCAACUUUGCCCUGUGUAUGCAUAUAGCAUUCACAAUGCCUCCUAUUAUACUAAAUACAAAUGCCAUGCUCCCAAUAGCUAGUUACCAUCAGAUACGCUAGAAUUAGUGCAUGACAAUGCCUACGCCACAUAAGCAUCACCUUUCCUAAAGUCUAAUGUGUAACUUUCAUACACCAUCUAAACGCAUAUCAGCACAAUUUUGACAAGUCUAGCUAAUUUGGGUUAUUCACCAAAUACAAAUGCCAUGCUUCCAAUAGCUAGUUACUAUCAGAUACACUAGAAUUAGUGCAUGAAAUGCAUAUGCCACAUAAGCACCAUCUUUCCUAAAGUCUAAUGUGUAACUUUCAUACACCACAUAAACGCAUAUCAGCACAAUUUUGACAAGUCUAGGCAAUUUGAGUUAUUCACCAUUCUUACAGAUACUUCAAAAAAGGCCUGAGCAAAAAACAAAUUUCCAGGAACCACAAACUGUAAAUGUUUUACCUCAACCUAAUUUCUUCCGGAAACUUCUCUUUUACAGUGUCGGCGGUUGUAACAGGAAACGGCAAUGAACGCGUUACUGAGUUCAGCACUAAAACACGAUCUGCAGCAACCUUCACGGUAACCACAUGACAACAAAGUUAGACAGUCAUGUCGGUUUCCGCUGAACACAAAAGAAAAUAGAAAAGUUGAUGCCAAUCAAAGAAACAGGUACUUGAACUAUGAGUUAUAAAAAUUAUAUAUGAUAUUCCUUAUCCCAUACAUUUUGCAUAAAGGAAAUGGGAGCUUCUUAAACAGAAAUAUUUCGAUAGUAGAUUAUGUAAAUAUCAAGUUCUAGCCAUAAAAAGUCUUCCUCUAGAUUAUUGAUCUCAAAAAAACAUAAUAAGGUGUGAUGGGUAACAGUCAAUACCUCUAUAGCCCCGGUCUUCAUAUCUGCAUUGAUGGCAUCUGCCGGGCGUGGCCGCACCACCCCCUCAACAGCAACCACUGACUCCACUCUCAGCUUGUUUACUAUGUUGUAAACUUCUGGAUACUCUGGCAAUGUUGUCACCUAGGCAAAGGACCAAAUAAAAACCCCUGUGACCAUUCGAUAAUAACAACAUAAACAUCAACAACCAAAACAUUCCAGACAACACACAUCAAGCAAUGAAAGCUUAGGGAAAAUGUGAAAUUAACAUUAAUUGCGAAUUUGUCUCCACAGCAGCAGCAGCAGCUACAUCAAUGUAAUCACGAGCAAACAGAUACGAAAUCACAAAACAAUGUACUGUAGCAGCUUGCAACCAAAGGAAGUAAGCAAGUACCAGCAUAGUCAGCACUGCAGAAAACCAUCACUAACGCAGCCACCACAACUACGACCCACCUGCACCAUUCCGGAGCGGUCGCGCAGGGUGAGGAAGGUGAGCCCGGCGUGCACGCGGCGUAGCGCAACCCAUCCGCAGAGCCGCACCCUGCGCCCGGCGUCCCCGGCGCCGAGCUCGCCGCACAGCGCGUCCCUCGGCGGCCACUGCAGCGGCUGCAGCCUCUCGACCUUCGCACCAGCUUCCGCGGGCGCUGCCGCCUCCUCCGGCGGGCUCGCUGCCGCGUCGGUGGCUGCCGCGGCCGCUAGGGUUCGGAGCUGGGGCGAGGGACCGGCGGGCGAGGGAGAGGCCGAGGUGGUAGAGAGCGGGAUGAGGCGGCGGAGGUGCAAGGCGGAUGGCCUGGGCUUUAGGCGGGAGAGGAGGGAGAGGGGCGAGGCGCGAAGGAGGGAGGACGCCAUUGGAGACGACGGGGAAGGAAUCGGAUGGUGGGGGGAUGGGGAGGUUUGGAUGGUUUAUCCCUGGACACGAAUUGGUCCGGCCAAAACGAGCCGACCCACUUCGACGCCGUCUCGAGUCCGUCCGUGGGACCCGCAGGCGAGCGCGCUGGGAGGUGUGCGGGAGCUGGCCGCGCUGGGGGGAAGGGGCGGCCGACUUUUUUAUUUUUUAACCCUUUUUUGAAAGAUUUUCACAAAUAGAUCCCUGACGGAACCCAUUCCAAAAAUGGACCCUUAGCUUGGCGCCAUCCACACUGGCGCCAAGCUACAACGUCUCGGCGCCAGCUAUCCUGGCGCCAAGGUCUUUGCGCAGCUGCUGGCUGGCGCCAAGGUCUUUGCGCAGCUGCUGACGCGGAUGCCGACGUGGCGGGAGCUUGGCGCCAGCUAUGAUGGCGUCAAGCCUUGGCGCCAUGGAUCUUGGCGCCGAGCUAUCUACGCCGUACCUCUUCGCGUUUCGAACUAAAGAAGUAUAAUUAUUCCGAGGAGUGUGCAACAAACUAAGCUGUGGUUCAACUGGUUAGGAGGUGAGUUCCUUAGCUUGGAGACCUGAGUUCAAACCCUAGUGUUGAACCUUUUUUUCUACAUUUUAUUUUUUUCUCUGUUGUACAGGUAAACAAGCGGUGCAACUUUAUUUUACGAAAUCUCGUAUCCUAGGAGUUCAAACCCCAGUGUUGAACCUUUUUUUGUACAUUUUAUUUUUUUCUCUGUUGUACAGGAUAAUAGAGUUUGUACAUGUCGGGUUACCCUGCCUUCCAAAUUAAAAAAAUAAAAUGUAGAAAAAAAAGUUUCAACACUAGGGUUUGAACUCAGGUCUCCAAGCUAAGGAACUCACCUCCUAACCAGUUGAACCACAACUUAGUUUGUUACACACUUCUCGGAAUAAUUAUACUUAUUUAGUUCGAAACGCGAGGGGGUACGGCGUAGAUAGCUCGGCGCCAAGAUCCAUGGCGCCAAGGCUUGGCGCCAUCAUGGCUGGCGCCAAGCCCCCGCCACGUCGGCAUCCGCAUCAGCAGCUGUGCAAAGACCUUGGCGCCAGGAUGGCUGGCGCCGAGACGUUGUAAUGGCGCCAAGCUACGGGUCCAUUUUUGGAAUUAGUUUCGCCAGGGGUCUAUUUGUGAGAAUCUUUCGCAAAAAGGGUUAAAAAACAAAAAAGUCGCGGGCUGGGGCGGCGAGCGGUGGCGCGGCGCAGUGGCGGAGGCGCGGCAGGGGCGGCGCCGGUGGCCGUAUGCGCGCGUUGCUGGGCCGUGAGACGUCAUGAGCGCCCUAAAAAUAAAAUUUGCAUCACACAAUGCAACAUCCAUGAAAGAAACUCUCGAAAAUAAACAUCCAAAAAGGGGGGAAUUUGCAUAUCAUAGCAAACCCUAAAAACUCAAAACAAACCAUUUAAUGUUUCAAGUUUUUCAUCAUCCAACAAUACAGUUUACGGGGAAUUCAAAGAACUACAAGUACUUCAAGCUAACUGCAACAGAACGUGUAAUCCCCACCUGUUUUGGAAAGUAGCAUAGAUCUACAGACAGGAAAGAAUCACAUGCACUUCCAACUUGAAAUGCCUUUCGGUGUUGCUUUUGUUUUCUCUUUUCUUUUUCCACCUUUUUAACUCAAGGGACUCUGAAUAUCGAGUCAAAUGAUCAAACACAACUUUAUGCAUUACAUAUAUACCACCGAUGUUCACCCACAUAUAUAGGUUGUAAAUAAUGUACACACCAGACCAGUAACAUUACUCGACUCCCCAUAGCAUCUUCACCACUUAACUGUAAAAAACUUUCACAAACAAGUUUUCAUGGAUGUCAUGAAGUCCCUUCAGAAUUCAACAAGAUAACCAUAGCUCGGCUCCACGGUCCAGUCAACUUCAUGACCCUCAAGAUUCAGCAGCAGUAGGUUGCAUGCAGCAGAACCAUUUCUUCUGCAAAUAGAAACAGAUCUUGAUGAAAACAUCUAAACAUCACAUUACCAGGGCAAAAGAUUUCCCUGACAGUUAUGCAAGAGCUACCAUUAGUAAUCAUCAUGUCAUACACACUAGAAUUAACAGAUUUUGCUACUCAUGCACACUAAAGACUUCCUAGAAAGAUCUCAUUUAUAUGCAUGAGAUUUGGCUAGAUCCAUAAAACAUUGGAAGGGACAAUAGGCUCACCCUUGCCUAAAACAAGCCGUAAAGGGACUUGCAUCAUGGCUAUGGUCUUUCCUGUUUACUAGUGUAGAUGCCAAUGAAAUGACUAUGACAAAGAUUGAUAACUCUCUACAGCAAUGGCAGACACUUUGGUUACAAUCGAGCUGCCUGUAAAGGGAGGCCUGCAGAAUUUCUGUAAUACGCACCAACUCAUGAUUGUAACAACUAUCUAUGCUAGAACAUUUAUUGUUUUUCAACAUUUCCAAUAAGUUAAAACAACAUUUUUUUCCCAUCUGUUAGCAGCAUUACAUGGUCAUCCUCAGCCAUAAACAUAAUAGAGCCUCAUGGCCAACAAUCCAAUACAUGAUUUUGAAUGGCUCAAACCACUACAGACCCACUACAUACAGAUAGAAGGGCACGUUACAAUUCAUUGUGUAAACAAUAUGAUUGCAACAGUAUAUGGUCAUAUUUGGAACAAAAAUUGCAGUUCUUUCAAAAGCAGUCAGAAUAAUUAGACAUGAAGGCAGGACCAGUAAGUGAGUACAUCCACCUUGAUAUGGAGUUGCAACUAUUCGUUGUUAUUAUAGGCCAUCAUAGACUAUUUCUUUAACUAUAAAAAGUGCUGAAAUUCCAAUGGAAAUGGGACACCAAAAUGGAAAGGACAGGGUGCUUACAGAACUGCUAGGUCCCUUUGCUGCAUAUAACCCUUGCCCAGAUGGCUGUGAAUUUUUUGUGGGCACAUCUUGUCCCUGUGAGUUGCCACCAGUCUUCUUCUCAUCCCUGGCUUUGUUGAAGAUUACAGUGAACCCCUCAGCUGAUGCAGGGUCAUUGACAUCCCAUUCUCCAAACUUGGGCAGUGGACUUCCUUUUUCCUACAUGAGUUCAAAAAGGAGCAGAAAAAAAGCUCUUAUCAGGCAUCAUUGUGGUAAUCGCACCUGAAUGUACAAUGGUUAAGACAGAGGAAGGAAUAUGGAAUUAAGCAUUACAGAUGUAACUGUUCCGUGAAAAAAAAAGCCUUAAAUUAUCGACUCACAUGAAGAAAAUGCAACAUGUGGAGAGACAAUCAUAGUUUGACACUACUAAGCAGCAGGCAGAGCACAAAUUUAAGCCAGAAGCACCAGCUAUCUGAUUAAAAUUGCAUGCUAGGCCUGAACAAAAUAUAGCAACAGCAUAGUCAAAUUGAGGAAACGGAAAGACAAGGUCUGUGGCAGCCUCACCCUCAGCCUCAUCUUAACCAAUUAAACCACUCGCAUAAAGCUCAUAAAAACAGCUGCUACUAUCAGACAGAAACCAUUCCUACUAAUGUACUACACUGGACGGGAAGUAAUACAGAAGCAGGAGUCAUUUCACCAUUCAAUUAAUCAAGGAACCCGCAGGACCACACAACAAUAAGCUUAUUGGCAGCUGACGAGUACGCAGAGCAGAAACUUCAAUUCCACAGAAACACGGUACCAACGGUCGAAUCAUAAGACCAGUGCAGAGCCUAUACAGUCACGAAUCGCAGGUCGCCUCUAGGCUCUAGGUACAGGAAGGGCGUCCCAAACCCUGAGUAUCAAGCGAUGGACGGCGAGGAACGGCGGCGGAACUCAAACACCAUACUACAAAACCAAGGAGGAAGAAAACGGCUGUGGCACGGCUACCAAACCCUCGCCGCGAAACCCUCGAAUCCCCGAGCGCAGCGCCCGCCGCCGAUCGGCGAGCAGCCCCUACCUCACCGCCAGCGCCUGCCGCGCGCGCAGAUCAACAUGCGCCCAAGAGCUGCUCCGGCGGCGCGCGCCAGGCCCCGAGAACCGACCGUCGCGCGAGAGGGGCGGGUCGAAUUUCCCGAGGUGGGUAGAGAAGAAGAGCGGGGAGGGAGGAGGACGGCCGAGAAGGCGAGAGAGAAGCUUACCGCCGCCAUGGCGAUUCUCUUCUGCGGGGGCGAGGGAGUGGAGGCGCACCACCGGAAGGAAAGGGGACGAAGGAAAAGGAAGAGAGGAAUCGGUUUCGAGGGUUUGAUUGAUGGAGCGAUCGAUUGAUUAAGAGGAGUGGCUUAGCGGGCGCUAAUUAAUUGCUGUGCUGAUACUAAUUAAUUUAGUAGACUAGUUGCUGUGUGACUGCGUCUUCUGGUCUCGGGGCGAGUAGGGUGUUGGGUUGGGUCAUUGGGUGGCGCCUGGCUGCCGGUGGGGCCCGGAGGCAGGCUGUCACUCGGCCGUGCUGGACUGGACAUGGACAGGAGCAGAGAGGAAUCCCAGUUCGGUUGCAGCCAGGAUUCUCCGUGCCAGACUGCCAGCCACUCGGCUGCAGCCGUGACGGCAGGGCUUAUCUCAGCUGAAACUCAUCAGAAGAAACGGGAAAAAAAAAGGGGGGGGGGGGGGAUAUUGCAGUAGCUAUAAGAAUGAGAGAAUGGUUAUCUGUAAGCUAAGCUACAGAACUUCUAUGAAAGAUGGUUAUUUUAAGCACGGAUGUGUUAAGAUCUUUAUUGUACAGGCUACUCAUUGUUUCAGGUUGCCAACCAAAAUUCUUCGUGUUAGUUUUCUAAGCAACGCAUAUUUUCAAAAAAAAAGUUUUCUAAGCAACACAACCUAAUUAAGGAAAUUUAAAACAAAAGAUCUGAUAACUGAAGUCGAAAGGUUGAGGUAAUCUAUCAAACAAGAGUAUAUCUAAGAAUAACUUACUAUAUUAAAGUGAGAAGUUGAAGAUCCCAUGAUGUUACUUUAGACGUUCUACCGCAUAAUCAGAAUGAAAUUAUCUAAUGUGGCUAGGAGGGACGGCCAUAUUGUUUGGGGUAGUUAACAUCGGAUGGGAAUUUUCCCAUUGGACGGUCCGUUGCAAUAUCAAAAUAAAACAUCUCGUUCAACUCUGAGAUAAAAAAAUUCCCACAACAUGAACAUUAUAUUUCAUACAACAUGAAACGUGUAUAAACAAUAGUAGCAACAUCGAUGCUUAACUAUUGCAACGUAGAUCAAACCAUCCGAUUUUUGUAAGAUUCCGAACAUCAGUUCUAUAGAAUUACCGUAAUGUUUGUGGACUAUGUGCACUUAACAUAGUUCUUAUAGUUUAAACCACCUUCGCACACUGGCUAGCCGUGGAAGCCGACAGGGUCAUCCAUCUUGUUGCACGCAGCAUCGCAACCAUGCUAUUCAAACUGAAGGUCGACACCAUCUUUAUCUACUGAAACUCCAACUGCAGAACCUUCCUAUUCAAUUUUGGGAGCCUGAGCUGACAUUCGAUUUCAGAACCUUCCAAUACAUUUUUGCUCAUGAGGUUUAUACCGCUUGUGCAUGCACAUAAAAAGCUGAUUAAAAAAACAUGGAGCCAUGGCAUUGCCAGAUGGCUUAUUUAUUUGCAGAAACUGCCCUGGCCCCCAGAAUUGGAGGAAGCAGUACAAAAAUCACCAGAACGAUUGGUAUAAAGAAGCAUUAAACGAAUUUACAUCCAACCUUUUAACUAGAAGGCAAAUGGAAGCUAGUUACAUCAGCACUCUUGCCGCAGAGCUCUACUCCUACUGUACCCGCCCCACAUCCUGAUUGACUAUUCCAAGAAAAUGUUGGAUCCCAACUUCACCCUGAGCAUUGCCAAAAGGCUCCUUGGCCCGAUCCAUGUCAUGUAUAGCAUCUGUGACCAUCUCAAUUGCCUUCAAAAUCUGCAGGGAGGAACCAACAAUUAAUGCAUGGAAACAACAGAAUAAAGAUUAUCUUCAACUGUUUGUAUCGACCAAUGCAGGGCUCAAUGAAAUCUUUAUUACUUCUGCUUCUCCAUCAAAAAUUACCCUAGCAAAUGAGGAAAAUUACCCCCCACACCCCACACCAAAGUGACCUUGGGUCCUUCACAUAGGUGAGGCUGGGGGGUGUGGGGCAGGGCUUUUUUCCUAACAAUGGAUUGGCAUGAAAAUUCCCCAACAUGUAUGAUAAAACUUUUCAAAAAAACAUGUAUGAUAAAAUCUAGAUGCGGCAAAGAAAUAAUCACCCCCAUACCUGUACAUGGCAAGCAGAAAACCAAUGACCCAGCACUCUUUUGGAUCUUGAGGAACUAACUGAUCAGCCAAAGCCAAAACCUUCACUAGCUUCAUGAAUGGCAAGAAGCAGGCGCUCUUCUAAUUGCUCCUUUGAGGUAUAUUCCGGUAAGUCCAACUGGUUAAAGCUGCACAUUCAUUGUGCAUUUAGAAUAAUUGCUAAAAAAGAACAGGUGACAUCACAAAGAAUUGCAAAAGUGAAAGGCAGUACAUAAACAUAUUGAUGUAUUACCAUGUAUGAGCAGAAGGAAGACGGUCUGGAGCUCCAUAAGCCUUGUGGAUCUGAAAUCUCUGGGGGCCGGAAAUACCUUGUAGUGCUUUGAAACCUUCCAAUGGUACCUGCAGAAACAAAUUCCAGAAGGGCUACUGAAGUUCUGCCGCAAUAUGUUGUUCAAGAAUACAUAUGAAACUUUCUAUGUGAAACUACAUUUCACUGUAUUUCUACUUUCAAAUGUGUCAAUACAGAGUGAAGUGCCUUUUGACCUUUGAUGUUCCAGUAACAAACUGCAGUAGUCUGGCCAUGUCCUCCUUACUGAAUGCUUUAACAACUUCCCAGAACCACUGGAUGACAGGAGAUGCAGCAGAAAAUCCUAUAUAUUCCGCAUUAGCCUUCAAAUCAUCCACUGCAGGACAAACACAAUAAGAUCAAAUCAAAAGGAAAUAAAUAAAUAAGCAAAAGAUGAUGAAUUACUGCUGACAGAUGAAAUCCACUCACGGUCAAUUUCAGGAAGACCACUGAUCAAUAGUUCAAGUUCUUUAUCAUUAAAUAGGGAUAUUAGGUCCCUUGGAACUAACUCUGUGAAGCCCUCAAGGAAAGCAUUAAUCUGAGGACGAAUUGCUGUGGUCAGUAUAUGUUCAGCUACAAGGUCAACAUAUUCUUGUUUAGUUUCCUCAGUGACCCUGAUGUUUCUUCCACCCGGUUUUAGCUCAUAAUCAGUAACCUGAAUUAGAAAAAAUAUUAAACACAACUAAGACAAUAGCCUUAGUCGAAAAAAACUAAGAUAAUAGCUGAGGCAAGUAGAAAAGGUCUCAGCUAAGCCAUGAUGUCUUCUCAAUACCUCAGUCUUCUCAUAGAGAAUAUGUUUUUCCUCGUCAGGAUCCAUGCUGAAUGUCAAAUCAGGAAGGUCACUUACAUCAUUCUGUUCAGAAAAGACAUGAUUUAGGAACUGUGCACAUCCACACAAACUUAAAAUAUGAAAUUUGUGGGUAAUGAAACCAAACCUCCAGCAUCCACUUCAAAUUUUUGUAGUAAUCAGGAUCAAUAGCCUCUAUGUCAUGAUAUGUUACUUUAGCACCCAGGAUGUGUUUGUAAAAUGAACGGGUAAAGUGGACGUCCAACAAUUGACCAUCAAACAAUGCUUUAGCAACCUGUGCAAAUAACUAGGUCUCAGAAGAGGGGUUACACAAAACAAAUAAUGCAGUAUAUACUAUUGAGGACAGUGUCAAGAAAAUACCACUCGACCAACAAACUUGAAAUAAGAAAGGUGCUCCGUUUGAUAAACAGAGUUAGGAUUAGGCUGAAAAGUCGCAUUGUUUCCAACAGUGGUGAAGAGAAGAGCUCCUUUGUCAAAGAUAACUCUUGAGAGCAGCUGGUACCACUCCCUAGUUAGUCCUCCAGCAUCUAUACCCUCUUCUCCUUGAAAUUGUACGGUCAAGCGACCUUUGAGGUCCUGGGUACGACGUAACCUCAACUGAUUAUAUGAAUCCUCCAAAACGUAAGCCCUGCGAACACUAAUGCGUAGAGGAGCCGAAAGAUGCUGAUCAUGUUGCUGUCGGAUGCGCGACCGGAAGUAAGCACGCUUGUUGUCAAAAUCUAUCAGCCUUGGUACUUUCAACAUCAUAGAAAGUGAUUUCUCAAGUAAGCUUGGGUUUUGUCGAAUGAAAACAUUGAGUAGCCGUCGAUGUUUUUCUGCAACCUUUAUAAAAGUAACAUUGCAGAUUCCACCAGUCUUCAGUGAUGGUGACGAUGAACUUCCAGCUAAAUCUUUCACUUCAGGAGCAGUAACAUUGUAAUCUGAUUGUGUAACUGGUUGAUUUGUUUGAAGCUUCUCACAUAGAACAAAAAAUGAUUCUAUAAAUGGCAACAAGCGCUGAGUGCCUGGAGGAAGUGGUGGGGAGACAGAGGAUGAAGCACCAACUUCCAGAGUGUCCACCAAUGGAGCAGGGGAAGUGAAUGUUGAAUUAUGUACAAGUUUUGCCUCUGUUGCACUUAUACAAUCACUUAAUUCUUGCCACAAAGGUUCAAGACCAACAUUCAGAUCCCACAAAAUUGACUGCUCUUCCUGUCCCAUAUCUUGUUCAUGUCUACUAUCAAUCACAUCUGAAGUCAACGUAGAUAAGACUUGCAGCACCCGCAAGAUAGCAGCUCCAGCCAUAGAACAAGUACUGAGCCCAAGCAUUUGAGUGUUCUUCAGUGUUACAAGCUCAUCUACUGCCGAAGAACUUAAACUCUGAGCAACACCAGCUAACUCAAUGGAAAAGAAUUUUCGAUGCGAUGCUGCAACACUAGCCAGUUUUUUCACCACCUCCGAGGCAAGAGAGUACACUUUAUCUGGAAGACUGAAUAUUUCAACAAAAAAGAAACAUGUAAGUAAAUUUGUCUAAAGCCCUGAAAAAGGACAACAAUUUUCAAAUGUCAGAAGUCUGACAUCAAAUAUCUUUUCUUGAGUAUUUUUGGAGUAAAAUGUAUUCUAAUAUUAAAGCAUAUCAAUUGGUUUCAAUUUACUGCAUAUGGCCAAGUCUUCCUGCAUAAAUUCUGUAAAAGCUGUUGAAGGUGGCAAGACAACCAAUUUCGCAAGAGAGGGAAAAGAAAACAAUGUGUUCUUAAAGUAACAUUCUACCAAAAAUGGAUCUUUUGAAGCUAAGAAACAAAUACACGGAAGGAAUUAAUUUCCUAUGGUGCUUGUUAUUGUAUCUUUAGUAAUUCUAUGUAUUCUGAUUACGCAUUGGUCAGCCUCGGGUCCAUCUUCAUUCUGCCUAGUUGGUCCGCUUUCUCUCUACUGUACCUAGUAGAGUGUAGUAAGAAAAAAUGGUAUGUAAAUCUUGUCCUAAUCCCACUUCCCUCCCAUACUCCAUACUUUCCUACUCCUUGAAAAUGAACAAUCAAAGGCAUCUGUUAGGGGUGUUUGGUUUGAGGAACCACCCCAUUCUAGAUGAGGUUGUGCAUCAUGAGUCCUCAAAUUUGGUGGAAUGAACCCAUUCCUCAUACUAGUACUAAUUAUUAGCUUGUAAGGAAUGAGGUGGUAAUGGAUCAACUCAUUCCAGUUUGCAAACCAAACAAUAAAGUGAGAAAAUGAUGGACUAUCUCAUUCCUCAAACCAAACAGCCUAUUAAUGUUCAACAGGAAAUACAUGUGAACUCUAAAACUGAUGCGUAAACCAUCAUUUGUGCAUGUUAUGUGAUAAUAAGAUAAAAAGAAUAAGAGUGCAAAGCAAAAAAAAAAAACUAACCCCUCAAGUGCCAGAAUAUUGCACAGAUUAUGCAAUUCAGCAUCAGGAAGCUGAGUAAGAAUGGCAUGCACAUUAACAUCCUGCCUAGCACAUGACGCUGGCACCUCAACAUCUUUGCUUUGGCUAUUAUCCUGAAUAUGACCUUGUUCCAGAGUAGAUGGUUCCGCCUGAGUUUGAGAUGGUGCCCCAUCAACCAAUUCAACAUCUGAACUAUUAGCAAUCUGUGCAGAACGAGGUGGAUAAUCAAUUUGGGACGCAGCAUUGUUGACCACAACUUCAAGCAAGCACAUCACCUGAGGACAAAAUUAAAAGAUACGAUAAAUAUUUGAAGUGAAUCAAGAGCUACCAUACGCCAAAACUAGUGCUGAGAAAUACCUGCUCAAGGUAUACUCGACUGCGCAGAAAUAAGGGUUUGUUUAGGAGCUUAAGAAACAAUAGAAUAGGUGUAUAGCCCUGUGAAGAUGGUUGCUUUGUGUCCAACGACGCACUUUCUUGAGAUAUCUCUUUACUCCGCUGUAACAUCAAACAGUUUGAACUAGCUGAAGGAUUGAAAUGGACCAAAAGAUCCGCAACAGAUGGAUGGUUAGAAGCAAGAUAUGUCAGGAUUUCUAGAAGUCUCCGUGUCACAAGUGGAGGCAAACCUGAAAAGUAGUAGUGCCAGUAAAAAGUGCUAAAUAACACUGUUGAACAAGAUAAUGAGCAAAAAAGGAAGCAAUAUAAAAGAAGUCUUAGGAGAGCCAAAGAUUAUCCAAGAAAUGAAAAAUAAAAAGACAAACAACAGAGAGAUUGUAUUACCAUUUGCAGAGUAAGGUUGUGUGUAAACAAUGUUCCACUGACAUCCAUGUAAUCUAUACGUAGCCAUGCAAUUAGAUAUGCUAAGCCCCUCAGAUUCAGGUUUAAUCAUGUUGAGCAGAUGGCCAACCAAGGUAACACGUGUGACACUGUGUGCACAUAGAUUGAACAUAAGCCUUUGAAGAAGGCCUUUGCUGAGUGGCUGCAAAAAUGUGGAAUAGUUAAGCAGUAGCUGAAAAUGUAAUAAGCUAACAGAAAAGUGGACAAAAACCUAUAAUAAAUAAAGAGGAGACAAUUGUGUGUAUAGUAACUUUUUCAACCCAUCUUUAUUGAUGUAUUAUCUGCAAAGUCAUCAUUUUCUCAUUCUAGUGCAUAAUCCAUGUAAUUAUUAUUGAUUUCCUAUAGCCUAGAAGGAAUUAAAAUAUCAUAUUUCAGAGGUUGGUGGGUAACAUUGUGACCCCAGUCCUGCCUGGAUGGUUCACACAUAACGGAAAAUAUGCAAGGCUUCCAAUAAUAUGCUACUACCCAUAGAUGGCACAUGAAUAUAGGUGUCUGCAGGGGUUUAUAACAGGUUUCCACUGUGCAAGGCUCUUAUCAUUUCAUUUAACAUUUUGGGAACUUGUGGCAAGCUUACAAGGACAGGUUUACACUAUGCAACUAUACAUUUAUACAUGCAAUAUUACAUCAUACUACCAAGAAUGGAGCACAUGUGGCAACGGCUAAAAAGAAAGUUGCAAGUUCAGUUGAAGAAAACAUAAUACAAUUAUUGAGAAAUUGUGCACAAUUUGGACAUUACCGGAGCAAGCUGCAGAAGGCGAAUAAGUGCACGUAGAGCAUCUGAGUCCAGAAGCGGGGUCCCUUCCACAUCUUUACCCUUUGAACUGCCUGGUGUAGCAGAAAUAACCCUUCUACCCAUAGUAACACCAACAGCCCUAUCUAUAACUGUCUGAUUGUCAGCUGGCAACCUCCUCCCUCCAAGCCUGUAGCUUCCACCAAAGAGGCUUCCUCUAGCACGAUAGCGACUCAGUUCUCUGUCCCGUAGCAUUUGAGCUUCAGCAAGUAACGCUGAAGGAAGGGCAGACAGAACUGCUUCUGACGAGGUUAAAAGCACCUGUGGUAAAAACAGGUCAGUAUACUGAACUGUUAUAUAAAUUAAGCUGUACCUCUUCACGCAAACAAGGAGGGAAAGUAGUAAUGAUUGAAGCACUACCUCUUCACGUAGAUCAGGAGGAAAAGUUGCUAUAAUUGAAGCAUUAUCCAUAUCUACUGGCUGACCAACUGGUUGAGAGUGAGCAAUCCUCUGUGCUCGCUGCUGGGCUAGAACUUCAGCUUGAAUGUCUGGUGGAAGAGCAGCCAAAAACUCUGGAUCUAUUUCUUCUGCAGCUGGUGGAGUAUAGGAAGCAGCUGGGGCAGAACGGUUCUGCUGAGAAGCAAGGACCUCCGCACGAAGAUCCUCAGGCAAUGCUUCAAGAAAUGUGGGAUCGAUUUCAUUAGCACUAGAGGCCUCAUUGUUAGCAUUUGGUUGCUCUGUCUGAGGCUCUUGAUGAGCUUCUUCAUGUCUCCUAGAAGACAAGCCAUUGCCAUCAGAACCAGGAGCUGAGUUUCCAACUUCAUUAUCAGCAAUAUCAACACUGUUCAUGUCAACAUCCGCAUUCAAUGCAGCAGAAUCUACAUGAGCAUCACUCAGCUCAGGAGCAGCACUUGCAGAAGUGACAAGUGCAUGGCAGCUUGACUCCAGAUCAGAUGGGGCUUCCCUAGGAUCAUUACUCAACUGAGCUUGUUGAGGUGCUUCAAUCUCAUUGUGCAUAAUAUGAUCACAACUUUGAUUACCAGACAAGGAAUCUCUUUCAGGACAAUCACCAAGUUGUGUAUCAGCAAUAGACAACAUUUCAUCACUCUGAGGUAUAGGAUCAUCAGCUGCUGUUUGCUGUACCGCUUCCUCAACACGAUUAUCAUGAACAGAACCAACCGACUGUUGAUUUACCUGCACAUUUGUAGGACAGAGACCAUCAGCAGGAGCAGGUUCUUGAUUAACAGUAUGAACUUGCUGAUGACCACCAACAGGUUGAGCAAGAGAAUUGGUUGCUAUAGUUCCUGUAUCUGGUGAUUGUAAGUGUGCAUUCACAUCAUUGCCAUUCUGUUCAGGCUGCACCAGAGGAGUAUUAUUUGAAUUACUAACCGCAGUUAACUGCGACACAAAUUGAUCCUCCACUGCCUGAGCAACAGCAGCUGCAUGAUUACCUGCCUGUGGUUGACCAUCAUCAGUCCAUGGAUUAUCACCAGGGCCCCGCCUAAUUCGGAGGGAAUCCCCACCAAGUGAGAAAUCUAUCAAAGGUGGGGGAGCAGUACUUACAACACGCUCACCAAACACUGGGGGAGCAGUUUCUGGCGGAAACCCAGCAUCUAACAUGUACAAGGGGAUGUCUGAAUUCCCAAAAGAUAGUGUGUGAAAAUCUCUUGAUGAGGUGGUGCCGCCAGAGGGCCACGCUGAACCAGUUCCCUCCCUAGACUGAGCUGGCCUGACGAGCAGUGGAUGAAGAAAAGCAUUUCCAUCAGACCUUGGUCGAUCAAGAAGUGACCUACUUCCACUUUGGCGGCGACGCUCAAGACCGAACGAACGAUGCAGAUUAAAUGAAUCCUCCGUUCCCACACCAUGAAAUGACUCAGAAGAUAUAUCAAUAAAACCACUUGAGUCUGCACGACCCCUGGAAAAUCUCAGAUGAUGAUCCAUUCCAGUUAAGCUCUCCCUCCAUCUCACUUCUAUAACACGGUUCUCAAGAAAGUCGUCAUCUUCUUCAUCCAUCAGAUCAUCAUUGUAUUCCUCACCAAUUGCAUUGUUCUCCUGGUCCUCAAUAUCUGUGUCAGCUAUGGACAUCAAACCAGCUCCCUCAUCUGCUAUUUCCUCAUCAUCCUCAUCCUCGUCUUCAUCCUCCCCUUCCUCCCCAAUAUCCUCAUCUUCCUCACCCAUUUCGUCAUCAGCUUGAUGUUGCACUGGGAAAGGCAAACCAACGUCAGUACUAGUAGCCAUUACAUUACCUUCAAUUGUUUCGUCUCGCAUGAACUCCACACCAUGCAUUGGAGGAUUACCGCUAGAGUUAUUGUCCACUAGAUCAACUCCCAUUUCUUGUUCAGAAGGUUGGACAUGAUUCUCAUUAUUGUCCCUAUCAACAUGAGACAGUUCUUGCGCUUGUUGACUUGUAGAUUGGAUGGUGUCAUCAGUAUGAUGAUGUCUGUUAUCCGUGCUUUGCUCAUGGAUUACAGUGUCAUCAGCUUCAUGUGUUUGUUCAUGUGACCCUGGUAAUCUGUUCUUGGUAUAUCGAUCUGACUUGAGAACUUGAUCACUAGCAUAAGCAGUCCUGGUGAGGCUAUCCAAAGCCUUCAAUAUCAAGUUGACAACCUUUGUAGCAUCUGGGUGAUCCAGGUCAAUUACUUUCAGAAAACCAGAAAGAGAUUGUACCAUUCCACCAUCUACCAUAGGUUUUGCAAUAUCAGGCGAGCAACCAAGAACAGGCAAGUUGCUCUGACUAUUCCGCGACAAUAUUGAAUUUACCAGCUCAGAGAAAGCCAAAACUUUUCUGUCAGGUAUCAAAGAUCCUCUGGAGGUACUGCUUGCUGAAUCAAUGAAAUAGUUAAAUGCCUUCACAAUUUCAGAAAUAACCCUUCUACGACCUUCAGCAGAUCGGCAGCAUAAAGCUACCAAGAAACAGGAAGCCCUCUCAGACAACUUCCCUGUCCAAUCAUCUGAGACAUCAGCAGUUUUAACCGAAGUUAGUGGAAGUAGCAGAUAGAAUAUAUGAUGCAGUAGACCACUGUGUCCAGCACCUUGAUCGCAACUUCGUGACUGUGAUAUCUCUGUAUCCCGUCUCAGAAUUAUCCCUACUGCAUGCACAUACAUGAGGAGUAUCUCACUCAUCAACUUAAGCACAAAUGCCAACUUUGACAGUAAGGCAGAUCUCUCAGAGAGAGCAUCACCCUCAAGCUCUUGGCCAUCAUCAACUUUGGAUUUUCCCUUAGUGUUUGGUUCGUCAACAUCAAUUGGAGUCAACAGGGAGUAACCAUCAAACCCCUGUUCUUUGCUUGCAGAUGGAUAGCUCAUAAUGAUCUCGAGAAGCUGAUCGAUCACUUGCGAAAGACUAGCAGGAACCUUUUUGUGGCUCCGUGACCAUCUGUUCGGUGUAUCAACUGACUUAAUAUCAGCUGUCACCCGAACAGGCUCAUUGCAUGGCACACCACUUUCUAUUGAAGGAACUUUCUGUUUCUCCCUGUCUCUUUCCUUAUCCUUCAACAAGACUACAUUCAUUCUCCCUCCUGAAGAAUCUAACUGGCAGACUGAAGUUACGGCCCUCAUGAAGAUCACAGGAUCCCUAGAUAUCAGCGGUGCCAUAUUUGUCAGAAAUGAGCGUGGAGUACGACUGCCACGGUUGCUUAAUGACUGUCGUAUCUCCAAUUCCAUGGCACUCUGCAAGGUCUGAGGAUCCUCAAUGAGGUGGCGCACAAUGGCAGAUGCUAAGGUCUCAAAUCCUGGAAAGAUGCAAGCACUUGGGAGAUUUAAAAGAGAUGAUAGGCCACCAUUUUCAAAAAAUUGAGCAGCAAGAGCAUGUGUCUUUGUCAAGCGGGCACUGAGCUGAAGAACAGCUUGCAUAACUGUUGCUGGCACACGUUUCUUGAUGAAUUCACAGCAGAAAACCAGUGCCUUUUGGCUCUCCUGAUCGGUCAAAUAGCCAGUAGAUUUCCCCAAAAUCUUUUCAAACACAUUAGCACUUGCAUCGUCUGCUGAAUCCAUAGUUUCAGUUUUCUCUUCAUCAGGUGGUGCUGGAUUUGCCUUGCUGUCAGCACUGGAUAUGUCAGAAGUUGACUUGGAUGCACCAUCUGUUGUUUCCGUAUUAAGCUUUGGAUUAAAUUGUAGCAUGUUAUCCAAUAUGAGCAACAGAGCACUGAUAGAAUUCCAAGUCUUAUCUGUGUGGUCUGUCCUUGAUUUAAGAUUUUCUAACAUGUUAAGAACGUGAGGGGUGACACCAUUUUCAGCACCAAUUUCACGUAUGCCACUGUCUUCACUCAGAAGCAAAGCCAACAAAUGGGCAACGGAAUACAAAGCACCUGCAUCAGUGAUGGUAUCUGACGAAAAACGUCUUAGUUGCUCAAAAAGAUACAGGACUACCCGCUGUCGGUAUUCCCCCUUAUUACGGUUGCAUAGUGUCACUAGAAGGUCAGUCAAUGGGAAAGCCAUGGCGGAAUCACUAGAGCAGAAAAGCUUUGUCGAUACAGUGAGAAUGUCAUCCAAAGGGAGCACAAAUACACCUUUUUCUUCAGCAGUAGCUGUAUCAUUCUUAUUGCUUCCAUCCUCCUUGGGUGUUUCAAUGGAGUUUCCAAGUGACAAAGCUAGUGCCUGUGCAAGCUGCACAUCUUCUUGAACAAAUUCUUCUGGAUGGCUGAACAACCAAUCAGUUGCCAUCUCCACGCUGUUAGUUCUGACGCUUCUCAGAGCUUCUUCUGCCCUAGCUCUUGAAAAUCCCAUUUCAACAAUCGUAGCAAUAGCUGACUCAUCAAGAGGGGGGCUAGUAACACGCUGGUUGGCAACCCCGGCAAUAUUGCGGCUUUGCUUCAGAUCUCCAACAGCAGAGCAUAUAUUGUUCAUAAUUGAGACCAAGGAGGUAACAAGAGUUGGGCUGCACUCAGGAAAUAUUUUAUGAUUCCAAACAGGAAGGACUGCGUCUAGAAUUUGAGAUUGAAGCAUACGAACAAAUGAUUCUGGCUCUGAAGGCACGGGGAAUAGAUUAAUUGACAGCUCAGUAACAAUAGGCUGGACAAGAAGCUGAUUAUGAGAAGAGGAUGGAGACAAUAAGAAUGUAGAGUUCACAUAAUAUUCUAGCAAUUUACAAUAACUCUGCAACGUAUCCAGAAGCCAGGUAUUGUGAGACACCUUCUCAUUAAUAGAGGAACCUUGAUCUGUGCCAGCAGGAGCAGAGAAAGGAAGCGUCCAUAGAAGCUGACUGGUGGCUUCAAAGGUAGUUAGAACUUCCUUGAACGUUCCAUUCACAUAGAAACUAUUAACAAGUGCAGAAUUGCAUGAGCGACGCCUGCUGUCGAAUGUAAGCACAGCCAUGUCUUCCACAACCUUUCCAAGGUAUCGACAUUUGACAGAUAACGACAUCUCAAAGCCAGCGGUAGAAUGUCCAGAGUAACCAAGAGCGCUAAGGAAAAGUUGUGCAAGUGCAGUCACAAGACUUCUUGAAGCUGGGCUAAGAUUAGAGUCAGCUCGACGACGAGCUGGUAAUCCUUUGACAAGGGUAGAGAGGAAGGAACGCAUGGUGUAGCCAAGCUUUGUCAGAAGUUCAGAAACAACAACUUCAGGACUUUUCUUUGAAGCAUCAUGACUCCUAGAGAUCUCUGCUGGAGAAAAAGGGCCAUCCAAAUCAGUAUGUGUUGCAUCCAAUACUCCACUUAGGCGCCCACGUAUCCUUGAUAGUGAGUGCCGACCAUGGCGGUGCAUGUUGGCAGCAGAUCGGACUGCUGAUACAAAAUCUUGCUCCAUGCUCCAGGGUGAUAAAGAGGCUCUUGCUGAAACAGAAUUCAUAUAUCUUGCUACUGGUGCUGCACUUGUGUCAUCAUCACUAUCCCUUUCAGAUGCAUUAGAAAUUGAAGCAUCUCCAGCUACAUCAUCUUGAUCUGACUCUUGCUUAUCCACCUUGGCAUCACUGAGUAAAGAGAUCUGCCAUGUGACUUCAGUAUAAACCUUCCCCAAUUCCUUCAAUAUCUCAGCAUCUGCAAAAGCCAGUUCUGAAAUCAUAAUGGUUGUUCCCUUUAGAAGAAAAUUGGCAAGAGAUAAAAGCCCUUCAAGAGUAGAAAGUGAUUUCAUGAGAGCUGAUUGCUUCACAAGUUCACUAUCAACCAGCUUAGUUCCAGAGAUCAAACCCAACAGUUCAUUUGUCAAUUUAAGGUGGUCUCGAAAAAAUGAGCACACUGCUCUUGCCAGAGAAACAGAAUGCUGAGGUGAGAAGUUUUUAAAUGCAACAGAAAUACUCUGACCAAUUGAAACAGAUACAGGUAAUACUGGCAACUUAAACAGUUGAAGAACAGCUUCAAUUCCUUUUUUCUCAAUGAAUAGCCUGCAUGUGUCAGUAUUUUGCAGAACAGUUUCAAGGAGACGAGCAACAUUGCAUAUGCAUUCAGGAAGAAAUAACUCAAUGGAAGAUGAUGUCGUAGCAUCUAGAGGAGCCUCAACCAUUUUGCCUGAGCAUCCCACCUCAGAAGGUACACCCUCACUCUGUGUUGUAGCUCCCUCCACAUCAGCAUCCAUGGGAACAGCUGCAGAGGAAUUAUCACAUUCCGCACAGGAAUUAGAGUCUCCACCACACCCAAUUUUUGAAACAGUGUUCAAGAUUUCAAUAAACAUGUCAACUCCAGAGGAACGUAAUGAUGAUGCAUGGCGCAUUAAUUCAUCGAGUCCACUUGAUAAGGCCCCUGUUGUGUCCCCAUUAAGAGCCUUCAAAUAUAAUCUGGAGGUAAAGAUUUUCACAAAGCAUCUUAAAGCAUUGCAGUCCUUUACUAAUUGAAGACCACUAUUAUUCAAACAUAAUGCAUCCAAACACUGUGGUAUACAUGAGACUGCAUCAGAGUUGUAAAGUACACCGUCCAGUAUAGCAUCAAGAAAUGCUUGUGGCAAACCAGCUGCAUCAAGAACAGAAUAGCAUGUUGGGUCUUUAUGUAUGAGAUCACUCAUAACAUUUGCAGCAAGUGAGAAAACACCACCACCAAAGUCCUUGCCUCUCCUAAAAAUUGUACAUAAACAUGGAGGCAAUACAUUCUCUUCAGAACCAUCAACACGAGCAGAGCUACCAGGAACAUAUGUUGCCAGAGAUAUUGUACGUAGUAAAACUUUCAUUAAGUUCUUCCUAUUAUACAAAACCAAGGCUUCAGAACAUGAGGGCUGCAUAUCUGGCACCAGUGGACAACUUUCAACCUCUUUUCCUUUAUUGAUUGACUGAGACUCUUCAUUUUUUUUCGAACCAAUCUCAACUUGUGAUACUUCUAUCUUAAGGCGUGCAAUAGUGUCAUCUAGUCCACCUAGAUCCCUGAACAAUGCUGAAGAGGGAUUGUGAUAAUCCAGGAAGCUCUCAAUGACAUGCACUGCCGUACUAACAAGGUGUAAAUGCUGUGUGUUUGUAUCUUUGAGAAGAGGCAAAAUGGUGGGUAUAAAACCUGCUUCUUGAAGAGCUAGAGAACCUGGGGUUGAUGAUACCAACAUAGAAACAAGAGAAAGAAGAGCUUCAGCAAAUAUUAUGGACCAUUUCAUAGAACCACUGAUGAUAGAAUCAACUGCCUUCUGCAUGAGACUAGGAAGAAUACUACGAUGACCACCUGAAGUUACCGAGGACAAUACAGUAGGCUGGUGAGAUCGAUCUUGGGACAGUGCAACCAAUGAAAGGAUUCCCAAUAUCCUAAUUUUUUCUGGUAUCUCAUCCUCGUAGCUAAGCAAUGAUAAUAGCUCAUCAAUGAAUUCUGGUUCAUUAUUCAAAAAUGAUGAUAAACCUUCAGUAUCAUGGCCUGCUUGCACAAGAACAAUAAAGGCAUAUAGGCGGAUACAGAUAUAUUGGCGUCGACAUGUCAAAGUGUCAAAUGCCCUUGCAAAUCUCAAUCUUGUAAGAAGAGGGAACCUUAAAGCUUGCGGCACACUGUAAUCCUUGACCAACUUGUCCAAUAUUUCAAGGUCUGUCUCCUUGCAGGUAUUGACAUUCGGUAAAUGAAUUACUUCCAACCUGUUCCCCUUAUCUACAGACUGGGAUUUCUCUGAUUUAUCAGCACCACGAUAGAACUCAAAAUGGAGAGUGGAGCCAACUUCAGUGGAAACUGGAUCCGAUACAAUCGGCAAAGAACAUGCUAUUAAUCCAAGGCCGCCUUCUUUUCCACCCCAACCUUGAGAGAAGGCAAAUAACUUUGAAGUCAGAGAUGUGCUGCGUAUCGAGCUUUUCCCAACUGACUUGUUUACAAAUGCCAUUAAUGUCUGCAAGCUCGCUUCAACAAUAUCCGCAUCUGUAGAUGCUAGAAGAGCAGACAGAUGCUGCUGUAAACAUUGAGGACAAGAAAAAAAAUACAUACAUUAGCACUAUACUAAUGAGAUGAAGGAAACUUUGCACUAUAGAAAAAUAAAUACAAAUGGAAAAAAGAGAAUAGGACCUCCUGAUAAACAGGUGCAAGAAAGUGCUGACCUCAAAAAAACUAUAGAAGUGUCUAUUUGUGCAAUUUUCCAAUAUUAUUCUUGACACUCGAAGAAUUUGAAGGACUGCUUCCCUAGGAAAUGGGGGAUCCACAUCAAGAAAAUUAUCUUCGAGCAGCAAAUCUUUCCUUGAUUUGAUAUAACUCUCAAAGAAAGAAUCAAAGUGAUUGAAAAGGUCCACCCAGUGAUGAAAAUCCCCCUGCACCAUUUUGAUAGCAAGAGAUUAGAAUUCAUAACAUCAUCGCAGAUAUGUUAUAGAGGAAGAAAGGUCUACACUGUGCAAACCUUGUCAAAUUCCCAUGCAAAAUCCUUCAGAGGCAGUUCUACAUUGUCAAGAGGAACUGCGGUAACACUGUCGAUGAAAGAUUUUAUAUUUGGAGGCUGCAAAUAAAAAAAGUUCAUUGGUUCCAUUGGUGAAAGGUAUGAGAUUUGAAAAGGGAUCCACAAAUUCAAGCUAGUUUAACAGUCAAUAUAAAGCACUAAACAAAAAGCAACUAACUUGUGCACACAACUGUUUAUGAAAUAUUAUGUCCAGCUUAACUUACUUUAGCAGAUGAGCUGAAAACAAAAUUCAUUCUCCCAUCAGAUUUGGUAACCCAAAUCUUGACGUGUCAUUGGAAAGAAGUUGGGACUUGUACUGCUUAACUUUCUUUAGCAGAAGAGUUCGAAAACAAAAUUUAUUAUCCCAACAGAUUUAGUAACUCAAAUCUUGAUGCGUCAUUGGAAAGAAGUUGGCACUUGAAUUUUAAAAUUUUGGAAUAUCAAGUGGCAAGCAAAGCCAUGUCAAAGCUAGCAAAUUCUAGGACUCCACAUCAUGACCCGUCAGGAUUCUCCUAAUAAAGUACGGAUGGAACACUGCACAAAUACAUCUUAUACUUUUGACAUAAACACACCAAAAGAAUCUUUGCCUCUAAACAUUGCUCAAAGCCGUUGACCUUGACCAUAACAAAUAGCAAUUACAGAUUAUUUAUUAUUAAACUGAAUGCCCUUGUUUAAUCUGAAAUGCAGUCCGUUCAAAGAUCUAAGCAAUGUAGUGCAAAGCAUAUAAAUUUGUUUCGAUCUUUCUUAAGUCCUUGAGUUCAACUAUCAUAGUCAUAUCAAUCAUCAAAUUCAUCUCUUCACACAACUAGAGAACAAAACUUCAGACUACACCCACCUUCACCUGACCUUAACAAAUGGGGGUGGGGGGGGGGGGGGGGGGGGGUUAUUCAGGAAAAAGGAAAAGAACUAGAACAAAUCCAGAUUUAACUACUGCACAUACAGGUUUGGCCAACUGCGGAUCUAAGACAAGCGUUACAAGCAAAGAACCCCCACCAAGACUGCAUCAAACAGUAUGAUAGUCAGAAAAACACAGCCUUCCUGAUGAGCAUGGAACUACAAAGCAUCUAUCUUGAGGUCAAAAGCUUCUUUUUUGUAACCAUAAACUACCGUUGCAAGGAUUGCAGACACUGAACACUGCACAAGCCAUGAUGCCAGCCUAGUGAUUCCCAAAACCGAAAGGUACCCUGGGCAUGCGGCAUCCUAAACCCCCCAAAACCUUCUCCCGCCGGAACAGGAAUCGCCACCAUGGGCUGUACCCCGCACGGGUAAAAACCCCGGGGCAAUACCCUAAUCCGUUCGCAAUCGCAGGCCGCCGCGAUCAGGGCGAUCGGCACAUAGAUCGCGGCGAUCGAGUGGGAAUAGGGUAACAGAUUGGGGCGAGGCGGCGUACCACUUCCACCGCGCGUCGCCGCUUGAGCUUCAUACCGCAAUUCGCAUCGCCGGGGGGGGGGGGGGGUGAAGGAGGGGGGUGGCGGCAAGGCCCUCCGCCACCUCGUCCGCCGACUCAGCCGCAGGGGGGCAACCCGCUGCGCUGUCCGCCUCCGCCUGGGGGCGCUACGCCGUCCCCUCCGGCAGCCGCCGCCGAGGCGCCGCGCGGUUAGGGUUUUGGGGGGGCGCUGGGGCGAUCGCUGGGGAGAGAAGGAGAGGAAUCGUAUCGGGGAGGGGGAUGCGCGUGUCGUUCUGAAGGAGCGAGAGAGGGGGCAGGGGAGGGGAGGCGAGGUAAAGGAGACGAGCGCUGCUACGCGUACGGCGACGGCGGUUAUGUGACUGUGAUGAUGAUGAUGCCUAGGCCCACGCUACCACGGUGCACGGUGAAGACCAUAGUGCUUUUUAACACAAACCAGGUGAAGAUCAUAGUUAGGGGGUGUUUGAUAGCAGGUGCUACUGUCACAUCGGAUGUUUGAACACUAAUUAAGAGUAUUAAACAUAGUUUAAUUACAAAACUAAUUGCACAAUCCCUAGGCUAAAUCGCGAGACGAAUCUAUUAAGCCUAAUUAAUCCAUCAUUAGCGAAUGGUUACUGUAAUUAGCACCACAUUGUCAAAUCAUGGACUAAUUAGGCUUAAUAGAUUCGUCUCGCGAUUUAGCCUAGAGGUUGUGCAAUUAGUUUUGUAAUUAGACUAUGUUUAAUACUCCUAAUUAGUGUCCAAACAUCCGAUGUGACAGGUGCUAAAAUUUAGCACAUGCCUCCCAAACACCCCCUUAGUGUUGCCGGUUGCGCUUGAAAAAUCCUUGACUAUGCGACCAUCAUUCUUUUUUUCUAAAUUCACAAUGCGUGAAUUAUGAUUUUCAUAUAUGUGGCGGAACCGCCCAACUUAAGCUGGUUUAAGUGCGCCUAAUCGCUAUCGGACAGCAAUUAUCCGAAACGCACCUAAAAUAGCAUAAGUCCGGUAGUCCGUCGAGUGUCCCUAGGACUCCUCGAAAGAUCCACGACGUGUCUCAUAGCCAUAUAUCAGGAUAGUAUCCGCGAUGGGAUAACAUCAACAAACAUUACAUUUUUACAUACAUAUAGAAGGUACGAGUUAUUACAGAACAUAGAUUGAAGCAAACUUAGCAGUGCAGUGUUAGACGGAGUUCUAAGAUUUAAACAUAAACAGUUCAGGAGAAGAUGAGCAUUUAAAACUUCUUCUUUAAGGGUAUUGUGAGACUCAUGACAAUACCCUAGGGCUUCGGGGCUUCCUCCUCUGUAGACUCCUGCGGAGCUUCUGAAAGAUAGCCACAAGGGAUAACCCUGAGUACGGGAUACUCAGCAAGUCUUACCCGACUAACCAAUAUAAUAGCUUUCUUGGGAUGUAUAUGAUAGCUUUUUGGUGUACUUGGCUGAUGCAACUUUUGUCGAAAAAGCUUACGAUAAGUGAUGCCUUAGUUUUAUCUUUUAUUUGGGUUAAGUCAUUACCUAACCCUUCUAAAUGAUAAACAAAAAGUAAAAGCAAUCAUAAAUGUUAAGUCAUACAUCGAAUAUUAACAGAAACUAUACAUUGCAUGAAUUUAUACUACGAUGCUCAACGGUGAUCAAGUGCAUUCAUAACCGAGAAUUGCGGUGAUCUGGAUCCAUUUACAUCCUGCAGGAGAGUACCCUGACCACCAGCUUUAUACGACUGUCCAGGUCGUACAUAACAACCUCUCGAUUAGCAAAAUCAAUGAUUAGGAAUACGACUACCCGGACCCAGGGAUGCACCCCCACAUGGGACCCCACGUCUGGCCCGAUCUUCAUGUGAGUUUCAGGCUACACCCCUGCCAAUCUCCAGCACGUCAAGCGCGGGUACGAAGUAUUCCCGAUCAUAGAGUUUACUAACCUACUGGGCUUUACUGGUCCCAUACCCAGUAAGUGAUCAAAUGCUUAUCACUUGAUCAAAGGUUAAGACAACGAAUCGGGCCUUAACCAAUUAAUCUAGCAGACAGAACUACAUCUCUAGCUUCUGUCCGCUUUUCUAUCUCCAAGUUAUCUUUCAUAAGCAACAUGUAGGACUCAAAAGUUUUCCUUAAGGUUGGUAAACCGAGUAUGUAAGCAAGUAAGCAAUUCUAGACUUGGGUAUCUUCUAAGGUUUGAACAAGUGGCAAAGAUGUCCUUAAAACAAGGCAUGAUCAUGCACAAGAAUAGGUUUCAAGCAACUCCUAGACUUAGUGCAUACAUAAAGCAAUUAACCGAUAAUUGGACACAUGAAAUAACGACUCCAAAAUAGAUAGGUAUAAAUGCACCGGGGCUUGCCUUGUUCGCUUAAAAAGUUAGUAUUCUCUGACGGGUUGGCUUCACAGGGGACUAAUUCAAAAACUUCUUCGAACUCCGAAGGUCCUUCUGAAAAUUCCAAAUAUUCUCCUUCUGGUGCUUCGGGAUCUAUAGCAUAACACAUGCAGGGGUUAGGAAUGCAAAAUUUGAAUAAAAGACUAUACAACUUUCCUUCAUGAUAAGGUUGCAAGCCAACAAGGACUAUACAAUUUAUCAUGAUAAAGUUGCAAGCUAACACACAAAAACCCAAAAGAUUAACCCACAAUUUUUAUUUUCCUAUUUAACCCUACCUAAGGCUUUUUCUUUUGUCUUUAGAAAAAGUUAUAAUUAAUUUCUAACUUGAAAACCUAAUUUCCUAUGAGUUAAGAAUAAUUUGUGAUUAAGAAAAUGUUAUUUCAUAUUUUAUACAUUUUAUAAAUAUUAAGUAUUUAUUUAAUUACCUUAAAAGGAAGGCAUUAAAUAACUACUCGAAUUUUUAUUAUUUUCCUAGGGUGUAAAAAUUUUAAUGCAUAAAGAAAAAUAAAACAAGUCUAACAAAAUUGGUUUCACUAAUUUUGGACACUCCUAGAAAUUUCUGUGAUUUAAACGGUGUAAUUUGGAUUUAAACUAAUUACUUUCUAAAGGAAAUCUAAUUUUUCCCGAAAAACGCCCUGGAAAACUUUUCUUACGCAGCCUGACUCUACCCCCUCUCAUGCGCACUGGGCCCCACGGCGCGGACCCACCUAUCCCUAUUCCUUUCUACCCGCCGGCCUUAUUCUCCCCCUGACGGGCCCUGUGGGCCGUUUUCUUUUUCCUCGGCCUGCCACCGGCCCAACGGCCCUCUUCCUUUUUUUCCUCUUUCUUUCACGGGCGCGGCCUGCUUCCCACUGGGCCUUCGGCCUUUUUCAACCACGACCGACUGCCCCGGCUUUCUUGGGCCUCCGACGCACCAGCCCAACAACCGCCCGCGCCCCAGCCUCCUUCUCCUCUCCUCCUUUCUCUCUGCCGCGCGGGCCCGAGCUCCAGGCGCUUCUUCCUCCUCCCGCCAAAACGCGCGCGCGACAGGGGGCGGCGCGACUCGCCGGCCGGCGCCCUACCGGCGGCGAAGCUAGGUCAGGACAGCACCUCUACACCUUCACGCACCCGUGCGCGGCAACAGCUCCUCGGGAGAUGGCCGGAGCCAUUCCCUCCACGGCGACGGGCGGCGACACCUUCGGCCGGUCGCGACUACUCACGACGACGGCACAAACUACUCGAAUAACUACUCUUACACCAUCCUAGUACCCUAAGGACUUGCCUACGACUACUUAAGGAGGAAGGGGAACAGCGCAAGGUAGUGCUCACCGUGAGCGGGAGGCGCGGCGACGGCUGACAGAAGCGACGGCGGUUCAAGGCGUGACGACGAAGAAGCUGGGCAACAAGCUGCUAGGGUUACUGGUGGGGUGUGGGCGGAGGUGUGGACGGAAGGAAUCGACAGGAGCUGCGGUGUGGCGGUGGAAUUUUACUCGGCGGCGGCGUUCAACAGAGGAGGCGGUGGUGGUAAGAAAAAGACGGCGGUGAAACGGCGGCGCGGGAGCGGUAAAUAUACAAACGUCUUACCGCGCGCAUGGUUGCCACCGUGGUCUACCCAUAGGCUUAUGUGGUGAGGAGGUGGCCUAGCCGUUGCGCUGGCGAGCGACCGACGACGGCGGCGGCGACACGUCCUGCUGCUCUGUCAUCGCCUCCCCCCUUUUCUUUUGACGCCCGAAACUUCAGAGUACUUCCACGGCCGAUUUCCAAUCCAACGGUCCCCAAGUGCCUUAAUAGAAGUUGGAGAUAAACUCGAACCCUCCACUUUUUAUUUUGGCUCUGACCCGAGAUAAGUAUCAAACAUGGCUGAAUUUUGAAUUGUUUCCCGUGUUCAUCUGAAUGUAUCUGAAAUUGGCAUUCAGUUCGUCAGUUAACCGACAGUGUCACUUGCUUCACUUUGGGAUUGAGUUUAGUGAUCCAAUUCCUCUCCUUUCAGUCCAACUUCUUCCCAAAUGUGUUCUACAACAUCCCAAGGUUCCAUUUUGCUCAAGAACGACUACUCUUUUUGAUCUACCUUGCUCUGAAUUCAAGUCCAAAGUCGACUCUAUGCUGCUGGUUUCAGACUUAACCAUUUUCAGUGAUGUCAUUUGCAGUGACAAGAUGCUGACUUUGAGCUGGAAUUUGAAUUCGUUCCCUUCACUGUUUCUGGCCAACAACAUCCAAUUCUAGUAGUCCAAAGUUCAUACUUCAAUAUGGUAUAGUUGUCCUGAUUCACUUAUUUGAAAUUUUUUUCAGAAAUCAAUUUUGAAAACAGACUCUGCUGCUGUUUUUCUGAGUUCCUAUUUUCGGACAGUGAACAGUAAAUUCAAUUUUCCUUUUUCUUCCUUUGAUUUCUCUGAGAUAUUUAGCACCAUUUCUGUUCCAAAUUCUUGAUCCCUAAGUUCUAGUCACUCUUACACUUGUAUUCUAUAUUUUUGCCGAAUUUUUCUGAAUUUCAAAUUCAAAAUUCAAAUUUCGGCCAAAUUUGACCCGAAUUUGAUUUUUGGCCAAUUUCUUUUCCUUUUCUUCUUGAAUUGCUUCCAAUUUAUCAAAGUCACUUUAAUGACUCAAUUGGCAGCUGUUACAAUAUAUUACCGGUUUUUUUAAAUUUCGCUUAAUUGAAGAUUUCCUAUUGCGUUAGCUUAGCUUUACGUGUAAAAAGGCAAGUAUAUUGGUGUUGUCUAAUAAGCGGUCGCAUAUAUUGACACGUAAUCUUAAGACGACCUAACAAAUAAUAUGUACAAUGUGUUGCCAUUUUAAGUUGUCUUAUAGUAAUUAUGUUUCCUUAAAUUGUGCAUAGAGAAAAAUAAAAUAUUAUGAGUUGUAUGCAACUACAAUUCGUACAAUGGUGGAGUUGUUGUCUCAUAGUCCUGAAAUCUAACCUACAAGGCGGUUGUUUCACGAAACAACGACCUCUUUUUCUCUCCUCACCCUCUCUCCUCCACAUCAACAAAAAUCUUACGUGACACUGCAUGAAACGACCUAUACAAUCGUGGCUAACUACAUUGUCAAUUUGUCAUCUUUUAGGUCCUUUUAGGGCAAGUCAUUCGGAGACAACCAUUGACUUCACUACAACCCAAUAUCGAUUUAAUUUGUUCUUGUUGCCGCAAAAACGUGACACGUCAAAUACUAAUGCAGUGUCCAGAAAAGCUUGUUGCGUCGCCUCUGCACCAAACCAUUCAAACUAGUUCGGCAAACCAUUAGACCGGUUUUGCCGAUGAGCCCGGCGAAGGAUCAUUGAAUGUCUACCCGAGAGGGACACCAUUAGGGUGGGAGCAUCUUAGGUUGACCUAGGCUCGGCAGGCCAGUUAGGACACCUCCUCAUGUCAUGGAAAUAAGAGAAGAAUAGCACAUGGGUUGGAAAAGUAGGGGAAAGAGGAAAAGUAAGGGGUUGUUUGGAUGUGCUAUUGUUAAAGUUUAGCAAGUGCUUAAGUUUAGCUCAUCUAAAGUUUAGCGUUUCCACCCAUUAGCACUCUCGUUUGGAGACAUGGCAAAUGGAUAGAGCUAAAGUCCAUGUCACUUUUGUCCUUUUAUCUUCUCACCUCCUGUCGGUGUUUUAUAGCUGGCAACCUACUAAAGGGUAUCCUAAGGUAGUAGAUUGGUUGGUGGGGAAUCGUUGGAUCUGGAACUUUAGGGUAAAAAGCGAGAACACAAGACAUAGAUUUAUACAGGUUCGGGCCGCUAGAGUAGCGUAAUAUCCUACAUCCUGUUCACCUCCUGUCGGUGUUUUAUAGCCGGCAACCUACUAAAGGGUAUCCUAAGGUAGUAGAUUGGUUGGUGGGGAAUUGUUGGAUCUGGAACUUUACGGUAAAAAGCGAGAACACAAGACAUAGAUUUAUACAGGUUCAGCCGCUAGAGUAGCGUAAUAUCCUACGUCGUGUUCACCUCCUGUCGGUGUUUUAUAGCCGGCAACCUACUAAAGGGUAUCCUAAGGUAGUAGAUUGGUUAGUGGGGAAUCGUUGGAUCUGGAACUUUACGGUAAAAAGCGAGAACACAAGACAUAGAUUUAUACAGGUUCGGGCCGCUAGAGUAGCGUAAUAUCCUACGUUCUGUUUGGGGUAUUGUAUAUUACACCAUGCGCUUGCGUAUUGUGUAGCCUGAUUGUUGGCUAUUGAUGAUGGUUCUGAGCUUUGUUGGUCUAAGAUGCCGAUCUAGGUACCCUACUAUCAUUUAUAUACUCAGGGGUAGGAUUACUAGUCGGUUACAAGGAGGAGUCCUAUUAAGAUUAUAUGGUAUAAGUCCUAGUAGGAUUAUAGAGGAAUCCUAGUAGGAGUCCGUCUUCUUCCUUCCUUGCGGGUACUGGGGAUCUAUCCCCGAUAAGCCCCCGAGUGCUUCAUAGUCGAAUGCAACAGUCUUCGAGUACUUUUUAGAUUAUUGCCGAGUAGUUUUGGUGCUCUUCGAGUACUUUGUCUAGCAAAAUCUUCAAAGUUCCUCAAAGCUGUUAUAAGGCUAUGGUGUGCUCAAGGCCUUGAUCGUCUUGAUUUUGUAAUCUUCAUAUUUGGAAUGUGAUAUGAAGGGUGGCGGAAGUCGCACUCCAUGUGGAGUAGCCCCCGAGCCUUAGAUUGAAUCGAAGAAUCAGGCUGAGGGUCAAUAAAAUCUUAAAUCUUCUUCUUUCAUCUUGAAAAAAUCUUGGGUGUAGCUUAUCAGCCCCCGAGUUUUGGACUGAUUAAUUAAUCAAUCCGAGGGUCUUUAGUCUUCACAUAAGUCAUCAUCCGAGUAGUUUUGCGGCAUCUAGCCCUCGAUCUUAUGUGCCAGGUGAGCCAUAGGAGCCACGUCGAGUAGUUAUUGGCGCUUAGCCCCUGAGUUUGAGAGCUAACGGAGCUACCGGAGGUAUUCUGAGUAGUAAUUGGUGCUUUAGCCCCCGAGUAUGGGAGCUAGCGAAGUCAUUAUAGGUACGUUGAGCGUCCUCGAGAGUCGUCACUGAAAUGUGACCUGACAAAAAAAAUGCAUACAUUAUGUAGCAUAUUUGUAGAAUUUGAAAUUACUGAAAUUUAUUUAGUGAUGAAUAUAAUGUAAAUGUUGUGUGCCAUGCUCUUGUUUCGGUCAUAUUUCUCCUGAGUAGUUAGCCUGUUAUGUUUAGACUCUCAGUCUCUGUUUAGCCAUUGCCAUUGCGUGUGUGAGAUCUUUGUGUCUUGUGUACACGUACUGGCACUGCUGUUUGCACGUCUGAGAUCUUUUUGUUUCAUGUAUGCGUGCUAACGUUUAGGCAUGAUAAAAGAGCCGAGGCUAUCACGAAUUGAGGCGUGUUCUGCUCAAGGAUAUUGGCAAUCGCUAAGAGAAAACAACAAAAAAUAAGUAGUCGGCAUUGUGACAAAAAGAGAGCGCGAUUGCGCUUAAAGUAGUUGUUGAGACUUCUUUGUCUUUUGGCGAGGAGAGCGCGUGUUGUGUGCAUAGGAUUUGUGCCUUCUUAGGGUGCAGGGUGCAGCUGUAUGUGAGCCUCCAGUAUUCAGUGCAUCAAAUCUGUGGCUAUUGUCUUCAAAAUUCAAUGUACCAAAUCCGUGGCAGUACCUCCAAAACUCAGUGCACCAAAUCUGUGGCCGUAGCCUCCGUAAUUCGAUGUACCAAGCCCGUAGCUGUUGGUCAACAUGCCCCAGGAAUAGUUGGCAAAGUGUAGCUCUGUAGGGUAAUUCCCAUUAAGAGGCAUACACAUAUAGGUAGUCGGCGCGUUGUCCUGUAUGCAGAAAACAAGCUGAAAAAAUUUAUAUAAAAUAAUUAAAAAAGUGACAUAGCUUGAUUCGUGGACGAUUGUCGACGAAGUCAUGUUGAUUGUUGAUGAAGCCAACUAGUCGAGUCGAUUCCGACUAGUUGUUAAUCACGUGGAACCCACCCUCGACUAGUAUUCUAGUCGAGACGAGUAGUCGAAGUAGACCGUCCUCAACUAGGUUUUUUAGUUGGGACGAACAGUCGAAAUAGUAAUCGGUGAUUUGCCUCAAUCUGCGCGUGACUUGAUCGACGAGCCGUAUGCAGCAGCCUGCGGUGGAAACUGACUCGAUCUUCGUUUGGAACGUGGAGCGCAUUAAUUAUGCCUCGACGUAGAUUUAUCUGCUCAGAACUCCGACUCGGUGACUUGCUUCUUGUCAAGUAGAUUGAUCUUGAUGAUUAGGUCCUUCAAACUCGCCCGAUGAUCUUGACGAUCACCCCUACCUAGUGCAUCAGAUGUUGGUGUUUUAUACCCAGCAACCUACCGAAUGGUAUCCCGAGGUACUAGAUUAGUUGGUGGGAACUGAAACUUGAUGGUAAAGUAAGGACACUGUUGGCGCUAAAGAUCAGCCGAUUGAAUCUCAGCGUCAGACACACGACCCGAGAGAAUCUGUUUAAAACCUAUUUUGGUAAUCGUCCUGGUGCGGUUUGCGCGGCGUGCCAGCCAAUCUGAUUUGUUGAUUGGCAAGGAAAGAAACGUGUCAGAUCCCAGAGGUUGCGAUCGGCUAAGGUUCCGAUCUCGACGAAGCUUAUCAGCGAAUCGGCCGAUUUGCUAUGAUAAAGGAAUCGGCUAUAGCGCAACCGACUACUAGGUAACUUUUGUAAAGAAAAUUACCAGAGUAAACUAAACAACGCUACAUUAGCAAUACUUGAAACAGAUCUAAUCGGCUAUGCGAAAGCGGUAGAUAAGCGAUAAAGAUAAAUAAGCCGAAAACUCUAAUUCCAAGCCGGAUAACUGAUGAUAAAACUAGAACAAAAGGUAAAACCUAGAAUUCUAGUAAAUAUCGAUAACUGGUGAAUAAAUCUAAACGAAACGACAGCGAUGCGCCCGAAGUUAAAGCUUAGAUGUUACUCGAUAAAUGGAACUUACAAAAUCGGCCGGAGAUCAAGUCGAUGCAGCCCUGCCAACCCGUACGAACUCAUGAAAAGAAGAAAAGUAUUGGCGAAGUCGCCGACUUGAAAGUAAAGUACGAGAAAAUAGUAGAUUGUUGUAUUGAUUUGAUGUUAUGUUUACAGAUCUCUAAAGAUGGCUAUUUAUAGCCUGUUACAAUCAACCUCUUAACCAACUAGGACUCUAUCUCUAAUUUUAAACGAAAACGACUAUUUACAAGCACAACUCGUAUUGGAGUUGGUCGUCGCGCUCCCAUGGGCCAAUCCCCUUCUAUCUUCGUAAUCCACUUUAAGCCCAUAUUGGCCCAAUUGCUCCAGCCUCCUAAUCGGCCGAUUUCUACCAACUCCAUCCGCCAAAAUACUACAGCGCCAAUCGGCCGAUCUCCAACUGUAGCACCAAUCGGCCGAUUCCCAAUCGUGGCCUUUUCGUUUCGCCGCAUCAGCUAAUCCUUUCCUUUCUUGACGCCGAUUCCAUACGUGUCAAAAUCUGGCGUCAACACAUGCCCCCCAGUUUCGGAGUAAAACGUAAUCUUUACUCCGAAAUUCCUUUCAACUUCCCUUUCGAAACAAACGCAUUAAAAAUAUCUUUCCGUUUCGCGAUCUUCUACCUGAUGACUACAAUUUUUUCGAAACGGGCGCCUGAGACAACCACUCCUCCCGAAAAAUCGCAUCGACGGCGCGGUAAAAUUCCCGCUUUUACCCCUUCUCAGACCGUCCUUAAAUAUCAGCACGUCCCACACUUCUUUUUCACAAGCCCACGUCUUCCUUCUUUGGCGCACUGGUUUCCUUCUUCCCCCGGUGCCUGUUUAGCUUCUAAUCUCCUUCCCCGGCGAUCUUUUCAUCUACAUUCCAUUCUACCUCCCCAAUGGCGACACCUUCAGGAACUUCACCAACACCCGAGGGCCCGGAGACGGCCCCACCAGCGGUGGCUCCAGCGGCAGGAGCAGGAGCUUCAUCGACGAUGGAGGCCCCACCGACGGCUUCGGCAUCUGUAGCUCCGCCAGCAAUCCCGCCAACCACGAUGAGCUUCAUACCGGAGGUCCUUACUGAAACUUUUUUUUUUCACUUUUCAACGCCAAGGCAUUUACCUUAGAUCCGUUCUUAUUUUUCCUCCAUUUUUACCUUUUUUAGGCCGUUAGGCACCAGAUCACCAUUCGCCUUACCGAAACCCCCGGUCUUAUCUGUCUUGGUCCUAUGGGAAACCCAGAUCCAACUGAUCUAAUCAACUUGGAAACACAUAGAAUUCCAUUUAAGCAGUCGACCAUGGACUUAGAUCACUGGUCAGGUACCUUCAGAUCGUGGCCGAAGGAAACUCCUGGUUGAAAAGAAUGGUACCAAAUGAUAGCCGCCUCUAAAAGGGUUCAAUGGGACGAGUGAAAAAUCGGCCAAUGUAUCGAAUUGUCGUUGUCCCAGAUGGAAAGGAAUGAGCCUUUAGUGAUAGCAGCCUCCUAUUUUUGGUCCGACACUCUCAACGCGUUUCUCUUCAGACAUGGGCCCAUGACCCCCACUCUGGCCGAUGUAGUAAUGUUGACCGGCCUUGACAUUUCCUCUCCUGACACCCCUUUUCGAUACUUGGUCAAAACGUCCCAUCGGUUGGAAACAAAAGGAAUCGGCGGGUGGAAAGGGUUUAUUAAGAGCAACAAAAGGACCAGAAUAGUCGCAGAGAGGGAGCACGCGGCCUUCCAAAUGAUGUGGCUGGUCCAUCUUCUAAUACACAGGCUCUGCCCGAGGCACUAUCGAUAGGAGCUUCUGUUCCUCUCGGAAAACAUCUACUGGGAUCGGCCUACCAUAUGCUGCAUCAGAUCAGCGUCAAGUUAUCCAAGGGAGAGCCGAUUGGAAAUCCAGGUGGACCCUGGUGGUUCAUCAACCUAUGUCUCAAUCUGUACAUGAGCAAGAUCUCACAGCAGCGAGUGGAGCACAUGACUUUUCCCAACAUCGAAUCGGCAGAAAAUUCCACAGUACGGCGUUGGUGCACUUCCUUCGAUGAAGCAGCAUAAACUUUUUCCGGUUGCCAGUACUCUGCCACCAAGGUACCCGGAUAUUUUAGAUGUUUCUACAAUGGCUUCAGUGAAGAAGCAACUAGCUGGUUCCCGUAUCAAAGGUCGGAACCACUCUUCGAGCUCCCCUCUUGUUUUGACUCGACGACCAACACCUUUGAUGACGACCUCACGGAUGAGUUGAUCAAGCCAGGGAUCUUGCCGACGAAUUUCUUCUCAAGGAAGGACGCCCCUACCUAUGAAUUUUAUAAUCCAUCUGUCGCAGCACGACAAUUCGGCUUGGGCCAACUGCCGAUUUAUGCAUAUUUCGCCGGCCGGGCAAAGUUCUGAGACGAGCUCACCAAAGGCCUCGAUUACAGUCGGCUGUACGAUCGGGUCCCAGAUUCAAGUACCAUAGACUUGACCAAUUAGAUAGUGGCCCCUUUUGCCGUUCAACAGUUCAAGCUAUGGUGAGCAGAAUGGAAACAACAUCUCUUCUGUGCUUCUGCGGCGAUAUAUUGCAACAUCCCGGACCCCGACAACAUUGAUCCAAACGCAGAGGUAUCGCCCCCUCCUUAGCCGAUUUUUUAUUCCUUUUUUCUUUCUAUACCACUGACUCUUAAUUUUCUGUCAGCCUGAGAGCCGAGUCCCUCCAAAACGCAGUUGGAGCGGUCGGCCGAUAGAGAACCGUUAUCCGUACACGGAAUUUCCCCUUAUCGGCUAUCAUGCCCCCUUCGUUGACAACAUCACCGGCCGAUUGAAGCAGGCGCAGAGGAAGAUCGUAAAGAAAACAAGUCGCCGGGUGUGCGCCCGCACGGAAUCGGCCGAUCCAUCCGCGGCUGCGUCGGCGGAGUCUUUGGCUGCGCCAACCCUCCCAGUCAUUGAGGAGAUUGAGCCCCAAGCUGCUAUAGAAGCUGGAGCGGCUGCCGCGUCGCUGUUGGUAGAAGCUAUUCAGGUAAAAUCACCAUCUAAUUCCUCCCGGCUGAUACUUUGGUACUGACUUUUCCCUAUAUCAGGCCGCACAAACCGCCCCGGUGGAUCCACAGCAAUCGGCAAUGCCCCAGGCAGAAACUGGAAUACCAAUGCUUCCUCCCACUGAGGUAUCGGGCUUCUUAACUUAAUCCUUUAAAGUUUAAGCAAUGACCUAACCACUUUUGAUGUAGGUUACCGGCAUGCUAACUGCACCUUCCGAACAGCCAUCGGCGAGAAAAGUUCCCCAAGAGGCCGGCCCGAGCAGGACGCCAAUAAUUGUCGAAUCCUCCUCCUCUGAUGAGCCAACCGCACCAGCCCCUGAACCGAGAGUAACAAUUCCUAAGGUGCAAAUAGAGGAAAUCCGCUUUAAAGAAGUAAGAAGUUCUAUCACCCGAACUGGCAGAUUCGGUAUCAUCGUCGGCUAACUUAUUUUUCCCUUUAUUCAUGCUUUUGCAGGAACAGGACACUCCCAAUAAUAGCCUCUUCUCAUUUGUGGUUGCACUCUCCGAUGACGAAGAAGUCGCCUCUCGUCAAGUUACCCUAAGCUCCGUCCCCAACGAUGUUCGCGCCAAACUCGAGAGCAUACGAACCCUUCUCCAAGAAGACAUCGGCCAAUUAGUGGAGGAUGCCUUGCCGAUUCGACAGCUCUUUGGUGACGUCAGUGGUCGAGUCCCAGAAGAGGCGGAAGAAGCCUUGGCGCCCGCUGCAUACAUUGAAUCGAUGCGGAUCCCGGUGUUUGGGGCCCUGCGCCAUAUGGCCGAUCGUGCCAAGCUGGCCAAGACUCGUGAGGAGGAGGAUUUGUACAAGCACCGGGCCCAAGAGGUACACCAUCGGAUCCACUUCCUCGAGAACUCCCGCUCCGGAAUCGUCGAUACCAUAGAUCGCCUCAAGCGCCGAAGGGCGGAACUCGCCAAAGAAAUGGAGCAGGUAGUCAAGGAGAUAGCCAUCGAAGAGUAGAAACUUCAAGAUCUCCCCUCUGUCAUUGCCGAUUUGAAGCAGGAGAGGCAGCACUUGGCCUACGAGGCUCUCAGACUUCAUCGCCAUAUGCCAGAGGUCCCGGGAUCGGCGGAAGAUCACCAGCGGGUUUUAGAUUCGGCCGACCAGAUCGGGCGAUGAGCGAUUGCGGCUAUUAAUGCCCUUCUGGGAUGAUCUGUGAAAGUAUUGGUCGUUUUGUAAGAACAUUAAUACCCUUUGACCGUUUGAUGCCUGAACUCAAUCUUGACCCGUCCUUCGUGGCACUCCUUUUAUUUAUUACCUUUUUAUUCUGACGGGACACGUCUUACCAAACCCUCGCCCUUUCUCUUCCUAUAAGUACCAACCCUGGUAUUGCUUUCAAGAGUACUUGCUCUACUCAAUCUUUUUUCCUUCGAUUGCUUUUUCAUCAGAAUACUUGCAGAGAUGUCUUCUUCAUCCUCUUCCUUCUCCUCUUCUUCUAUCAACCAGGUAAGAGAUCUGUCUUCGUCUUUUCCUUCCCAGUUUGAUCCUUUUAAACCAAUCUAACUUUAGGCGGUUACGUGUUAAUUUGUUCAGCUGAGACGCUUUAGCCCUGAACUCGAACGGGCGAUCGAAUUCAUGCACUCCGACGAGCCGUUGUCACAGGAAGAUGAGGACCUGAUCAGGGCACACCGUGAAGAACUCAGAGAUCACGUCCCCGUCGACAUUCAACGGAUAUGGGAUUUCAUCGAUGGUAACUGUGACAGGCGGCCGCCAGUCAAUAGGAGCCACCCACUCGCUCACCCGGUUGCCCUUGAAAACGCCGCAGCGGAAACAUCUCGCCCGGUGCUGGAUCGGAGCCAUCCUCUUCCUCGCUAGGUUGAGGUGGAGGCCGCGAUGAAAGAUGUGGAAGAACGAAGUGCCCGCCUUCUGAUGGAAUUAGGUCGAAUUGAGAAGGACCUCGGGAAGAAGCGUAGUUGAGUAUUUUUGUUCUAAGGGCAACUUGUACCGCGUCGGCCGUGUAACUUAUCGUCCGUACCGAAUGAUAAAUCGCUCAACCUAAACGAUUACUUUUCUUCUCUAGGCGAUCCCUUUUUCUGCAUCGGCUAUAUGAUUAUCCAGGAAAUAACCGCUCUGUCUUGCCAUGCCCCAUAAUGAUUCUUAUGCAUCGACCCAUAUACUGGGGUAAUAUCUUUUCAAGUACCUCCCGUUCAAGGCCCUAGUAAAUUCUUCCCCUUCGAUUGUCUCCAGAAUGUAUGCGUUUCCCGGAGCGCAUCGGCCGAUUCUAUACGGCCCUUCCCAAGUGGGAGACCAUUUACCGAAUUUAGGAUCUUUAGAUCCAAUCGGCAGCACCAACUUCCAUACCAGAUCCCCUUGGGAGAACUGCUUGACUUUGACCUUCUUGUCAUACCAGGUGGCUACCUUCUUUUUAUUCUCCUCAAUGCUGAUCAAGGCCCUCAAACGUUGACCUACCAAAUCGUCGAGUUCCCUUUUCAUGAGCGAGGAGUAAUCAUCGGCCGUCAACUGAACCUGAAGCAAUGUAUGUCUUGAGCCCGUUCUCAACUCCCAUGGCAAUACUGCCUCGUGACCGUACACCAGUUGAUAAGGAGAUACCUUGGUAGCUCCGUGGCAAGCCAUCCUUUACGCCCAUAGAGCUUCGGUCAAACAUAAGUGCUACUUUUUAGGCUGUUCCUCGAUCUUCCUUUUGAUCAGCUUAAUUAUCCCCUUAUUGGAAGAUUCGGCCUGGCCGUUAGCUUGAGCAUAAUACGGGGAGGAGUUCAGCAGCUUGAUCCCCAUAUCAGCCGUGAAUUCCUCGAAUUCUCCCGAUGUGAACAUCGUUCCUUGAUUGGUUGUGAUAGUCUGAGGGAUACCGAAGCGAUAGACAAUGUGGUCUCUUACGAAAUCAACCAUAGCGGCCGAUGUUACGGCCUUUAAUGGAAUCGCUUCCACCCAUUUGGUGAAAUAGUCCGUGGCUACUAGGAUGAAUUUAUGCCCCUUAUUUGAUGGAGGAUAAAUUUGUCCGAUGAGGUCUAUUCCCCAACCUCUGAAUGGCCAUGGCUUGAUAAUUGGAUUCAUGGCCGAUGCGGGUGCACGCUGCACGUUUCCAUAUUUUUGACAGUCUUGACAUCCUUUAUAAUAUUUGAAACAAUCUUCAAGGAUCGUCGGCCAAUAAUAUCCAUUAUUCCUAAUCAUCCACUUCAUUUUAUGCGCCGAUUGGUGAGCUCCGCACACGCCUUCGUGGAUUUCUCCCAUCAGGAUUUUUGCCUCCUCUGUCCCCAGGCACUUGAGCAGAACGCCAUCAAUCAUUCGGUAGAAUAAAUCAUCUUCUAGUAAUACAUACUUCAUGGCUUGAAAACGCACUCGCCGAUCUACUUUCUUGGACGGAUCUUUUAAAUAAUCGGCAAUCUCUUUUCGCCAAUCGUCGGCCGUGAGUUCUAGAGUCAUGGCGCCUUGAAUCGGCUGAUACCCGGAUGCGUGCUGGGCAAGCCUGUUGGCCUCUUCAUUAUAAUUCCUGGGAAUAUGCUCAAUAACCGCGGACUUGAAUUCCUUCAAAAUUUGGAGGCAAUCCUCAUAAUAAACCCUCAAAGCAUCAUCUUUGCAUUCAGAUCUUCCUGUCAAUUGGUCCACGAUGAGCAUGGAAUCUCCAAAAAUUUCCACAGCGUCAGCCUUAAUCUCUCUCAACAAUUGUAUCCCUUUUAGGACAGCUCGGUACUCCGCUUGGUUAUUAGUAGCGGAUGCUUCUAUCGGCAGAGAGAAAUCAUAAAUUGCCCCCGAGAUGAUAUGAGAACAAUACCGAUUCCUGAUCCGGCCCCACAUGACGAGCCAUCAAAAUACAGAGUCCACGGAACUGGCUCGACGACAGCGACUUCUGGUCCGCAGUGCUGGGCGACGAAAUCGGCCAUGACUUGGCCUUUGAUGGCCUUUGCCGACUCAUAUCUUAGAUCAAACUCCGACAGAGCCAAAAUCCACUUUCCAAUCCACCCUUUCAAAAUCGGCAAUGACAACAUGUAUUUUACUACGUCAUCUUUGCAUACGACUACACACUCUGCCGAUAACAGGUAGUGCCUGAGUUUGGUGCAUGAGAAGUAAAGACACAGGCAUAGUCGUUCUACUGGGGGGUAUCUCGUUUCGGCAUCCAGAAGCCUUCUGCUAACAUAAUAUAUCACCCGUUCCUUUCCUUCAAACUCUUGGACCAGUGCCGACCCGAUAGCUUGAUCGUCGGCCGAUAAAUAUAGCUUGAAUGGCUUAUCAGCUUGUGGUGGGACCAACACGGGUGGCAAGACUAAGUAACCUUUGAUGUCUUUCAGUGCCCUGCGUUGUUCUUCUCCCCAUACGAAUUCUUGGUCGGGUUUCAAUUUCAGUAAUGGUGUGAAGGCUUGGAUGAGUCCGGACAGGUUGGAUAUGAAUCUCCUGAUGAAAUUGACUUUGCCGAUCAGGGACUGCAACUCGGUUUUAUUUUGUGGGGCCACAACUUUAUUGAUAGCCGCUAUGGUUUUCCGGUUAAUCUCUAUCCCACGCUCAUGAACCAUGAAUCCUAAAAACUGCCCGGCGGAUACGCCGAAAGCGCAUUUGUUCGGGUUCAUUUUCAACCCAUGCUUUCUCGUGCAUUCCAAUACUUGCCGCAAAUCGGCCAGAUGUUCCUGGUGUCCCUUCGACUUGACCAUGACAUCGUUGAUGUAAAUCUCUACCAGUACACCGAUGAGUUUGUGAAAUAUGUAAUUCAUGGCUUGUUGAUAUGUAGCGCCGGCGUUCUUCAACCCAAAAGUCAUUACCACCCACUUGAACAAACCGAGGUGACCUGGGCACCUGAAAGCCGUUUUCGAAAUGUCUUCUUCAGCCAUUAGUAUUUGAUUGUACCCGGCGUUUCCGUCCAUAAAACUAAUGACUUUGUGACCUGCGGCGGCAUCUAUUAACACAUCGGUUGUCGGCAUAGGGUAUCCCUCCAUCGGUGUAGCCUGAUUAAGGUUCCUGAAGUCGAUGCACAUGCGCAGCUUCCCAUUCUUCUUGUAUACGGGCACAAUGUUGGAGAUCCAUUUGGCAUAACGGCAUUGCCGAAUAAAUUUUGCUUCAAUCAGCCUUGUGAUCUCGGCCUUUAUAUCGGGUAGAAUUUUACGAUUACAUCGCCGUGCGGGUUGCUGAUACGGCUGAUAUCCCAGCUUUAUGGGCAGCCGGUGCUCAACAAUGGACCGGUCUAGACCAGGCAUCUCAUGAUAUUCCCAAGCAAAGCAAUCUUUAAACUCUUUCAAUAAAUUUGUCAAUUUACAUUUGUAUUCCGGAUCCAAAUUAGCACUAAUGUACGUCGGCCUUGGCUUGGUGCCAUCGCCUAAAUCUAUCAUUUCUAACGAAUCGGCCGACGUAAAUCCAUGCUCCAGCUUCCCGUCUUCCCGGACGAAUUGAUCCAUUUAAUCUGAAUCUUCAGAGUUGACUGCUCGGAUCGGCUGUAGGCCAAAAUCGGACACUGUCAGGAAAUCGAUGUCCCUAGUCCUCCCGGAUAUGCACUUGACGUGCUCACAGCUCCGUUGCUGUGCAUCGGCCGCCGCAACGCUGUAGGCGGAAUCGGCGGUGACUAUUUCGAUGUUGUCGCUGACCCAUUGUACGAGGCAUUGAUGCAUUGUAGACGGGAUGCAGCAAUUUGCGUGUAUCCAGUCUCGACCGAGUAACAUGUUGUAGGAUCGUUUGCCAUUAAUAAUAAAGAAAGUGGUGGGAAGAGUCUUACUGCCGAUGGUGAGGUUGACGCAAAGCGCGCCGAGGGCGGAAGACACGUUGCCUUCGAAAUCCUUGAGGAUCAUGUCCGUCUUGGUCAAAUUAUCAUCGCUUUUUCCCAACUUUCGGAACAUGGCGUACGACAUGAUGUUGACUGCAGCGCCUCCGUCUACUAGUAGCCUAGUGACAGGUCGGCCGUUGACAUGCCCUUUAAGGAACAACGCCUUGAGGUGUUGUCGUUUUUCAUCUUCGGGUUUCUCGAAUGUGGCCGUCAUUGGCUCCAAAGCCAAUUGCGCCAUCUAUUCUUCUAUCUUCGACAUGUCAUGUCGAUCAGCGGGAGCUAUGAAUUCCAUCGGCAAAAUGAAAACCAUGCUGACAUCGGCUGUCGAUUCCUGGUUGUCGUCGCCUUCCCUGUCAUUUCUUUUGGGGUGCGAAACCUGAGACCUGUCGUUCUUCUUGUCUAUCAUCUAUUGUUGCUCUUCUUCUUGCUAUUCCCAUUGGCGGAGAUGCUGGAUUCUUCGUUUUUGGGAUUUGGUCAAUCCAUCAGGGCACCACCUGGGGUUCACUAGUCUAGACGACGGUUUGGCGCGCUCCCAUUCUGGUUCCCGCCCUAAGGGAUUUUCGUCCGAUACUCGAGCAUUGGCCAUCUCUUCCAGCCGAUCGUGUGCGCUGACUCUGCCCUCUGGUCGGUCAUGCCGAUCGGUCCUGCCCCCAGGCCUAUCAUAUUGCUCACGCCUAUCUCUUGGCUGAUCAUAUCGAUCACUCCUACCCCCUAGCCGAUCACGCACUAAAAGGCGCCGAUCUUCUUGCUCGCGCCAGUUUCUGCUAAUUGGCUCUGGCCUUCCAUCUCUGGAGCGAGACCUCCUGAAUGGGCGAUUGUUGCGAUAUGGGCCGCUGCAUUCUAGGCAAUUAUCGGCCGGCGGCAACCUAAGGUUAUUUUCCCAGCAGUGGAUGAAGAACGGGCAUCGCCAGUGAUCCUCAUGUCGUCGCAUCAUCUCUUCACGAAACCUUGAACUUUCUUGUUGCCGCUGGUACUUGUUGAGCAAAAAUUGGGAAGUGAUGGGUCUGCGUGGUUCUCCCGAUCCUUCGCCUUCAUCAUCCAUCUGUCUCUUUCCUUUAACAUCUUCGGACCUAGCUUGAUUCCUAUGGUCCACGGCACCGCUUUUUUUAGCUGAUUCUGAUGUCAGCACCUUGGUCUGGAGUGCAUUCCUUCCUGUAUCAACCAUGUUGGUGGAGAAAGGAUGCUGAUCGAUUUUCAUCGGCUUUGCUGGCUUUAUUGGGACCUCGAAUUUGAGCCUGCCUUGCUCAAUGGCCAAUUGUAUUUGCUGACGGAAGAUUUUGCAUUCGUUCGUGUCAUGGGACGUGGCAUUAUGCCAUUUGCAAUACUUCAUCUUAUUCAGCUGUUCGGCCGAUGGGAUCGUAUGGUAGGGUGAGAGCUUGAUCUGCCCUUCUUGGAGGAGUAGAUCAAAAAUUUUGUCGGCCUUUGACGUGUCGAAACCGAAUGCUUCUGGUUCCUUUUUCCCGAAAGGACACGAUAUCGGCUUUUUUCCCUUAACCCACUCUGCCAGGCCGAUUUCUGCCUCUUCUUCGGAUUCAGAUCCUUCUAAGUAUGCCACCUUCUUCUGAAAAUUCCUCCGUUGAUCAAAGGGGCGUACCUCCUGACCAGACAGUCGGUGUACGAUUUGACUCAGGCUUUCGAACUCCUGUGACGCAUAUUUUUCUUUCAUGUGUGGCAGGAGACCUUGGAAGGCUAUAUCAGCCAACUGUGCAUCGGUUAGGACUAGGGUGUAGCACUUGUUCCUGACUUCCCUAAACCUCUGCACAUAUGUGGACACUGGCUCAUCACUCCUUUGCCUGAGGCUGCUCAGAUCUGAGAGUUUCAUCUCAUGCACUUCCGCAUAGAAGUACUUGUGAAACUGCUUCUCCAAGUCGGCCCAAGUAACUAUGGAGUUAGGUGGUAGCGUAGUGAACCAUUGGAAGGCCGACCCGGACAGAGACGAUGAGAAGAGACGCACCCGUAGAGCAUCCUGUGUAGCCGCCUCCCCACAUUGGAUGAUGAAUCUAUUCACGUGCUCCACAGUUGAGGUAUCAUCAAGCCCUGAAAACUUGGUGAAAUCGGGAACUUUGUACCGAUGGGGAAACGACAGUGGAUCGUAGGUAGGCGGGUAUGGAGUUUUGUAUGUGUAAGUUUGUACCUUUGGCUUUAAACCGAAUUGAUCUUGAAUUACUUCUGCUAUACGUGCCGUCCAGUCUGCUUGUUGUUGAUGAACUACUAGCUGGGGAGCCGGCACGUGUUGGUAGAUCGGCGGAGGGAUGACUAAGUGAUGGACGAAAGCGUGCGGUGGGUUCUGUGGUGACGUGGCCGGUUGUGUAGUCGGCAUUUGGUGUCUCAGCGAACCGGCCGUUUCAUCAUAUAGUAUAAUCGGCGCAGCGCCCCGAAGCACUUCUACAGUCUUUGCCCCUCUGCCCAUUUUCGACGUGGCUGGUUGAUACUGUGGAGCUGUCGGCCGUACGGCCGAUUGGAAGGGUGCCUGGGUCGGAGAGCCUCCAUAACCGGCCGAUUGAUCUUGGACAGCCGUCGCUGAUGGUGCCCCCCAAAGCACUGAAUUUAAUGAUGAUGAUUGCGCGGAGGAAAUAUGAAUGGAUUGAGGCGGUGCAUGUGACUGGAGGUAUGGUGUGCCGUUGUAUCCCGGAUGCAUUGACGGCGAAGGAGCGAUGGAUCCUCCAUGCUGAGCUUGGAUCGGCUGAGGAGCCGAGUAGGGUAUGCUUGGAAAACUCCUGACCGGGGCUGUGAUAGGUGGGACGUACGCCGGCUCCUGGUAUCCUUGAGACACGCCAUUGGCCAGGGAGCUGAUGACGGCAUUGUAUACCGUAUUGGUUAUCACCGGGGAUUGAUCAAUGAAAGCUUGGUAGAUAGACUGUUGAACCAUCUCGGACAUCUUGCCCAAGUCCUCGGCGAUUGUAAUCUGGCGGGGAGUUGGAAAAGGAACUUUCUUGACAGUUUCCCCGCUCCUGGUACGACUGAAGGAUUGUAGGCAUGUCUUUCGGUACUGUGCUAUUUGCUUCUACAACUCCUCCUUCUGGUCGUCCUUGAGGUCUGCUUCCGUCACCUCGAUGACGUUGUCUUUGGAGAUUUCGGCAGCUUUCGACAUGGUAGUGGUUGUAGUGGUCCCACCGGGCGUGCCAAAAGUGUGUUGGCGCUAAAGAUCAGCCGAUUGAAUCUCAGUGUCCGACACACGACCCGGGAGAAUGUGCUUAACUCCUGUUCGAGUAAUCGCCCUGGUGCGGUUUGCGCGGCGUGCCAGCCAAUCUGACCUGUUGAUUGGCAAAGAAAGAAACGUGUUAGAUCCUAGAGGUUGCGAUCGGCUAAGGUUCCGAUCUCGAGGAAGCUUAUCAACGAAUCGGCCGAUUUGCUAUGAUAAAGGAAUCGGCUAUAGCGUAGCCGACUACUAGGUAACUUUUGUAAAGAAAAUUACCAGAGUAAACUAAAUAACGCUACAGUAGCAAUACUUGAAACAGAUCUAAUCGGCUAUGCGAAAGCGGUAGAUAAGCGAUAAAGAUAAAUAAGCUGAAAACUCUAAUUCCAAGCUGGAUAGCUGAUGAUAAAACUAGAACAAAAGGUAAAACCUAGAAUUCUAGUAAAUAUCGAUAACUGGUGAAUAAAUCUAAACGAAACGACAGCGAUGCGCCCGAAGUUAAAGCUUAGAUGUUACUCGAUAAACGGAACUUACAAAAUCGGCCGGAGAUCAAGUCGAUGCAGCCCUGCCAACCCGUACGAACUCGUGAAAAGAAGAAAAGUAUUGGCGAAGUCGCCGACUUGAAAGUAAAGUACGACGAAAUAGUAGAUUGUUGUAUUGAUUUGAUGUUGUAUUUACAGAUCUCUAAAGAUGGCUAUUUAUAGCCUGUUACAAUCAACCUCUUAACCAACUAGGACUCUAUCUCUAAUUUUAAACGAAAAUGAAUAUUUACAAGCACAACUCGUAUCGGAGUUGGUCGUCACGCUCCCAUGGGCCAAUCCCCCUCUAUCUUCGUAAUCCACUUUAAACCCAUAUUGGCCCAAUUGCUCCAGCCUUCUAAUCGGCCGAUUUCUACCAACUCCAUCCGCCAAAACACUGCAGCGCCAAUCGGCCGAUCUCCAACUGUAGCACCAAUCGGCCGAUUCCCAAUCGUGACCUUUUCGUUUCGCCGCAUCAGCUAAUCCUUUUCUUUCUUGACGUCGAUUCCAUACGUGUCAAAAUCUGGCGUCAACAAACACAAGAUACAAAUUUAUACAUGUUCGGACCACUAGAGUAGUGUAAUACCCUACAUCCUGUUUGGGAUGUUUGUAUAUUGCGCCUUGCGCUUGGGUGUUGUGUAGCCUAAUUGUUGGCUAUUGAUGUUGGUUCUAAGUUUUGUUGGUUUAAGCUGCCGAUUUAGGUACCCUGCCCCCUUUAUAUACUCAGAGGGUAGGAUUACUAGUCAGUUAGAAGGAGAAGUCCUAUUAGGAUUACAUGGUAUAAGUCCUAAUAAGAUUACAUAGGAAUCCUAGUAGGAGUCCGUUUUCUUCCUUCCUUGCGGGUACUGGGGAUCUAUCCCUGACAGCUCCUCCCUUUCUCUCUCCCAUUUUUAUGUUUUCACAAGGUAUUAACACCCAUUAACUCCUCCCAUGCUUUUGGACCUUUUUGUGUGGGUUAAAGUUCAGUCCUUCCAUUAGUCCUCCCAUUUGGAUGCACUAAUGCAUAAAGAUGCUAAAUUUUAGCACUUUCACCCAUUUGUUAUGGGAUCCAAACGGACCCUAAAGGAUAAAAGUAAUAAAUUAAUUCAAUCAGCCACACGAGAGGUCUUGCUCCACUAGAAGUUAAAACCCUUAUAAAUCCUGUGUCAAUAUACAAUUCCCAACUCGAUUUACAUAGACCAAACCAGCCUGACCGCCCUAGAAAACUGGUCUAAUCGAUUUUCCUGGUGCAGAUUUUCCCAAAGUCAUAACUUCCUUAUCUGAACUUCGAAUUGGGUGUUUUAUAUAUGCAUUUUGAUUACUCGAUGAUAUAUAUGCAAUGGUGAAGCCCAAAUGUGCAAUUUGAGCACUUUAGCUGAACCGGUCUAACCAGUUUAGAGUCUAGUUUGUCCAAAUCCGCUAAUUUUAAUCAUCAACACUUCUAUCUAGUUAGACUAGUUUGCUAUAAUUGAGAGAAUUAGAAGGAUAAUAAGGAGUCCUAUAUACAAAAUCGUAAUAAAAUUAAGACCUAUUUAGAUUAAUAUCAAGACUAAGCUACAUUUUAGCAAUGACUAGGAAUUUGGCAAUCAAAUAGUAGUAACAUAUACUCUUUCGUCCCAAAUUACUACUCGUUUUGACUUUUGUAGGUACAUACACUAUUGGGCAAAGGUCUUUCGCCCAGUACCUUAGUAGCAGUUGGGUUUUGACCCCAGGUCUAACGGUCAGCCCCAUGAGCCCCUUUAGUACCGGUUUGGGGCUCCACCCGGUACUAAUGUGCCUGAGGGUCUUUAGUACCGGGUGGAGCCUGAGGGUCUUGUGACCUUUAGUACUAGGUGGAGCUCCCACCCGGUACUAAAGAGCUCCAUCCACCUUAUCGGUCCACUCCCCUGACCCAUACCCGCUUCCCUCUCUCCUUAUCCGCUUCUCCUCCCUCCCUCUCACUCUUGGCCUAGCGCCGAUCUCCCUCCCUCUCUCAUCUGCACGCGCCAGUAGCCGAAGGGAGGCGGGGGCCAAGCGGGAGCGGCGGCGGUCGGGCAGGAUGGCAGUGGCCAGGCGGGGGCCGAGCGGGAUGGCAGCAGCGGCCGGGCAGGAUGGCGGCGGCCGGGCCGGUCUCCCUCCUCUCUCCCUCCAUCUCGCACUCCUUCCCUCUCUCUCUCAUCUGCGUGCGCCGAUGGUCGAAGGAAGGCAGGAGGGCGGCGGCGGCCAAGCGGGAGGGUGGCGGGGGCCGAGCGGGAGGGGCGGCGGCGGCGGGAGGGCGAAAGGGGCCGAGCAAGGAGCGGCGGCAAGGUCCGGGUAGGCAGCAGCGGCGGGCGGGAGGGACGGUGGGGGCCAGGCUCGAGCCGCUGGGGCUCAGGCAGGGUGAUUUCCUUUUUUAUUUUUUAAUACUCUUUAGUACCGGUUAUUGCACCCGGUACUAAAAGCACCCCCUUUAGUACCGAACUAACAAUACCGGUUAUGAAACCAGUACUAAAGAGGGGUUCCCAACCGGUACAUUCUCUAGUAGUGAUAGCGUUUGACACCUAGAUCUAUCUUACCUAUUAUCAAAAUAAGCAACGCUUCUGUCUAAUUUUUUUAUUUGAUCCAACUAAUCUAAUUGACAUGUGGAUCUAAUCUUUGAUUUGUUGUGAUUUCCAUCAUUGGUGGGUGGGUUCAGCAUCCACUCCAUGUAUUCCCUCCGUUCUAAAUUAUAAGUAUUCCAACUUUCUUGAAGAGUCAAACCAUUUUAAGUUUGACUAAAAUUAUAGAGAUGAUCACAAAGAUUUAUGGCACCGAAUAGAUAUACUAUGAAAAAAUAUUUAAUGAAAAAACUAAUGGUACUUAUUUGGUAUCAUGAAUAUUAGUACUUUGUCAUAUAAAUUUGAUCAAAUUUUCAAGAAAGUUGGAAUUAUGCUUUGACUAAUGACACUUGUCGAGUGAACGUCCGUUUCUUUCUCCACCUGCCAGCAAAUCGUCCGUUUCUUUCUCCGACUGUGGCUCCCUCUCUGCCCCUCCGUACCAAUCACGCCUGACGGUCGCGCCGCCGUUGAGUCCGACUCGACUCGCUCAUGGAACUCUCCCGUGGUCGGCCAGGACUCAGCACUCGGCAGGCAGCAGAAACAAUAUUUAAGAAUAGGGAGGCUGCCUCCACCGCCCACUCACCUUGCCUCUGCGUGCACGCUGCUUGUUUUGCUGUUCCCCCGUGUCAAUAUGCUUCAGCCACGGCGCAUUGAUCCUCAGCAAAGUUUUUCGAGGAAUUAUGAUUAACAAAGUUACCCGCAAGGAUACUGCCAGUAACAAGCUGUCGCAAUUCUCCUGCAAGGUUUGAGAAGAAAAAAAAGCUGUCGCUCCUACGAGGUUAUCUGCUGGGUCACUGGACGCAAUUUGCCAAUAGGACCGACAAACCCCUGCAAACAAAACAAAUGUAGCUCGAUGGUGGUUUAAGUCGGCACAAGAAGGGCAAAGAAGAUAUACCAAGUAAAUUAAGGAAUUGAUCUUAAUUGAAAGCUUCCAUUUGAAUCGAUUUAGCAGUGAUCCAAUAACCCGAUGCACCAUAAAGCCAAUGGCACAGUGAUCCAAUAACCAGAUGCACCGUCAUAAAGCCAAUGGCAAAAAAUCUCUCGGGCAUAAACUUCUAUGAUCCAGACCAAAAUUUCAGCUUGACGUAAAAAUAGAGCAGGACUGCAGGAGGAUGUAGGUGAAAAGUUUCUUUUAACCAUGGAUUCAAGAUACGGCAAACUGGCCACUUUGCGAUUCUUCAAUAUUUCUCCUUGAGCUAAUAACUAUUGCAAGCUCAUCACCACUCAUCACCGUUAACACAAAAAUCAGGCCUGUAAAAUAUAAAGCUUAUAACAUAACCUAAAGAAAACCAUGUUGGUCAAAAGAUGCUACAUGGUCUAGGGCAACAUAUAGUAAGAAAAUGGACGGUGCUAGCAUCGGACGUUGGGACGCUGCUAUUUAGAUUAAAAAAACUUCCACUAAAACAUUUGCUUAAUAUUGCAAGUAACAUCGACUUCUGUUUGGUAAGCCGUCAUUUCAACAAGCAUCUCCUCCUCCUUGGUCAGACAUACCCGCUUCGCGUCUAUCCACACAAACGAGUUUAUAACUCAAAAUCCCAUAUGCCAUGGUCCCCUACCGCAAAAUUAGGCUAAUAAACUUUUUGUAACAUCUCGAACCAACAAGCGAAACGUCACAAUUUAACUACUGCAACAUCUCAAGAGCAAAUGUUCAACAUGAAAAAUCAAUCAACGAAAAUCUUAGUCUGCCAGUCAUGCAUGCGUGAAACAUUAAAAACCAUUACAUGUAACAUAUUCUUAUAACAUUAGCAACAUUGCAGAUCUACUUGAUGGACUAUGCAACAUCGUCAAUUAGUGAAACAUCUCAGGUAAGCUACUGCAACAUUGAAAAGUCUUGUACAGAUCCAGAGACCUCAUCCUUGAAGGAGCCUCUAUCCAUCACAAAGAAGCUCCCCUAGUGAGGCCGGCCCCCACCGUGGAAUCCGCUGUUGGAACAGCUAGACCUACCGUGGAAUCUAGCAGCUGGCCUCAUGGUCAAGGAGCUCAUCAACGUGGAGUAGCUCGUUAUCGCGAAGGCCACCAUCGUCUUGUGAGAACUCUUGCCGCCAUGGACGAGGUCCAGGACCUCGCGCACGACAUGGACGAGUGCCGCGCCAUCGAUGAAUUCAUGCAGGGCAGGGCGGCACCUGCACUCGCACUCGCACCCUGAAGGAGGAUGGGAUGAUUUGGUUUGUUUUUUUUAAAGAGGAAUGGGAGAUGAGGCGCACGGCUGCUAUGGUGAUAAGAACGAGAAGGGAUAGGAGCGGCGGAUGGGUGAGCUGUUAUAUAUUUUGUUUAGUAAAGUUUCAAGUCCGUGGGUCCUGGGCUCGUUACGUGGGCAGCGCGCGCGAACCAACCGAGGCUGGUCGGACGACCGAGUAGUACCAAUUCCAUAAGCAAAUUCAAUAUAAAGCUUUACAGGUUCCUCUUAAACAGAUCAUCAGCCCAGAUACAUUAUCCAAGUGCAUCAGGAUGGUACUGUUUCCUGAUUUAAGCACCAGUUCACCAUGUUUAAUGGUCUCGUAAUUUGUAUGCUACGGCUCCUAAAUAUUUCACUCCCAAAGUCACUGCUAUCCAGAGUCACUUAGAACGUAGCUAAUUUAUAGUGAAUAUAGAUACAGGGCAUAAUCCUAAAUGAGUGUCACAAUGACCGUGAAUACAUAAUGCUCAUUUGCACAUGUUAGAUAUAUAAGCACUUUUAAUUUUAAUUUAAUCCAGAAAUAAAUCAUGAAUACGAUAAACAGAUAGCAGAUUAAACUAGACAUAUCUACGCAAGAUCUAGACAAGUCUAUCAUUGCAAAUAGAAUCACAUAUUCUACCAUACUAUCCAGUGCUAUCAGAAUGCAACAAAUCAUAAUAGCUAGUAUGGAAGACAUAAUUUGAGAUAAGAGAUCGUACGUUUCUUUCUUGAUGAAGAACGGCUCCUGGACAACUACCGAGUACAGCAGGCGACGACGACCAGCAGCCUGACGUUGUUAGCAACGGCGAGUGAUGCCCGAGUGACGAAGAGGUAGACGAGCCGUGGUGAAGGAGUCGAUGGAGAACUUGACGAAGCGGAGGAAGCGAUCGAGCAGUCGCACAGAGCGCUUCCCAAAAACCUUAUUCGCCCUCUCCCGGUGCAGGAUCGCUGAACACGACGGUUCCGAAGACCUGCUCUCCCAAUCGCCGGUGCACGCCGACAAUUGGGAUGGAGUAGACUACGGUGGCGGCGCAGCAACGAGAGGAGGCAAAAAUCCUAGCUCGAAUAGAGAGCCCACGAUUAUCACGUCGCGAUCGUGAUCUAAACCGAUUAGGAUUCCAUAUAUCUCGCUAACUUAAAGACCAAGUAACAAAAAAUAAAACAGCAAAAGGAAACCACGCCCCCGCAAGGUGAGGGGCCGGAUUUCGGCAUUCACGCAAGUGCCGCCCGCCCGCACCCUUCGCCCCACCCCGGUGACGCAUGGCGAGCGAGCGAGCGCGUGUGGAGCUCUCCUUCUCUCCCCACACACAUAGUUUGGAGGAGUGGAGACAACUUCCAUAUUUAAGUUGGUCAUCCCUCUCCUCCACUAGUAAUGUGGGACUAAAGACUUGCACCACUCCACCUCUUGCCCACAUGGACCUUUGAGAUUUAUUUGGAAUUCUAAAAUUACUAUGAGCUAGGCCCAUUAUUUCAACAGCACAUACCCCUGAACUGUCCAAAUUAUGGGUGGCUGUCCUGAUGCAUCAGUUUCCCCUUGAUCUUAAUAAUCUCACCCCUCAAUCAACAUAAACAGUGUGCUGCAUCCAAGGCGCUGUGAUGCAGAAUACCGUUCCGGGUACAUUUGACACUACUUGUUCUGUUAAGAACUGUCUGGAAAAAUUUACAUUCAGAUCAGACAGUGCACACACACAAAGAAAGAAGAAAUAACACAGUAAUAAAUCACACAAGGGCACCACAAGAGAACCACCCCUACACCAACGUCAUGUCAUCUACGGUUGCAUUGCAAGCAAAAAUGCAUCGUUAAUGGUCUCCUGGGCUGUGAUCAUUUCGUGUCUUCAGCUUCGAUCCACUUAACUGUGAUGAACAGCUCGCCAGACUCGACGUCACGCAGCCUCAGCCAGGCAUCUAGCGCGACCUCCCCGUUGGCGUACGUCACGAAGCUGUCGGAGAGCAGGCAGUUAUCGGCGUCAGGGGCUACCUUCCGGAGCUUGGUCUCUCCUGCAGUGAGUCGCAGCGCUCGCCGCAGCUUCGUCGCCACUGCCACAGGCUGCAGGUCCAGGAAGGCGUGCCCCAUCUUGUCGUCGUACUUGAAUCGGUCCCAGUCGAACACCUCCUGCCAAUGGUAAUGGCAAUGGUAAGAUCAGCAUAAUCAUGCGUUGUUCAUGGCUUGUUACUAGCUAGCUCCUAAAAUGUUGCUAAGUACUAGACACACCAAUUAUUGUCUUCAAUCAUUGUUCAAACAAUUCCCAUCACAAUAGGGUGCCAUAGAUUGUGUCCUUUAUUAGAGUCCAAUGCAAGGAAGUGAGUUCGGUGGUUGGGGUUCUUGUAGGUGAUAUUUGCUGGCCAGGUCACUUUUCUUGUUAAUACUGGUAAAGAUGAAGCUGGAAGCUGAGUAUUUCCAGUAAGGAGAAAACAAGGUUCCACAGGCAAAUGUUCAUUCAACAGGAAAACAGUGCAGUUGCAAUCUUGCAGAUGCUGAUAGAACUCACAUUGUUAUCCAAUUUUACUGUAAGGCAUAGUUUAGAAACCAACAGAGCAAAGCAGAGAAGAUAAUGGGCAAGAAAUUGAUAUUGCAGAUUUUCACCUGUGGAUGUAGUCAAUAACAUUUAAUUGACUAGAGGUGGUACCAUAUGUGCUUAAGUACUAGUACUACUCUGUAGCUGAUAAAUAUUUGCAUUUAUUGGUCACAUGUCUUAAACAGCAAUAAUAGAGCACAACAUGGUAUGACCAUAUUUCUUGGUCAAAACAUUAACCAAAGAAGACUUCUUGAGACAUGAAACAUGUCGUUUCAUAAAAAACAGACAAGAAACAAGUCUCAAGGAGACUAAAGGUCCAAAUGGCAAAAUGUGCAUUGAACGCUGUCUCUUGGUGUGCAGCAAUUCAUCAUGUAAAAUAGAAUAGAUACUUACAAAUUUGAUGACUCCUACUGGCUCUUUCAUGGAGAAUAUCAUCUCUUCAUUCCAAACUGGAUUCAGGCAACUGUUGAUGACUUUUGUCUUUGCAGUCUGCAGGGUCCGGUGAAAGAAUGAAAGGAAGGAAGAACUGGUUGUUAGAUCUAAGGUACACCAUACUUCAUUAAGGAAAGAAUACUAACAAGCCAUGCACCCUUGAUUUGACAGGUUUAAUAAGUAUCAAAAUAACCUAACUACUAGGUCAAGGUGGCCAUUCAGUAAUUAGUAUAUCGAAAACCAUUGUCUAACCUAAUACAACUGGCACUUUUGCUUCAUUAGAUCAGAUCCGGACUAGACCUAUACUAAAAUACUGUGGAUCACUUGCUGGAGAGGUAUUUGGCCUGACCAUUUCCUCAUGGGCCGGUGUAGGGCUGUCUAGAAGAAAACCAUCUUCUAUUGGACCAGCCAAGCUUGGGGCAUCGUCGAUUGCUGAACAAAAAAUGUAUAUUUCUUUCAAGACAAUGUUACCCUAUUGGCUUUCACAUGUUCAGUUCUUUGCACCCAAAAUUUGAAAUCUAGAGAUGAGACCAAAAAAGAUAUCCAGGAAUAAGUCAGGUUAACGCCUAAAAUUCCUCUCAAUAAGAAGGGGUUUCCACUAAAAAAGAGCAGAAUAAAUAAACAAUCCAAAAGUGCUCCAGCCGACAAAGACAAAAGGCAUAAGUGUCACUGUCAGUCCUACUCAUAAAAAAUAUCAUGAUAUGAUUAACUAAAGAAGGGUUUGAGUGGGUGGUUUGACACCCUCCAAGGUUAACUUUGUGAAUGUCUGGACUAUGGAGCUGUAUGGGAUGGUAAAAAAAGGGAGGUGAAAUUAGGUCGAGUGCAUGUUCCAUAACAAUUAAGUCAACAUUUAGAUUUUGUGGGCGAAUUUCAACGAAAUAAUGCACAGAACCAGUUGUCACGAUCUUACAGCACUUGUGUCUUCAAAGAAAAUUCAAAGCCAGACAAGGAAGGAAUUAGCUGCAACCUGCAAGUUUUUUAAUUAUCUAAAAACGCUUAACUUACCAGGCAUCUUACGCGUCUGUCCAAUGAGGAGAGAAAUAGCUAAUUGACCAAUGAAGACUGAAACAACGAUCAAAUCUAAAGUAUGACACGUGGUUGGACUUUGAAAAAUGGUGUUUUUAACUUGUACUAAGCAUCUCAUCCAGGAAAGGUCUAGCUGAAUGAAUCAUCAAUCUAAUAGCUAGUAGAACCCAAGUCAGCAUUAGCUGCUCAAACAAGGAAAGCUGCUUAUUCAUCGUAAUGAUGCAAUGCAAGGUAAUGAAAAAGCAACGAUGCCUCACAAUCUAGCCUGUUAGGUCCAAAGCACACUAUCAGCACAACGUGCAAGUGUCGGUUUGACACGAAUCAACUCCUCCUAUCAGAAAAAAAAGGAGAGAAAGACAAGAAUAGAAACACCCUAAACAUUAGCACAUUUUAGUUUCAGCGUGAUCGUCGUUUCUUCGAUUGUGUUGAUGAAAGCAGAAGGGCCUUGCUAGUUAGUGAUUCAAGCGCGGAAGCAGGAAGCACGGAGAGGAGGAGCUCAUGUCAUCUCAUCUCUUCCCCUGCUUCUCCUAACUCGACUUACCGUGUCGGCGGCGCGGACGAUGACGUACGGGUCGCUGGAGGUGAAGUCCCUGACGGCGAGGCUGCGGCCGCGCGCCACAACCACCUUGAGCAAGCCGCAGCCUCUCCCCCUCCCCGCUUCCUCCAUGGCGGCCGGCCGCGACCCCGUUCCUCUGCGCGCGGAUCAAUUCAUCAAACCGAGAUCAAGUAACCAAAGCUAGGAAGAAUUCGAAUCAGCAGAGAGUAGAAUUCUGAAGAACACAAGGGUAAUAAUGAACAGAGCAACGGAUCGAUGAUAACCCUGCUGUACUCACCCCGUCGAUUGCCGCUGGAGGGAAGAAGGGAUCAGAUCAGUCGAGCUCGCCUUCGCGGCCUGCUCCUCCUCCUCGCCUCGCUCUGCUGCUUGCUUGCUUCCAGUGUUUCCGCGAGAGCACGGAGUGGCCUGCUGGUGACUGGGUCAGGUUGCCUGCGAUGCCCGGCGGGGGUGGGGGAAGAAAUGGAGAGGGGAGGCCGAGACGGGACGGGACUGAGCGUGUGGGCCCCGGCGACUAGCGCGAGGUGGCGGUGGGCCCCGCGGCACCCCGGACGCGGUCCGGGCUCGGGAGCGGACGGGACGGGCGACUCAGUCGGUGAAGUGGCUUCGGUGGGCUGGCGUGUGGCGUGUCUGCCUCUCUGGUCAUCUGGUCCGAUCGCACCGGUCUCAUGCCUCGUCUUUCUUUACUCGUCUACCAGUAGUAGCAGUAGCAACGCGCACGCGGCUCAGGAUGUGGACGGUCGGAUCGGGUCGGGCGGUCAAACCCCUGUGGCUGGUGCGGCAAGCUCUCGACAGGCCACAAGGGUCCGGUCGACCGAUCGGUCAGACCCGAGUGCUGGGUCAGUGGUGGCGGGUAAGGCGGCACAAGAUCUCCUGCUUGGACCAGGUAAAAGGAGCUAGUACUUAUCGCUAAUUCAAUUCGGCGCUCGUGUGCCGCGGUCAGGGAUGGAUUCGAAUUCGUCUAAAACCCUAAUACGGAUAUCCAUAUUGGCAUUCAAUUUUAAUAUAAAUGUUAAAUAGAUGUAUCAGAAUUUGAUUUUCAAUAUUUUCUCAAUCCAAUUAAAGAUUCGUAUUCGAAAAAAAGUGAAAUAUCCGAUAUUAUCCAUAUCCGCGAAGAAUAAAGUACCCAUUAAAUCAUAUAAAACUUAUUUCUAUGAUUAAUUACUAAUGAUAAAUGAUGUUAACUUUAAUAUUACUAAUAAAGUAAUUGUGUACAUAUUUCAACUAUUAAAAAGUUAUCAAUUUGACAAAUGACUAAUUAUGUUAGUCUAAUAUUACUAGUGAUAUACAGUGAUAAAGUUUAAUUAAUUUUAAUAUGACCAAUUAUUUGAUAUAUUUAAUUAUUGAAAUAUUUAUUAAUAAAUAUAUUAUUUUCAAUAAGCUACCUAUUGUGUACCAUCCUUAUAAUUGACUUCCUACUUAGUAUGAUUUUCUAUCUACUAUAAAAUCAUCGAAAAAGCAAAUUGAUACUCGAUAUGAUGCUAUGUUCCAAGUCGAGUAAGUAUCUGAAUGUGAAUGCGAAUUCCAACUAUUCAUUUUGUAUUCGUAUGCGAUAUGAUUCAUAUUCGUAUCCGAAUUUAGAUUAAAAUGUGGUAAACAGUGCUAUCCAAAUUUGAUUCCAUGCAUCUUCGAUUCGAAUCCAUCCCUAGCUGUGGCGCGGGUGUUAGUUACUAUUAUAUUUCUUCUGAAUGGAAUGGCUCUAGUCAGUAGGAUUUGGGGAGCUCCGCCGCCAAAGUCGUUUAAUAUCUUAUCAUUUAGUGGAGCUUUAGCAGAAGUUGUCCAUGGAGCCAGAGUUGAAGCCCUCCUAAAGAGACCCUAAGUGGGAGUAGAGAGAGUCUUGGAUUUAUUCACCAUGUCUCUUCAUCUCCUCUCCCAUUGACCGCCGGCCCUUUUCGGUUCUUCCUCCAUCUCCUCUCUCUCCAGUCUCCACCAUGGCGCGAUGCCUCCUUUGUUUGGUGAUUAAGGUGUGGGCAAGGAAGAUGUAACACCCUAGUAUUUUAAGUCUUAAUAAGGUUUUUAAAAAGAUCAUUGUGAAAAUUUUGGCUUAAAAGGAGAUCAAAUGAGCCAAGGUAAAAAAAUCAACUAAAAAGAUUCAAAUUUGGAAAAAAGGGCAAAAAUUGAAAUAAAGAGAUUGGAUUGUAUGGAACAUUAUGGAAUCAAGUUUGGACCAAGAAUUGGAUCAGAAGUGUCCUAAAUUCAAAGUCAAAGAUGUUGAAUAUGGUCAACUCUAUCCAAAUCCCGGAGAAUUCUAAGUCUGAAAAUUAUCAAGUGACCAACUUUAAGUUGAAUUUCUAAGAGAUUUUACAUCUAAACUUUGGAUGUUUAUGGGCAACAAGUAAACUUGGAUGUCCAGUGGUUAUUAUGAGUCAGUUGUUGAUCAAAGAAUUAGAUGAAUUCAUAUUUUUAAAUAAGGCUCAAAGUUUGCAAGUUCAAACUAUUUUGAACCCUUACUGACGAAACUGAAUCAAGAAACCAUUGAGCACUGAAUGGCAGUGUCUGGCUCGAUCUUUGGAGCUCCAAAUCUUGAGAUUGGUUGAUCUUUUGGCCAUAGUGCAAACCAAGAAGAUGAUGAAGCUCUAUAAUUCAACUACAAAUUUGGAGCUCCAAAUCUUGCUCCAACAGCAUACCUAUAUGGAUUGGUAUAAUAGGUCAUGACCUAAAUUUCUCUCUCCUUGAGCCAAAUAUACCAAUCCAAGAAUGGAUUGGUAUAUUUUCUUCUCCACGCAUGAGAUCCCAACUGCCAGCACACGAACCUUUCCGCGUUCAUCCAGUCGCCCUGCGGCCUACACCUCGCCUGGCCGUACUAUUAGGUUACGAGGUAGGCUACACUAGCGCAAAUCAAAAUUUCUACCGCAUAAAACCAGGAAGAACUGCCGUAUAAGGAUCACGGGAUUACCACUCGACGCACUACUGGUGUGGAAUAUGUAGAUUUGCGUCGAUGCAGCGAAGAUGAUCAACGUAGUCGUACGUAGUCGAUCAACGUAGUCGUACGUAGUCGAUCACGUCAACGUCCUGCUCCUCAGCAGCUCGUCCACGUGCAGCAAGAUCGCCCUCGUGCCGUGGCUCGUCGUCAGCUCGUCGUGGCUCGUCGGUGGCUCAUCGUGGCUCGUCGGCGGCUCGUCCGAGUGCUGCAGGCGCAACACCUCCAAGGUAUCGACACGUGCAGGGAGGAAGCGUCGCAAGCUGGACUGCUAGAUCCGCGAGUUGCAACAGGCGAGGGCGUGGGAGGCGCGACAGAUGUGUUUUUGCCAAAAGGUGUAAACCCUAGGGCGCCCCCACCCCUCUAUUUAUAGAGGUUCCUGACGGGCCUCUGGGUCCGAGGCCCAUUAGUACUUCUAAACCUAAUCCAACUCGGAUCAGAUCCAAAUUGGGCUUCCAGCCCCUUAAGUGUGUGACCCUAUGGGUUCGGAUACGUAUAGACAUGGCCCGAGUACUCCUACUCGGCCCAAUAGUCGGUAGCAACACCUAGCAAGACGUGCCAACUCCUAUACGCACACGAAGAUCAUAUCAGACGAACCAUCACAACAUAAUAUACAUGCUAUUCCCUUUGCCUCACGAUAUUUGGUCUAGCUUCAAGCCGACCGCUCUUUCUCGAUCCUGUGAUUCGGAAUCCCUUUGUAGGUUAACUCUUAACCGUACGUAGCAUGGCCAUGCAUUUUCGGAUCCGAUCACUCGAGGGGCCCAGAGAUAUCACUCUCAAUCAGAGAGGGGCAAAUCUCAUCUUGAUUGGUCUCAUAGCAUGCUUCUUGACAAACCCGAAAGCUACCUUUAUAACUACCCUGUUACGGCGUAGCGUUUGAUAGCCCCUAAGUAGGUCGAUCCACAUCUUGAAUACAUGCGACAAUCUCAGGUCUAAGGACAAAGCGUAUAUGUUGUUUAAAGAGAGAACUACUUCUCGUGUUGGGUCAGUCCUAGCACAUGUCUCCACAUGUGUCCACAUUAUUAGUUCAACAUCUCCAUGUCCAUGACUUGUGAAACAUAGUCAUCAACUAAUACAUGUGCUAGUCUAAUAUUCAUGUGUGUCCUCACAUGAACUCCGACUAGGGACAACUUUAGAAUAACCAUACAUCUCUUCGGCAAUGCCGGUACAAGUCCAUCAGGACUAAAUCAAGAAAAGUAAAACAUCUACGCAACGAAAACACAAGCUAUGGCGAACUCCAUCUCCAGAGAUGACUCGAGCGGAGGGCCAUCCCUAGUCUUCCCAUCCGUUGUUGUCGAAGUCGUAGUCAGCUCCGACCCUGAAAAGCCACCAUCUACCCGAGAAGCGGGUAGGUCUUGUCAACUCCCAAUAGCAGCAAGCUAAGGAAAUAGGGGAAUUAUACUAUAUACAUGAGUAAACCUAUAUAUGGCUAUAGGGGUUUAUGUAGCAGCAAUCAAGGAAGCAGCAAAGCAACACCAUCUCCGAGGUCAACACCUCAAUGAAAGAAGUCGACACAAAUCAUCGGAUCCUUCACCCAAGGAUCCAGCACCCAAACACACUAGGCGAUGUGAGGGCUCCCUCCCUUCACAUCUCAACGGCAAACACGGGCCUAUCUCAAAACGGGGAAGAAAGAAUAAGCAAAGUCUAGUCAGAAGUAGCGGUAGUCAACAACACUGUCCAUAACCUGUCGGUGUUUUAGACCGGCAACCCACCUAGGGGGUACCCUAGGUGGUCGUUUAUGCGGUAAGGGUCGUCGAAAAUCAAGGAAUCAAUGGUGAUGCAAGGAACACGAUUUAGACAGGUUCGGGCCGCUAGAUUGCGUAAUACCCUACGUCCUGUGUGUUGGUUUGUAUUGAUGUAUGUUCGGGUCUUGAGAUGUUAUGUUGAGGGGGGUCCCUGCCCGGCCUUAUAUACACGGGAGGGCAGAGUUACAAGUCUGAGUCCUAGUCGGGUACUAUUACAGAGCUCUACUCGGUAUUGGCCCGAGUAGUUUUCCAUAAAUGUACAAGACUAAUCCGAGAAGGAUACGCCCAUCCUUGUUCUGAUCUUAUCCGAGUACGUCCCUUGGUGGGCCGUCCAAGGCCUACUCGUGGACCUGGGGUGUAUGCCCGACAAGCCCCCGAGUACUUUGUAGUCGUACGCCACAGUUUUGGGCACUGCAGGCACUAUCCGAGUAGAUUUAGUCGUAGAGUUUGUAGGCUAAAGUGCUCGAGUACUGUCGCGUGGCUGGAAGGUACUCUUUUUGCUCCUUCGAGUUGUUUCCGUCCCGCGUAAUUUUAUAUGGCAGUGCGAUGUCAAUCGCACUCUAUAUGGAGUAGCCCCCGAGCCUUAGGUUGAGUCGAAGAGUCAGGCUUAGGGUCCAGCCAGCCAGGUUUGGAAACUAGCAUCGGUGUAACCUGUUACAACGAGCUCCUCCUCACCUCCAUAGACGAGGAACAUAUCUUUAGUCCUUCUCAAGUACUUAAGAAUGUUUUUCACCGCUGUCCAGUGACUCUCACCUGGAUCAGAUUGGUGUCUGCUUGUCAUACUUAGCGCAUAUGAAACAUCUGGGCGAGUACUUAUCAUUGCAUACAUGAUAGAUCCAAUAGCCGAGGCAUAUGGCACUUUACUCAUGCGAUCCCUCUCAUCAGCAGUCGAAGGACACUGAGUCUUGCUGAGAUGUAUGCCAUGUGACAUAGGCAAGAACCCUUUCUUUGCCUCUUCCAUGCUGAACCACUUCAACACUUUGUCAAUGUAAGUAUCUUGGCUUAAACCUAUAAGCCUUCUCGAUCUAUCUCUAUAGAUCUUAAUGCCCAGAAUAUAUGCCGCUUCCCCUAAGUCCUUCAUCAAAAAACUAUUUUUCAGUGAAGUCUUUACGGACUCAAGCAUAGGAAUGUUAUUUUCAAUCAGUAAUAUGUCAUCCACAUAUAAGAUUAGAAAUACUACAGAGCUCCCACUAACCUUCUUGUAAACACAAGACUCUUCUUCCUUCUUGGUGAAGUCAAACCCUUUGACCACUUCAUCAAAACGAAUGUUCCAACUCCUAGAUGCUUGCUUCAAUCCAUAAAUGGAUCUCUGAAGCUUGCAUACCUUUCCAGCAUUUUUCGGAUCGACAAAACCCUCGGGCUGUAUCAUAUACACGUCCUCAGCUAGGUUUCCAUUCUGGAAAGUUGUCUUGACAUCCAUCUACCAUAUCUCAUAAUCGAAAUAUGCAGCUAUAGCUAGAAUAAUCCGAAUGAACUUAAGCAUCACUACGGGCGAGAAGGUCUCAUCGUAGUCAACUCCUUGAACUUGUCGAAAACCUUUUGUGACAAGUCAUGCUUUAUAGAUGUGAACAUUUCCAUCCAUGUCCUUUUUCUUCUUAUAGAUCCACUUGCACUCUAUGGCUUUAACACCAUCAGGCGGGUCAACCAAGUUCCAAACUUGAUUGUCUCCCAUGGACUCUAUUUCGGAUUGCAUGGCACUCUGCCAUUUUUCGGAGUCUGGGUCCAUCAUUUCUUCUGCAUAUGUCGCAGGCUCAUCAUUGUCCAACAAUAAUAUUUCCCGCAUUUCACGGAGCCUUGCCGACCUUCGUGGUUGUGGCGGUGCUUCUCUUGCCAUGGGUAUCUCAACUUGUUCUGCUACGUUAGCAUCACUCAUUGAUUCUUGCCCGAUCGGCUCAUCUUGAACUUAUUCAAGAUGCACUGUCUUUCCACUCUUUUCUCCUUUGAGAAACUCUUUCUCUAGGAAAACCCCGUUCUGAGCGACAAACACUUUGCCUUCUGAUCGGUUGUAGAAAUAAUAUCCCAAAGUUUUCUUUGGAUAUCCCACAAAAAUGCACUUAUCCAACUUGGGUGUGAUCUUGUCCGAUUGAAGUCACUUGACAAACACUUCACAUCCCCAAAUCUUUAGAAAAGACAAACUAGGAACCUUUCCAGUCCAUAUCUCAUAUGGUGUCUUAACUACGGAUUUAGAUGAUACCCUAUUAAGUGUGAAAGCCGCUAUUUCUAGAGCGUAUCCCCAAAAUGACAACGGUAGGUCCGACUGGCUCAUCAUUGAUCGAACCAUGUCUAACAAAGUUCGAUUACGUCGCUCGGAUACACCGUUUCUCUGAGGUGUUCCAGGCGGCGUAAGUUGUGGAACAAUUCCGCAACUCUUUAGAUGAUUGCUAAACUCAUGGCUCAAAUACUCGCCUCCACGAUCAGAUCGUAAGGCUUUAAUUUUCUUGCCACACUGAUUUUCAACUUCAUUCUGAAAUUCCUUGAACUUUUCAAAGGUUUCAGACUUGUGCCUCAUCAAGUAGACAUAGCCAUAUCUACUAAAAUCAUCAGUGAAAGUUAUGAAGUAUUGGAAUCCUCCUCUAGCCGUCGUGCUCAUUGGUCCGCAUACAUCACUAUGUACGAGUUCCAACAAGUCUACUGCUCUCUCAGAAAAUCCUGUGUAAGACGUCUUGGUCAUCUUGCCUAGCAAGCAAGCCUCACAUGUCUCGUAUGAUUCAAAAUCAAACGAAGUUAGAAGUCCAUCAGAAUGGAGCUUCUUCAUGCGCUUUUCACUUAUAUGACCCAAACGACAAUGCCACAAGUAGGUAGGACUCAAAUCAUUAGGCCGAGGCCUUUUAGCACUUACGUUACAGACAGAUGAACCAUCAAGAUUUAAAACAAAUAAUCCAUUCACAAUGGGUGCAAAAGUCAUAAACAUAUCAUUCUUAGAGAUCACACAACCAUUGUUUUCACUCGCAAAUGAAUAACCAUCCUUCAUCAAGCAUGAAGGAGACAAAAUGUUUCGACUUAAACUAGGAACGAAAUAACAAAUAUUCAACUCCAUAAUAAAUCCUGACGGGAGGUGGAGUUGCAUCAUCCCAAUAGUCAACGCAGCAACUCUUGCAUUAUUGCCCACGUGGAAAUCAACUUCUCCUCUUUCCACGCUUCUACUUCUUAUCAUUCCCUGCAUCGAAUUGAAAAUAUGAGCAACCGAUCCGGUAUCAAAUACCUAAGAAUUAAUAAUUAUAUCAGCGAGAAAAAUAUUGUCUAUAACAUUAACAACAAGCGUACCUGAGGUAGAAGUACUCUUACUUCCGCCAUUCUUCAACGAAGCUAGGUACUGCUUGCAGUUUCUUUUCCAGUGACCAAGUUUAUGACAUUAAAAGCACUCUUUGUUUGGAGCAGGUCCAGGUCCAGCUUUAACCUUGGGCGUUGGGUUUGGCUUGGACGUUCCAGCCUUGCCCUUCUUGUUCCAAGAAUUGCCCUUUUUCUUAAAGCUAGGCUUGUUCUGUAUAGCCAUCACAUGGCUGGUACUAGCGCUUUUCUUAAUGUCUACCUCUGCUGUCUUGAGCAUACCACACAGUUCAUUCAGACCCUUCUCCGUCCCAUGCAUAUGGUAGUUCGAGAUGAAAUUCCCAUAGCUAGGCGGAAGAGAUGAAAGAAUGAAGUCAGUGGCCAACUCUUUGCCCAUUGGGAAGCCCAGCUUCUCCAAUCGCUGAGUGUAACCAACCAUCUUGAUUACAUGUGGUCCUACUGCUGCGCCUUCUGCUAGCUUACACUCCAGAAAGGCUUUGGACACAUUGAACCUUUCAGUCCUAGCCUGUGUCUGGAACAUGUCUUUGAGCGCCACGAUCAUAUCGUGUGCCUUAUGAUUUGUUUCAAACUGCAUCUGCAGCUCGGGUUCCAUGCAAGCAAGCAUAAGGCAGUUUACCUCAAGAUUAGCAUCAAAUGCCUUCUUGUAAGCAGCCUUAACGGCAGCAGAUGCAUCAUCAGCAGGUACUGGUGGUAGUGGGGUGUCUAGAACAUCUUCCUUUUUAUCGGCCCUGAGAACAAUUCUCAGGUUACGGAUCCAAUCCGAGUAGUUUGUUCCAUUCAACUUGUCCUUCUCAAGGACCGAACGCAAAGCAAACAAUGUGGUGGUGUUGCUAGGUGCCAUUUAAUCUACAACAAAAGUAAUGCAAAAUACACUAAGAACAACGUAUCCAUGAUAGAGCAAAUCACAUUAAACUAUUUUAACAGAAUCUACUCCCACUAAAAUCAAUAUCCCUCCAUUGAAACUUAGUGAUUCAGGAUCCACAACUAACAAGUCUACUAGUGAGCUUUAGCAUCACCGCUAGCAAACAAGGUAGAUCGGUAAGCAACUUUUGCCAAUCAUAUCACAUAUGACUCCUGUUGUUGGGUGACAUCUCUAUGUCUCGGCGCCCAACCUUUAUGCCCCAAGGUGCUUAACCGUUAAGAUAACCUUGUUAAGCAAACCAACCCUUAUGCGUGUAAGUGUCCGACACAAACCCGUCUAGUCAAGGAAAACAAGUGGCACCCUAAUUUCAUAGACUCACCACUAAUUGUACAAGACAUGGGACGGUGCAAGUUUUAGUUGGGAGGGCAUACUAACUUAAAAUUUGUGAGGGAUCGUUCUACUUCUAACAUCACAACAUGCAGAAAGUAAAACAUAAACAGAAUAGCAUUCACACAGUUGUGACACAGUAUGACCCGUUUUUCUUAUGGUGAUCUCCAUCUCCAUAGAAUCUGUUCACCAUGGUGAUCUCCAUCUCCAUGUUCCAUGUGCGCCAUCCUCCUGGUGAUGAGUCCUCCAAGAACUAGAACAUGCUAUUACGCCUAAUAGCUAGUAAAGAAGCUAGUAAUGAAGAUUACAUAGUUGCUUGGAUCAUCACAGAUUGGUACGCAGACCAUUAAAUACAUUAAGGUGACAACACAUAUGCCUCCUGCCGUGUUGCCGUACGUGCGACACGCAGGUCACGAAUGAGUUACACACAUGCAUCACAUACACAAAGGGGCCAUACUGAUCACAAGAUACAUACAUCCUGCAAAACAGAGUUAAACGUCCUAACGUUCCAAACUUCGGAGGCCCGAAAUUCCAUCUUCCAAGCCGAAUUUGGGAAAUCUAAUUUCGCCAAAAAUGGCGAAGAUGUUGAAUUUCAUGUGUAACUUUUUCUGGAGAUCAAUUUUCAUAUAAAAUUCGCCCCGAUCCGAGAUCGUACCAAAAAGUUACGGCUGAUUUACCGAAGCAUACGCAUACGGUAAAAAUCCCGACCCCGGCAGUAGAUCUCAUCUACUAUUGCACAUCUAAUGCGCCUGGCGUAUGACCCUGGAUUUCGAUUCGACCAAUCAUAUUGAUCUUCACUCACUGCAACUGGAAUUACGUGUAUCACUUAACUCCGAUGGCGGAAACCGACCGGUAGGAGUAUGUCGUUACACUACCAUUGCAGCAAGAACACGAAACCAGGACAUAGAUCAAACUGAAAACUCGCAUAUCUCCAUAUGCACACAUCCCGAAUCCAAAACUAAACAGCUACGGCUCUGAUACCACUGUUAGGUUAUGAGGUAGGCUACACUAGCACAAAUCAAAAUUUCUACCACGUAAAACCAGGAAGAACUGCCGUAUAAGGAUCACGGGAUUACCACUCGACGCACUACUGGUGCGGAAUAUGUAGAUUUGCGUCGAUGCAGCGAAGAUGAUCAACGUAGUCGUACGUAGUCGAUCAACGUAGUCGUACGUAGUCGAUCACGUCAACGACCAGCAGCUCCUCAGCAGCUCGUCCACAUGCAGCAAGAUCGCACUCGUGCCGCGGCUCAUCGUCAGCUCGUCGUGGCUCGUCGUGGCUCGUCGGCGGCUCGUCCGAGUGCUGCAGGCGCAACACCUCUAAGGUAUCAACAUGUGCAGGGAGGAAGCGUCGCAAGCCGGACUGCUAGAUCCGCGAGUUGCAACAGGCGAGGGCGUGGGAGGCGCGGCAGAUGUGUUUUUGCCAAAAGGUGUAAACCCUAGGGCGCCCCCACCCCUCUAUUUAUAGAGGUUCCUGACGGGCCUCUGGGUCCGAGGCCCAUUAGUACUUCUAAACCUAAUCCAACUCGGAUCAGAUCCGAAUUGGGCUUCCAGCCCCUUAAGUGUGUGACCCUAUGGGUUCGGAUACGUAUAGACAUGGCCCGAGUACUCCUACUCGGCCCAAUAGUCGGUAGCGGCCUCUAGCAAGACGUGCCAACUCCUAUACGCACACGAAGAUCAUAUCAGACGAACCAUCACAACAUAAUAUACAUGCUAUUCCCUUUGCCUCACGAUAUUUGGUCUAGCUUCAAGCCGACCGCUCUUUCUCGAUCCUGUGAUUCGGAAUCCCUUUGUAGGUUAACUCUUAACCGUACGUAGCAUGGCCAUGCAUUUUCGGAUCCGAUCACUCGAGGGGCCCAGAGAUAUCACUCUCAAUCAGAGAGGGGCAAAUCUCAUCUUGAUUGGUCUCAUAGCAUGCUUCUUGACAAACCCGAAAGCUACCUUUAUAACUACCCUGUUACGGCGUAGCGUUUGAUAGCCCCUAAGUAGAUCGAUCCACAUCUUGAAUACAUGCGACAAUCUCAGGUCUAAGGACAAAGCGUAUAUGUUGUUUAAAGAGAGAACUACUUCUCGUGUUGGGUCAGUCCUAGCACAUGUCUCCACAUGUGUCCACAUUAUUAGUUCAACAUCUCCAUGUCCAUGACUUGUGAAACAUAGUCAUCAACUAAUACAUGUGCUAGUCUAAUAUUCAUGUGUGUCCUCACAUGAACUCCGACUAGGGACAACUUUAGAAUAACCAUACAAGUAAAGAGUUUCACAUACAAUUCACAUAAUUGCAAAUCAAUUCAAGUAGCCUUUAAUGGAUAUUCAAUGAACACAAUAUACAAAUCAUGGAUACAAAUGGAAUAUCAUCAUCUCUAUGAUUGCCUCUAGGGCAUACCUCCAACACGUACAACGUCCCACCCCGCAGUGUGGCCUCGCCACCGCAUCGAAGCUGGCCCCGCCUCACCGGGCCAUGCGCCGCCCUCCCCUCAAGCAGCCCCAUGCUCGUCCUGCCACCACACCAUUUGCCUGACGCCCAGCAACCUCACACAUGCACCGCCAGUGCCGCCUGCCUUCAUCCCUGCGUCAGCCGUGGCCUCGUGCAGCAUCGCCCACCGUGCUACCUCGCGCAUCGAGUUGCCAGCCACGACCCAACGCAGCACUGCUCGCCGUAUUGGCCCGCGUGUGCAGCUCGCUGUGGGCCCAUGGCCCAGCGUCGUCCCGUUGCCGUACCGCCUUGAUUCGUGCCAGACAAGCAAGGGCUAGUGAUGAUUCGAGCAGAGGGUGGUGGAGGAGUGCGGUCGGCAUCGAUUUGGGCAGAGCAUCUAAUCGAUUCAACUACAGCAUGAGGAGUGGGGUGGGGAGAGCAGCUGAAAUGAACCCAAAUUCCCAUUUCUGAGAAUUCAAGCCUACCCACCUCCGUGAUAGUCCCAGGAAGGCUAUCACGUUCGAAUCCCUGUCUCAGAUAGUACAAAUCCAUAUCAACACAGAAAUAUAAAGCAACAACAGAGUACAAUAGCAUAAAUAUCAUAAGUAUCGAGGACAUCUCUUCGGCAAUGCCGGUACAAGUCCAUCAGGACUAAAUCAAGAAAAGUAAAACAUCUACGCAACGGAAACACAAGCUAUGGCGAACUCCAUCUCCAGAGAUGACUCGAGCGGAGAGCCAUCCCUAGUCUUCCCAUCCGUCGUUGUCGAAGUCAUAGUCGGGCUCCGACCCUGAAAAGCCACCAUCUACCCGAGAAGCGGGUAGGUCUUGUCAACUCCCAAUAGCAGCAAGCUAAGGAAAUAGGGGAAUUAUACUAUAUACAUGAGUAAACCUAUAUAUGGCUAUAGGGGUUUAUGUAGCAGCAAUCAAGGAAGCAGCAAAGCAACACCAUCUCCGAGGUCAACACCUCAAUGAAAGAAGUCGACACAAAUCAUCGGAUCCUUCACCCAAGGAUCCAGCACCCAAACACACUAGGCGAUGUGAGGGCUCCCUCCCUUCACAUCUCAACGGCAAACACGGGCCUAUCUCAAAACGGGGAAGAAAGAAUAAGCAAAGUCUAGUUAGAAGUAGCGGUAGUCAACAACACUGUCCAUAACCUAUCGGUGUUUUAGACCGGCAACCCGCCUAGGGGGUACCCUAGGUGGUCUUUUAUGCGGUAAGGGUCGUCGAGAAUCAAGGAAUCAAUGGUGAUGCAAGGAACACGAUUUAGACAGGUUCGGGCCGCUAGAUUGCGUAAUACCCUACGUCCUGUGUGUUGGUUUGUAUUGAUGUAUGUUCGGGUCUUGAGAUGUUAUGUUGAGGGGGGUCCCUGCCCGGCCUUAUAUACACGGGAGGGCAGGGUUACAAGUCUGAGUCCUAGUCGGGUACUAUUACAGAGCUCUACUCGGUAUUGGCCCGAGUAGUUUUCCAUAAAUGUACAAGACUAAUCCGAGAAGGAUACGCCCAUCCUUGUUCUGAUCUUGUCCGAGUACGUCCCUUGGUGGGCCGUCCAAGGCCUACUCGUGGACCUGGGGUGUAUGCCCGACAAGCCCCCGAGUACUUUGUAGUCGUACGCCACAGUUUUGGGCACUGCAGGCACUAUCCGAGUAGAUUUAGUCGUAGAGUUUGCAGGCUAAAGUGCUCGAGUACUGUCGCAUGGCUGGAAGGUACUCUUUUUGCUCCUUCGAGUUGUUUCCGUCCCGCGUAAUUUUAUAUGGCAGUGCGAUGUCAAUCGCACUCCAUAUGGAGUAGCCCUCGAGCCUUAGGUUGAGUCGAAGAGUCAGGCUUAGGGUCCAGCCAGCUUUUGUCCAUUUUACCCUUGGGGAUCUUUGGGAAAAGAAAAAACUGAUCAACGGGUACGGUAUCCGCAGCCCCCGAGCACUUAGGCGAACUUUGUCGUUGAAGUGGUCAGCAGUCCGUUGGAUAGAGUAGCCGUUGGGUGUUUAAGGCGAUUAAUAUGCAAUUAAUCUGUUCGUUGUGCAACUGACGCAUGGAAACCGGGGCUGGCGGAGAUAAAACUGGGAAGCCCCCUUUCGGUUGCUUUUACACCGUACGGCAAUUAGAUCUCUUCUUCUUCCUCCUCUGCGCCUCCGCUCUGCAUUUUGCCGUCCUCAGAGCCGCCGCCGCCGCCAUUGCCGCCUUUUGAGAAAGAUCCGAGUGUCGAGCCCCUUCUUCCUUGAGGUUUAGUCCGUCGAAUGCGCACCAAGAAGAUGGGCAAGAAACCCGAGAAGAUCCAGGGCAAGGCUUCGGCGACGGGCAAGAUCAAAUCCAAGAAGGGGAAGGAGUUGGUGCUGCGGGCACCGAAGGUGGGGCCAACGAAUCAAACUGUGCCGCCGCCGCCUGGGGCAACCUGGCAACACUCGGUGAUGAAGGAGGAAGCGGUCCAGGCGCUAGUCGAGACAAAGCUCCUUCAGUCGAAGGAGAUUCUUGAAUGGUGCCCCACGUUUCCCAAUGCGUGGCAGUUUGAGGAACAUCCUGCCGAGAUGGUGAUGCUUGCGCAUUUUGUGGAAAGGAGAUUGGUGGUGCCCACCUCCGACUUCUUCAGAGGUAUUCUCGAGUACUACAAACUUCAGCUCGUCCACUUGAAUCCCAAUGGUGUACUACACAUGUCUAUUUUUGUACACCUUUGCGAAGUUUAUCUGGGAGUACCUCCAAGUCUCAAGUUGUUUAGGAAGCUGUUCCGUUGUAAGCCUCAGCCGAGUGCCCAGCGGACGGAAGUCCUUGGAGGCGCCGGGUUCCAGCUCAGGAACUCGGGCGCGUAUAUUGAGUAUAAUCUGACCGACUCCCAUGGGGAGUGAAAGAAAAGGUGGUUCUACAUCGGGAACCAUGAACCCCGCUUGCCUGAGGUUACUGGUCACGCGCCCAAGCAUGCGGAGAACUGGGUGAGCGAGCUCGAGGACACCCCUGAGCUUGAUCACCUGAUGCAGCAGAUCACCGAGUUGAAGGCACUCGGUUUGACUGGGAUCAACGUGGCGGCCAGCUUCCUGAAGAGAAGGGUCCAGCUGCUCCAACAACGUGCUCACUCGGGAAGUGAGUACGUAGGUCUGAAGGAUCCAUCGCGUAUGUCUGAUGAGGACAUAUCCGAUGAUGACGUAGAUUCGCUGCUGGCUAAGUUUUUUAGGAACUAUCAGGGAGUACCAGUAAUUCCUGCAGCCCUUCGUUAGUAUGAUACUUGGUACGAGCUAGAAGUGGUAAGUGUUUUCCUCCUGACUUGUUCUUCUUUGACUUGUGAUUCUUGUUGCUGAUACCAAUUUGUUGUUUGAAGUCUCAAGUUCUUGCUGGCUACUUGGCGCAGUCGGAAGAAGAGUCGGAAGCUGUCGUCGAGGAGUCGGAGGAUGAGCCUUCUCCUCCUGUUAAGAGACGCAGAGUAGUCCGCAAGAUGUCUGCGGCUAAGUCUGCUUCAACCCCUUAGAAGUCUCGGGGUACCAAGGUAUGUAGUUGGUAACUUGUCUGUUAUUGAUGGAUUUGAACUCGUUAUUGAUGUGGCGAAUCUUGUUUUGGUUCGUGAAGGCUGUAGAUACGGCGCUUGGUGAAGAUGAGGCGGUUUCUGAAGAAAUGGCCGUGACCGACCCAGAAGUCGAUGAUGUGGCUGUUGACAUGGGGCCGGAGAGGGUACCAUCAAUAGAAACUGGGGUAGCCCCCAAGUUAACCGCGUCAACUCCAUCGGACACCAUGCCGCCUAUUGCUGACCAGGCGGUCCUAGGGCUGCUUGCUGGAGUAGCGGGUACAGUGAAGGAGGUGUCGCCAGUACUCGCUACUGGUACCUUGCUGUCCAAUGUGAUCGCCAGUGGUAAGCGUUGUCCCUUCCGAUUGUAUUCGUUUGAGUAGUAUUGUAGUCUUAACUUUGGUUUUGUAGGUCUUGGCGAGAAGACAGCGCCGGUCGGUAUUCCCGCGGCGCCUAGUACUCGGCCGCCUGUCGCUGAGAAGAAGCGUGUGCGACUACCGCCACGUUCAACCCGGUGAGCUUCCUUGUCUUUUUGAAUGACGUUGGAUUGUCUUGAAAUCAUGUAGUGACACUUUUUUGGUGCAGAGAUGCAGAGGAGACUAUCCCUGUAGAGAUAGGGAUAGUGCCGGAUCCCUCGACUACAACAUCUGUUCCUUUGGAGGACUUGACUGUUGAAGAGGUACCCAAGGUUGACGCUGGUCGUCUUGGAGCUACUAUGUCGAUGCUUCAAGACGUGAUUUGCUCAGUGGAGGUUCCCGCUGCUGCUUCAAGCUCGGGGAGUGCUGGCCUAUCAUCAUCAUCUGGCGAAGCGCUAGCCGUAGUUGAAAAAACCAAACAAGCGACUGCUCCAGGUAAGUGCCUGUAGUCUUUUUAUUGUAGUCGUAGUCGGUAGCUGACAUGGUAAAUGUUGUAGGUGCUACUCUGGGUACGAUCCCUCAUCUUGUGGAGAGUACCCAAAGGUCAGUACUUAGCCUGCCUUCUGACUUGGAGUUCCAGAGGGCCAUCGAUGUUUUCCGGGGCUUCCAGGUAGAUGUCCUUGUUGAGUUUGUUGCAUGACCCGAGUAGUUGUGAGGCUUGAAACUCACCAUACCAUACUUGAAUGUUUUCAGGAAAGAAGCCAUCGGUUGGAGCAGGAAUGUGCCCGACUGACAGAAGCUCUUCGGGUUCAUGAAGUCGGGGCAAAGUCCUUUGCCGUGGAACGCGCGGAUCACGCGGUUCUGCAGGAAAAACUGGAGAGCCGCUACAAAUCCUUGAACAGGAAGUAUCAAGGUAAGCAUUCCAACUACUUUGAUUGUGUCCAACUAUAGUUGGCUGUGGCCUGAGUUCUUUGUUUUCUAGAGCUCAAGAAGCAGGAAGCGGCUGCAAGGAGCCAAUUCAUCGACUGGAGAAACGCUCAUGACCGGGUGGCAGAUGAAGCCGAACAUCUUCGAGCCGCGCUGACGGAAGCGCAGGCUGCUUGCGAGCACCAGCGGGACUGAAAGAUGCAAAAUGGCGUGAUGCUUGCCAUGGCCAUGGUGGCAUGCAAGGAUCAUGCCCAGACCCUGGGAAGACUUCGGGGCGAACUCCAAGAGCUAUCUGGAGCGGCUGAAGACUUGGUGAAUGCUAUAGCCCUCGUGGAGGAAGGCGCAGGGCCGCAAUCGCUAGUUGAGCGACUAAGAGCUGCCCCGAGUAAAGUGGCGGGACUUUGCAAGACUGUUGCAAACAAGUUCUUGCAGUUGUGAAGUCCUACUACCCGAGGGCAGACUUGGCGGCAGCUGGUGAUGGCGUGGCUUGCAACUGCACAGAGGAAGCAUAUGCGCAGUACCUCGAGGAGGCAGAGCCUAUUGCAGCCAAGAUGUCAGAGUUUGUCUCCUUAGAAGAGCUUUGAGAUUUUGUGUGUACGUUUGAUACUUUUGAAUACCAAGCCUUUGGAUUUUGAAGUUUGUUGUUUUGCGAAGAGAAGUUUUACUUCUUUGUGUCCAAUCCAGAGUACUGGAGUCGGCUGGGUCUGACCCUCUAGGGGAGAAGCUUCGUCUUGCCCGACCUUGAGGCUUGGGGUCGGCUAAGCCUGACCCCUUCGAGGGUGAAAACUCUCUCGCCCGACCCUGGGUUCUGGGGUCGGAGUAGUCCGAGCCCCCGAGCUGUAGACCACGCUUGGCUUGUAGUAGUCCCGAGUGUCAAGUAGUCGUAAUGCUGUUGAGUACUCGUCUUUUGAGGGACACAGGUGUACUGUACUCCUUUGUCCUUUAUGGAUGCACGGGUGUACUGUACUCUUUUGUCUGUUGUGGCAUGAGUGUGGUCACGUGGGCAGAGUCAGGAGGCAUCAGACUCAUUGAGCACGGGUGCAUAGUAACUCUUGGGCAGGUGGUAGUUGUGGCCUUCGGCUAUAAAUAGGGCCACCUGGUGAGCGAACCAACUCAAGCUCCUGAGUAGCAAUGGAUUGCCGUGGGUUGCUUCUAUUUGAGUGUAGAGAGCCAUCAAAGAGUGCACCGGUGCUAGAGGAUUCCUCGUAGAUUGAGGCCACCUUCCCUCCACAGACUCCUGCGCUCGUAGGGAUAGCCGUGAUGCUAGAAGAAUCCUCGUAGGAGGUUUUGUCGCACGCCUCAUCUUGUAGCUCGUGAUCCAGAUGGGUACGCGCUUGAACUCGCGAGUGAUGGGUGAUGAGUGCCGCGGUCUUUAUCCCGCUUUGAGAAAGGUGGAGGUGCGGCCGUAGAGUAGAUUGGCUCCGCAAGGCUAGCAAAAGAGUAGCCUUGGUUCCCUCUAGGCGCGUCGUGUCGGAUUUGGCGUUGCCGCUGUCAAGGCAGUGGCGAUGCUGGAGUUCCUGGCAUUGCCUUGGAUAGGGUACCUGGGCAUGGCUGCGUUUUGCGCAGCUUCCUUGCAUGUGGGCCCUUCUUGUGGUCGGCAGACCUGAGUGGCCUUGUGAUAUAGUAAAAGCCUGAGGCUUAAAUGCAGCCCGCCAGUAGGUAGUUGCUUGUAGUCUUCGUGUAUGCCAAGUACUUGUACUCGUAUGUAACUUGAUGUACUCUUGUUUCAGUAAAGAUAUUGAUACGAAGAUUUUGUAUCAGGGCAAUGAUCCUUGUUGUGCUGAAAGCUCAUGUCGAAGCUGAGACAUCUUGAAGUCGGUAGUCGGGCGGUUGGUCCGAGUAGUUGCCUUGAAGAGAUUACUCGGGUGCUGCUAUGGGUAAUACCGACAGAGAUGUUUGAUGUUCCAGAAAUUUGGCUCUUGUUCUCCUCAAAGCUCUUGGAGUCUGUAAGAUCCGGGUCCCAUAACCUUUGAUACGAUGUAAGGACCUUCCCACGGUGAAUUGAGUUUAUGCAAUCCUGACAUGUCUUGGAUACGCUUAAGGACCAUAUCGCCCGAGUUGAAGGAUCUUUCCUUGACGUUGCGGUCGUGAUAACGCCUUAAACCGUCAAGUUAUCUGGCAGAUUGCACUAGUGCUGCGCAUCUUGUUUCUUCUAAACUAUCUAUAUCUGUUCGUCAUGUUUCUGUUGCAAGUUCUUCGUCGUAUUGUUCAACGGAUGGUGAUUGCCACAUGAUGUCGGCGGGUAGUAUGGCUUUCAAGCCAUAUACCAGAAAAUAGGGUGAUAGCCCCAUAGUCUUGCAUGGUUGGGUACGUAGGCCCCACAAGGAAUUGGGUAACUCUUUGAGCCAUCUGCCACCUUUGGAGUUGCCAACGUCAUGUAGUCGUUUCUUCAGAGCGUCUAGUAUCAUGCCAUUAGCACGCUCAACUUGUUCGUUGGCUCGCGGAUGAGCAACUGAGACGUAGCGGACGUCGAUGCCACUAUUCUCGCAAUAUUCCCAAAAGUCGUGAUUAUUGAAGUUUGACCCUAGGUCUGUGAUAAUCCUGUUGGGAAAACCGUAGCGGUGUACGAUUUCAUCCAAGAAGUCGAGGACUCGGUCUGCCUUGGGGCAAGUGACCGGUUUGACCUCGAUCCAUUUGGUGAAUUUGUCGAUUGCCACGAGUACUCUAUUGAAUCCUCCUGGCGCAGUUGGUAACGGACCUAUCAUGUCGAGCCCCCAACAGGCAAAUGGCCAUGUUGGAGGUAUUGUGACUAGCUUGUAGGCCGGUACAUGUUGCUGUUUUGUGAAGAAUUGACAACCUUUGCAUUUCUGAACUAGUUGUUUGGCGUCGGCCAGAGCCAUUGGCCAGUAGAAGCCUGCUCUGAAAGCUUUGCCAACUAGUGUCCUCGAAGAGGCGUGGUUGUCGCAGACUCCUCUGUGAAUCUCUUCUAGGAUUUCUUGGCCAUCUUCUCUGGUGACGCACUUCAUGAGUACUCCAGAUGAUGCACCUUUCCUGUAGAGCUUGUCUCUGACUAGAAUGUAAUUCUUUACUUGCCGGGAGAUUUGCUCAGCUUUAUUCUUGUCGGAUGGUAACUGGUGAUCUUUGAUGUAGUCGAUGAAGGGUGUCCUCCAGUCGACUUCUAUCAUCAUGAUUUCACGAGAGACGUCAGUAGCCGAGGCUACUGGUGGUGUGACUUGUUCAGGUAUGGACGGCUUGCGCAGUUCAUGUACAAAAAUUUCUGCUGGAACUUCUGCACGAGUUGAGCCCAUUUUGGAUAAAACGUCGGCGGCAACGUUGUUGUCGCGGACGAUGUGAUGAAACUCCAAGCCUGAGAAUUUGUUUUCCAGUUUACGAACUUCUUUGCAAUAAGCAUCCAUGUUGUCCUUGUUUCGGUGCCACUCGUCAUUGACCUGGUUUAUAACGACUAGGGAGUCGCCGUACACCAGUAUUUGUUUGAUGCCGAGGGAGAUUGCGAGGCGAAGGCUGUGUAGCAGUGCUUCGUACUCAGCUUCGUUAUUAGAUGCUUCCCAGAAUAUCUGCAGCACAUACUUUAGUUGGUCUCCUUUGGGGGAGAUGAGUAAGACACCUGCGUCGGCUCCUUCAAGUUUGAGGGAUCCGUCGAAGUACAUUACCCAAUGUUCUGGUCGUUCGAUUGGUGUUGGAACUUGAUUUUCAGUCGACUCAGCUAUGAAGUCGACCAAAGCCUGAGACUUGAUGGCUGUCCUUGGCUUGAAGUUCAAAGUGACAGCUCCGAGUUCAACUGCCCAUUUGGAGAUUCUACCCGUGGCAUCUCUGUUAUGGAGAAUUUCGCCGAGCGGGAAGUCGGAGAUGACUGUGAUGUUGUGCUCUUGGAAGUAAUGGCGCAGCUUCCGGGAGGUGAGCAGAAUAGCGUAUAAGAGCUUUUGUAUUGGUGAAUACCGAGUUUUGGAAUCCGAGAGUACUUCGCUGACGAAGUAGACAGGUUGUUGGACCUUGUAAGUGUGGCCCGGUUCAGACCGUUCAACUACUAUUGUCGUGCUGGUGACAUGAGUAGUAGCGGAGAUGUAUAUGAGCAAGUCUUCGUUCGGAGAGGGAGCGGUGAGUACAGGAGGCUUUGACAGAAAGUCUUUGAGUUGUGUUAAUGCCUCAUCUGCCUCUUCCGUCCAUUUGAACUUGUCCUGGCGUUUGAGAAGCUUGAAGAAGGGUAGUCCCCAUUCUCGAAGUCUCGAGAUGAACCGGUUGAGAGCAGCCAUGCAGCCUAUGAGUUUCUGCACAUCCUUAAUGCUGGCUGGUGCCUGCAUAUUUGUGAUGGCAGAUAUUUUCUCCGGGUUGGCCUCAAUGCCGCGAUGGCUAAUGAUGAACCCGAGUAAUUUGCCGGAAGGUACUCCAAAGACGCAUUUAGUAGGAUUGAGUUUCCAUCAGAAAGCACGGAGAGUAGAGAAAGUUUCCUCUAAGUCAGCAAUGAGUUCCUCCCGGUUUCUUGUUAUGACGACGACGUCAUCGACAUAAGCUUCGACAUUGCGAUGAAGUUGCUUUUCAAAGCACAUCUGUAUGGCCCUUUGAUAAGUUGCUCCUGCAUUUUUUAGUCCGAAGGACAUUGUUUUGUAGCAGAAAGCUCCAAAGGGCGUAAUGAACACUGUUUUGGCUUGAUCUUCUUCUUUGAGGUUUAUCUGGUGAUAGCCGGAGUAGCAGUCGAGAAAACAUAGUAAAGCGCACUCAGCGGUGGAGUCAACCACUUGAUCGAUCCUGGGUAGCCCGAAAGGAUCUUUCGGGUAGUGUUUGUUGAGGUCGGUGUAGUCAACACACAUUCUCCAUUCGUUGUUUUUCUUACGAACAAGCACAGGAUUGGCGAGCCAGUCAGGAUGAAAGACUUCUUUGAUGAAUCCUGCCGUGGGUAGCUUGGCUAACUCUUUUUUGAUUGCUUCUCGUUUGUCCUGAGCAAAACGGCGUAGUCGUUGCCAUUUUGGAGUAGCUUUGGGAUCGACGUUGAGAGAAUGCUCGAUCAGUUCCUUGGGCACACCUGGCAUGUCAGCCGGCUUCCAAGCGAAGAUAUCAUGGUUAGCCCAAAGGAAACUGACGAGCGCGAGUUCCUAUUUAGGAUCUAGCCCUGUUCCGAUCAGGGCUGUCUUGGAAGGAUCACCGAUCUGGAGGUCGACUGAUUUGAAGUCUUGCUCACUGGCGGGUUUCACCUUUGUGGACCCCGACUUGUUUUCCGGGAUCUCUAGUUCGGUUGGGUGGAGCUUCUUGGAAGCUGUGAAGACAUGUUGCAUGGGAUUAGGAGAUUGAGUAGUCGCAGCAAUUUCCACGGCUUCGGUGUCGCACUCGUAGGAUUUUCGAAUAUCUCCUUGUAGUGUGAGCUCCCCUUUGGAGCCUGACAUUUUGAGUACUAGGUAGACAUAAUGUGGUAUGGCCAUGAACUUGGUGAGUGCUGGCCGUCCGAGUAUGGCAUGAUAAGAUGUCUCGAAGUCGGCGACCUCGAAUCUGAUGUACUCGGUGCGGUAAUGGUUCUUAGUUCCGAAGGUGACUGGAAGGACAACUUGUCCUAGUGGUAUAGCCGCGUUUCCGGGCACGAUGCCGUAGAAAGGGGAAUCCGUUGGGGUAAGCAUUUCAGUGACGUCGAGGCACAUCUUCCUUAAUGUCUUGGCGAAGAUAACGUUGAGGCCGCUUCCUCCAUCAAUGAAUACUUUGGUUAACUUUGAACCUGCCACAACUGGAUCCAGGACUAGUGGGAAACGGCCUAGUUCUGAAAAUUUUGUCCAUUGAUCUUUUCUGCUGAAAGAAAUUGGAACUUCUGACCAUUUUAACGGUGUGGGGUCCGUUGGCUCAAUGGCCAUGAUCUCCCUGAGUACGAUUUUGUUAGCUCGCUUGGAUGCAGUGCCUGGGAUACCGCCGAAUAUGACGUUGACGGUUUUUGAAGCUGUUUGGAAAUCACCGUCCUCAUCUUCAUCGUUGCGGGCUUUAUUUUUACCCUUAUCUUUGUUUUUGGUGUACUCUUCAGGAGUUGGUGGUGCGGGUAAGUCUUGCAUGACUCGGCGCAUGCUGUAGCAGUCUAUCGCUGAGUGCUUGCUAGUCGGAUGCCAUGGGCACUGCUUUUUGAGUAGCUCUGUGAAGGUUGGCCCUUCGUCGUUUCUGCGGUGCCCCUUUUUUCCGGAGCUGGUCAUGGCGGCAACGGUGUUGUCGGGCUUCUUUUUGCGAUUGUGAUUACUCGGAUAGGAGUUCCGAGCAUCGUUAUGCCGAGUUCUAUCUAGUUCAUUGUUGUGGUUGUUGUCACGUCCUUUGUUACAGUGGGAACCGAACCGUUCUCGCUCUUUGUCUUCUUGGUCAGCUCACUGUUGCACCAUGACUUUGAGUUCUUUGACAUUGGCUGGUCGUCAGCGACCGAAAUCUUGGUAUGUUCGUCGAUCAUAGAGUCCAUUUUGGAAGCACUCAAUGACGUCUUGUAACACCCCGUCCUCCAAAGCCGCACCGCCCAACCCUUCCGAGGGGCGGGCACGCGUACACAUAGCACCCUGCUUACACUUUCGUCCUCGCUUCGUGUAAAAGGGUUAACCCGAAGGUGCUAUGGCUGGUUGACGAAGGUUUAUAAGUUGCCUCCAUCCUUGCUAAACUAGCAAUAUGGUACUAAACAUGCACACAUACGCUAAUGGGCCACACUGGGCCAACCAAAUUGGGCCGGGUGUCACAUUCACCCCCCCUCAAAGAACCCGACGUCCUCGUCGGUCCAACUCACCCACGCAUGGGAAAAUGUCCAGGAACGUUCCCUCUAAGCGCACGACCGUACGUCCAGUGCCGGCGCAAUAUGCCAUGCCGUGUGUCCCAUCUCAGGCCCACACGCGCCAUGCGCCAUAUGCCCGCACACUGACCCGUACGCGCAACCGCGAGGGUCGGCUCUGAUACCAUUUGUAACACCCCGUCCUCCAAAGCCGCACCGCCCAACCCUUCCGAGGGGCGAGCACGCGUACACAUAGCACCCUGCUUACACUUUCUUCCUCGCUUCGUGUAAAAGGGUUAACCCGAAGGUGCUAUGGCUGGUUGACGAAGGUUUAUAAGUUGCCUCCACCCUUGCUAAACUAGCAAUGUGGUACUAAACAUGCGCACAUACGCUAAUGGGCCACACUGGGCCAACCAAAUUGGGCCGGGUGUCACACGUCUGUUUCGGAGAUGUCAACUAUGGUAGCCUUCUUUUUGAAGAACCGUCGCAGAUAGUCGCGUAAGGUCUCGCCCUCUUUUUGCUUAAUUUGUCUUAAGUCGAUUUUGUUGCCUGGCUUGGCCAUGGAGCCAGCGAAGUUGUUGGUGAAAGCCUUUGUCAAGUCUGCCCAAGAAUCAAUGGACUUGGGUUUUAAUGACUCGAGCCAGAUCAGUGGUGCGGGUUCCCUGCAUAUGGGGAAAUGAAUGACUUUGGUGUCGUUAUUGCCCCCGGUUGCUUGGACGACUAGCGAGUAAUAGCGAAGCCAUUGAAUUGGGUCUUGCUUGCCGUCGUACUUGGUGAUUCCGGUUGGCUUGAACUUAUCGGGUAAUUUUGUUUUCAUUACCCGGUUUGUGAAAGCCAGAAAAUGGUUGUAGCUGUCGACUUCCCAUUCGCGCCGACUGUUGAGAAUUUCUCGCAAAUCACUGAAGUUGGAUAUUUCGUUGUUCUUCUGAGUAGGGUGGAUGCUUUUAACCGAGUUGGUGCAGUUGACCUCACCAAUAUCUUUAUGUCGCGUAGGAGCUUUAUGCUUGCUUGGACCUUGGCUGUGUUGCCGAGGUUGGUUGACUGCAUCAUCGUUUCGUGGGGCGGUGUUUUUGUCUGCAGCUCUCCUGCUACCUUCUUGAUGAGAUGUGAUAUGAGGAACAGACGGGAUUGGUGAUUCUUUGUCGAGUAGCUUGUAGGCUUGCUCCGCGAGUUGUGCGAUCAGUCCGCUGCCACGCUGCACGAGUUGAGCUGUGGCUACGUUGUCCCUAUCCUGAGGCAUCAACGUAGUUAAAAGGUUGAUUGAGGCGAUGGCCACGAGAGGAGUAUUGUGCUCCUGAGCCUGAACUGCGUUGAAAGCCCUUUCAAGUUUCGUAAUGGGGAUAUUUGUAGCCAUCAACUGUCGUCACUCGGCUCGAGUAGCAUUGCGCGCCCUUCGUUGGUUGCGCUGCUCGGAAGCUUCGCCGUGAGGGGCAUCUGCAGUAGAUUCAUCUUCGGAGAUACUGUCGAUUUGUGCUAAUCGCCUGGGGGUUUUGUCCUGGCUAGUACCUGGGUUGUUAUUCUGAGUAAUAACAAGUAUUUCCCUGUCCAGGUAGUAGCUUCCAAAGCUUGAUGUUGCAAUUUCUGUGUGACUUUCAUCACGGUUGAGUGGAACGCCUUCUUGAUAUGGUAAGUUGUCUAUAUGGGCGACUAGGCGCGAGUCGUAGUCACGGUCGAGAAGGGGUUGUCGCAAUCCCAGCCAGUGGACGAAUCUGCCUUGUGAUGUCGAAGUUAUUACCAACCCUUAGGCUGGACCAGAUAAUGGUAUCUCUGGUGAGUAGGAUGAGUCGGAGUCAACAUCUUCGUCAUGCCCGAGUUCGACUCGGGUUGGAGCUAGAAAACCUUGGUGGACUUUGGCUGCGUUGUGGAGUCCGUGCGGGAACCGCUUUGAAGUCGAAACCGAUUUGGAUGCUGACUGGGGACGUCGAUUCCGAAGCGAGUCCGACCCUGAGUCCAGGGGUCGGCUGAGCCCGACCCUUUGGAGGAGUAGCUCCGCCUUGCCCGACCCCGAAUGAAACUCCGUCUCGCCCGACCCUGAGUCCUGGGGUCGGGAGUGCCCGACCCCUGAGUGGAAGGUUGGAGUAGUCCGAGGCGAAGUCGAAUCCGACGUGUAGUCGAACUCGAACUCAUUGACUUUGAAAUCUUGAUUUUUUCUUGUCAGAUUUUCUGGUUUCUUCUCCUGAGUGUCGACGAUCUGGCGCCAGAACGAUCCCGAGCCUUUGGCGACGCAAAGCCAGGACCCAAAAACGAAGGUGGCGCCGGCUGCGAUGAAGAAAAUGAGCCUGAUGAUGACCUUUGCCAUUGAGUUCGCGCUGAGAAACUCGAUGAGUCCCCCUACCUGGCGCGCCAGCUCUCGGUGUUUUAGACCGGCAACCCGCCUAGGGGGUACCCUAGGUGGUCUUUUAUGCGGUAAGGGUCGUCGAUAAUCAAGGAAUCAAUGGUGACACAAGGAACACGAUUUAGACAGGUUCGGGCUGCUAGAUCGCGUAAUACCCUACGUCCUGUGUGUUGGUUUGUAUUGAUGUAUGUUCGGGUCUUGAGAUGUUGUGUUGAGGGGGGGUCCCUGCCCGGCCUUAUAUACACGGGAGGGCAGGGUUACAAGUCUGAGUCCUAGUCGGGUACUAUUACAGAGCUCUACUCGGUAUUGGCCCGAGUAGUUUUCCAUAAACGUACAAGACUGAUCUGAGAAGGAUACGCCCAUCCUUGUUCUGAUCUUGUCCGAGUACGUCCCUUGGUGGGCCGUCCAAGGCCUACUCGUGGACCUGGGGUGUAUGCCCGACAUAACCAGUGGACACAGACUAUAGCUAUAGCUUUAUACACUCUGCAGAGGUUGUACAACUACACUCGCACGGAUGGAGCCUGAACGAUAGCAAUCCGUCCAAACCCCACCUAACAACCGGAGCCCUAGUUGGUGGAUAGCUCUCUCCUGUUUCCUCGAGUUUGGAAUCGUCCUCAGCUGCAGGGCACGCCAUCACUAGUAAGGACCUCGGAGCUGUGAAACCUACCCAUGCUGGGGUGCAGACUAGUUAGAUCAAGCCAAUGCCUUGAACUCCUUACACGAUCCUCCAAUCCGCCUACAGGCUGAGCACUAUCCACCAUUAGUCUCAUACCAAACCUCGCCCAUAACGUAAGUGAGCGGUAUGUACGAAAAUAACAGCUGUGACCGGUGAUAAACUGACUCGGUCCUUAAGCAGCUAAGAGCGAGCAUCUACCCACAAGUAUGUGCCGAGGCACCUGCAACGUACAAGUACACCACCUGUUCCUCAGUAACAAACAAGGUACCCGCUACAGGUACGGGGUAUAGAAAGAGUCCAGAAUGCUCUCUCCCGGCAAGGCACUCCUCAGUACCAACCAUGGCUCGCUCCCGCCAAAACACAUCAAGGAGUCACACUCACCCAAAACACACGAGAGAGUGUUCAAGGAAUCCCAUCACCAAAACCAUGGCAUAUGCCCAUCCAUAACUCAAAAGCAUGUAUAUGGAUAUAAGUACCUAUUGACUAGCUAGGGGUCUGUAGCUAGUCCACAAAAGUAGGUAAAAAGGGAAAUAGGAUAAACAAUUAUCAAGGCAUGGCUAAAAACAUUGGCUAUGCAAUCCAUCAUCAUCAAUCAUCAUAAAUAAAGCACUAGCAACAAAGCAUGCAUAGGAUCUAUAUGAUUGGAAGUGACAUGACACCUUUUCUGUAGUCGUUUGGAUCUCCCUCAGUGUAGUCGAGGUCUUCAGGGUCUUCCGGGUCGUAGCUCGGGUCUGAACAGAACGAGAUACGACGUAAAGUAAAUUAAACGCCAUACAACUAGGCAAAAACUCCAAGAAAGCCAAAUUUAGAAGAUCCAAAUAACACCAAGCUAGCUACAAUCAGCACGGGCUCGAUUUUAUGAAUUUAUUGUAACUCAUUUCAUAUUUUUCAAAGUUAAAAUGAAUUAGUUAUGAAUUUUUAAAGAUUAAAUAAUUUAUUUAAAAAUUUAAAUAAUUUUAGAAAACAUUUAUUGUUAUGGUGACACGUGAUAGCUCCUGGUUGUGCCACGUGGUAGCAUAGGAGUGCGCCACGUGUCUGCUGAUGUCAGCAUGACGUUAACGUUGAGCGGUCAACGGUCAGCAUUGACCCGGUCAACAGUUAGUGGUCAAUUUGGUCCCAUCGGUCAGCUGGUGAGCCCUACAUGUUAGUGGGUCCCACGGGUCAGUGGAUUCCACAGGUCAGUUUGCCCCACGGGUCAGUGGGCCUGUUUGUAAGUUAGUGGGCCCCACUAGUGGGCCCUACUAGUAGGCCCGAGUCUUGGACACGAUAGAGCCACGUGGCAGCCAUGUGGCGCGAUCUACCUACGUGGCUCUGCCAUGUGGUGCCUAAGUGGCAGCAACGUUGCACGCAGUGCGGCGGUGAUCACGCCCACGACGUCACGACGCGGCAAAGCUUAGCGCGCGACGGGAACCUGUGCGGGCGUGUCGGCACGUGUGCCUAGGUGGCGUGGGCGCGCUGGCGUGGAGCGGGCGCGUAGCAGAACUGCUGCGGCGCGCGGCAGCCGAGCCAACGCUCGGCCCUAGCCUCGCGCCCAUAGGCGCGUGGCGUGACGUGACAUGGCAGCGGGCGCGCGGGCACGGAGUCGUACCCGGCCGCAGCACGGCAAGCGGCGGCGCACGGCAGCUCAAAAGCUGAUCAAGGGCGCUGAAAGGAAAAAGGGGAGGUGGGUGGUGCUCACGGAGGGGCGAAGGAAAGGGGGCGGAUGGCGGCGGCUUCCCCUCGGACAUGGCUGCUGCUCCCACGGGUAGCUCCGGCUCCCUUCCUCGGGCAGCCUCCUAUUCUCUUCCCCUUUCUCCUCUUCUCAUCCUCUGCUCCUCUUCCUUCUCCUUCUACCCUUCUCCUCUUUCGUGCGAUAGCAUUGGGGAGGAGCCCUAGUGGCUUAGGAUGGCGAGGAAGGGUGCCGGGAAGUCCUAUAUAUGAUGGCGAGGGCGGCUAGGGUUUAGCGGGGUACGGCGCCGAUGCUAGGGUUUUGGGGGAGCGGUGCUGGCGAGUGGACGGUCAGGAUGCGGCGGCAUGGUGGCAUCCGAGGCCGCCAGCGCAAAAGCGAGGGAGCAGGCGAGGUCACGGGUGCGCGCUCUCACAUGGGAGUGCGUGCUAGCACGGACGGCGAGGCGAGCGCGUCCCAUCCGGCGUGCACGCUCGCGGCGUGUGAGCGUAAGGCUCGGAGGAAGAAGAAGGGUGAACAGAGGGGCUGACUCGUGUGCCCCGCGUGGCAGCGAGAGAGAAAGAGAGGGAGAGCGGGGCGCGGUGGCGAGCGGACUGGGCCGGCAGGCCGGUUAGGCGGCGUGCGGGGCUGGCUGGCCGGUCUGGUCGCUGGGCUGUGCGGGUGCGGGUGUUAGAGGGCUAGGCCGGUGGGCUGCAGCCGGCCUGGUUGUUAGUUGGUUAGUGUAACAACCUAGAUUAAUUAAGCUAUGUUUCAAUCUUAAAACGAGUCAUUAGUGCUUAAAGAAGAACUUUGGCAACAAUAAGGCAAGUGAAAGUACCCUUUUGCCCUCACAAGGUUAAAAUGCUGCCUUCCGUAACUCUAAUUUUUGCUUAAGAACUUAAAAAUCUAUCCAACUAAGAGUUGUAGAACUCAACCUUCCUAAGAAGUUUAAUUUUUGGUGUUUUGCUUGGAUCUGAGCAGAAGCCCUCCAAAAACCCGAAAUAGCAAUCUGUGUUGUUUUGUUUCAAAACAGGCAAGGUCCCAACUUUAGGGCUCUCUAUUUCGAAAUUUCUAAUAUAAACUCGAGCUGAGCCCUAUGCCAAAGUUUUAGAGCUUUGAAACCUUAAUAACCUUGCUUUAAGGAGCAAGUUUGAAAUCUGCCCUGAAAGCCUUCAGAAAAUCUAGGUCAAAGUCCCCUUGUUUGGUCAACCUAGCCCCUUUUGGCAAUCUAGGCUAAGUGUGGAAAUCAGCCCGACCUGGUGCCUUAGGGCAGGUUUAUCUCUUAAAAGUUGAACAGAACAUCAGAAAAUCCCUUUAUAAAAGUUGGAGGAAUAAGUUUCUACACCAACUUUGUUAAUUGAACCUUGGUCCAAUUCACCUCCGAAGAUUCUCAAAACUGCAGCUCAAGUUAGCCCAGAACCCUGAAAACCAGCCCAAGCCGCCGUUUUUUCUCUAAGUCCUGAAAACUGGCGUUCCUCCAAACUUUGGAGUUUUGAACCUCCAAAUCCACCAUGAAUUUGAACUCAGUCAAAUUACAAAAGUUGGACUUUGAUCUGUGUACUACAUCUUUUGUAAAGGGAGUCAACAUGGUGCGGUUUGAGAAUCGGGAGAUCCAUGGGCUCGAAGACAGGCGCGGCAAAAGAUCCCGCGAAUCCGUCAGUCAGAGCGCGCCCGAGCGCUCCAGAGCACCGCCGCCGCAUGGCGCGGCCUCACUAGCAAGCACCACCUCGCCCAGUCGCCGGCCGCGACAAGAUGGAUCGAUGUGCCUUGCUCCCCAGUCGCACACGACGACGACCUGCAGCCCCUCCGCUCCGUCCCGUCUCGCCUGCCCGAGGCCUCGUUGGCCACGCUAGGCGCGUUGCCCGCGGCUCCGUCGCCUCCCUAGCCACUCCACGAUCGAAGACCGGCCACUGCCGCGCUGAUGCCGCCUCGCCUCCCGCGCGCAUCCUCCCCACCAAGAUCUCCGGCUGCGCCCCAACACCUUCCGGCCCUCCCGUCAAACCCCCGGUUGCGCUGCCGGCUCGCGCGCCCCGCAACGCUGCCACCUCUGCCAACCACCGUGCAGGCCGCGACAGCUCCUCCCCCACCUCACCAGUAGCAUGCCCCGGCAGAGCCGCUCGUCCCGCGCAUGCUUGCAUCGCUUCGCUCGCCCUGUCACCUCGCCUUCCGUGCCUGCCUGUCCCUUCUGUCUGCCAAUGGCGCCGUCACCAUUAAUGGCCGCGAGAGCACGCGUGCCCGCCCUUCUCCAGCCCACCAACCAGCCACAAGCCCCCGGCGCCUAUAAAAGCCCCGCCAGCGCUACCGCGCUCCCCUUCGCCUCCCUCUCCGCUCCAGCUAACCGUCCAGAACCCUCACCGCUCACCUAAGUUCCAUCGCCGCAAGCUCCUCUGCUCCGCGCUCACGCUCCGCUGCACACCCUCUCCGUGGAGCUCCCCUUUCCACCCGACCCCGCACCUUGCCAACACCACCAGCCACUUCGCCAACCUCUCGCGCAGCUCUAGAGCUUGCUUGUUGCCCGCGAGAAGCACCACCGCCGCCGGAACAAUGCUGGACCCUGCCGCCACCCAAAGCUUUCCGCCUUCUACCGUUCCGCCCCGGCCAAACCUUCUCGUCGCCCCCAACCGCUUCAAACCGGACCAAGGUGAGCCCGUAAGCCCUCCCGGCCACUCACCGCCCCAAGGUCGCCGGCGCAUCGCCGGGAUUUUACCCGCCGCCGCCGCCUGCGCGCCUGAGGACCCAAUUGCUUUUGGAAAAGGUGAACCAGGGGCCUUAGUGUUAAAACCCAGGACCUUUAUGCGAUUAAACCCUAGACCUAGGGGCUAGUCCGCAAGUACCUCGGUUUAAAUGAUUUAAUCGACAGAAAUUGUGUUUAACUUUAGAAAUUCACCAAAAUUUGUAGAAAACUCAGAAAAAUGCCAAACCAAUUUUGCUAGGUUCAGAAUAAAGAGUAGUUUUUAAUAAAAAUACUUUUGGCAUAUGUAACUGUUGGAAUUAAUGUGGUAUGUUUUAAUUCUUAUUUAAGCCAUUUAAAUCAUAACAAAUCAUAGAAAUAUGAUAAGAAGAUGAAACCAACUCUCAUAUGUUUCUUUCAAGCAGUAGAAACUAGGAAAAAUGUUUUAGAGCCCAGCUCAAAAGUUUAAUCAUCUGUUUAAGUUUUGCCAUGGAAAUUUAAGAGUGUUUCCAGCUUUUUGCAUAACAAUUAAUCUGGAGCUGAGAAAAAUAUGAAACCUUCUAAUUUAAAUCAGUGAUGUAACUCAAUUUAUGGGAAAAAUAUGGAAACCACGAGAAUUACAUAGGUGAACCCGUUUCCUGUUUAGAGAAGAAUAAAUAGGGUAAAUGCAUAGAAAGCGUUUCCUUUUCGCAAAAAUUGUUAAAUGCUAGCUACCUCUAUAUUGGAAGAGGUACAAAAGAACAUUCAGAAAUAGGAUAACUUUCCGAUAUAAAGCUUAACAAAGUGUUGUUACAUAUAUGUACACAAUCGCUAUCAAACAAACCCCGGCCUAUACCACACCCCACCUUCUUUAUGUAAGUAAAGAAAGUUCAGAAUCUUGUUUAGGUGAAUGUGGCCUAUAUAACUUCUUCUUCUUCAGCACCAAAGUGUGUUUGUGUUCUAUGAAAAGUUGAGAAUUUAACUUGAUGUAUUGCAUUUUUUGUAUAGUUGAACCUCGCAGAUAGAACCUACGAGCUUCACCCAGCGCCGGAGGAAGAAGCCGUAGCUGAGCCGCCGCCUGCAGGAGCCCGAGCACGCCGAAGACCAGUUCGCUACCGCCUCGCUUGAAGGCAAGCCCCGGAGCAUAAAUUCCUAUCUUUAACUACUUGCAAUAUAUUUGGUUGCUUGAUUGUGCAUUUACGUUUUUAGGAAUUGAUUGAAACCGUAGAUGCAUGAAUUAGUGCCCUUGAUCUGAACACUAGUAUGAUAGGCCGAGUAGUGCAAUGCUUAAUAGGACUCAGUAAAAGUUGAGUGAUUGACUGUCCCUCGCGAGUUAUAGGAGUACUAAUGGGCCUCAGACCAAGAGGCCCGUCAGGAACCUCUAUAAAUAGAGGGGUGGGGGCGCCCUAGGGUUUACACCUUUUGGCCAAAGCAUAGCCGCCACGCCUCCCACACCCUCGCCCUGUUGCAACUCGCGGACCUAGCAGUCCGGCUUGCGACGCUUCCUCCCUACACAUGUGGAUACCUUGGAGGUGUUGCACUUGCAGCACUUGGAUAAGCCGCUGACGAGCCACGACGAGCCGCCGACGAGCCGUGGCACAAGGAGGACCUCGCUAUACGUGGACGAGCUGCUGAGGAGUUGCUUGAUGUUGACGUGAUCGACUACGUGUUUGACUACGCUGAUCGACUUCUCUGCCCCGACGCGAUUCGAUAUCUUCAGCACCAGUGCGUCGAGUGGUAAUCCCGUGAUCCAUAUACGACAGUUUUCCUGGUUUAUGUGGUAGAAUUUUUUUUGUUUUGCACUAGCGUAGCCUACCUCGUAUCCCUACAUGAAGAACCGGCAUCCCUCACACCUACGACAACCUCCUCUGCGUCUCGCAACAUCGUGGGCCAGUAGAAACCUUGGCGAAAGGCUUUUCCGACCUGUGACCUUGGGGCCGCAUGGUGUCCGCAGAUUCCGAUGUGGACUUUGAGGAGAAGUUGUUUUCCCUGGUCGGUCGGGAUGCACUUCAUGAGUAUCCCCGAUGGACUUUGUUUGUAAAGCUUGUCACCGAUGGGGACGAACGUCUUGGCAUGUCGAGCGAUUCGUCACGCUUUAGUCCUUUCUAUUGGUAGGACCUCCUCGAGGAUGUAGGCGAGUAGCGGCGCUCUCCAGUCGGUCGGGUCGAGCGCCAUGACGUCGGUGCCACCAGGUGUAGUUGCCUUGGAGGCAUCAGGGUUGAAGCUCCCGAGCGCCUGGUCGGGGUCGAGCCUCAUUGAAGCAUUGGAGCCCCCGAGCACUCAAUUGGGGUUAGGCUGCGUCCGGGUCAGAUUAGGUCAUUUACGAAGACUCCAUCGCAAAGUGGACCCUGUCUAGCCGCCAAUUUCGCAAGGAAGUCUGUGGCAUUGUUGUCCUUUCGUGGGCGUGAUGCAGCUGGAUCCCUCGAAACUUGUCCUCUAGCUUGCAUACCUCUUGGCAGUACGCUGUCAUGAAAGGGCUCUUGCAGGAGGAUUCCUUCAUGACUUGGUUGACCACUAGCUUUGAGUCGCCGCGGACAUAGAGGCAUGUCACGCCGAGGUCGACGACAAUGUGUAACCCGUUGAUGAGGGCCUCGUACUCUGUGACAUUGUUCAAAGCCUUGAAAUGGAGACGGAUCACAUAGCGGAGCCCGUUCCCAUCUGGGGAGAUCAGGACCAAUCUAUCCCCUGAGCCCAAUGCCAUGACCAACCCAUUGAAGUACAUCAUCCAGUACUCAUGGGUAACAUCCGGGGUCGGGAUCUAGACCUCCGUCUGUUCGGCGAUGAAGUUGGCCAGGGCCUACGACUUGAUCACGAUGCGGGAGGCAUACUUGAUGUCAUGGCCUAUGAGCUUGAGCUCCCACUUGGAGAUCCACCCAUGGUGUCGCAGUUGUGGACGAUCUCCCCCAGCAGGUAUGAGGUGACGAUCGUGACCUUGUGGUUGGUGAAGUAGUGCAGAAGCUUCCGGGUUGCCAUCAGUACAGUGUACAGAAGCUUCUGGACCUGGGGGUAGCAGACUUUUGCAUCCGCAAGUACCUCACUGACGAAGUACACCAAUCGCUGGACCUUCAGCGCGUGUCCCGGCUCUUCCCUCUCGACGAUGAGGGUGGUGGUGACCACGUGGUUGCUUGCCGUAAUGUAGAGGAGGAGAGGUUCUUCCCAUUCGGGAGCGAUGAGGAUCGGGGCUGAAGUCAGCAAUACUUUGAGGCUAUCCAAAGCCCGUUAUGCCUCCUCCUUCCAGACGAACGUGUCUGUCUUCUUGAGGAGCUUGUAGAGAGGCAUCCCCCGUUCGCCUAGUCGGGAGAUGAACCAGCUUAGGGGGACCAAGCAACCAGUGAGCCUUUGCACGCCUUUGAUGUUGCGUAUGGGGAUAAUGUUGGUGACGGCUGUGAUCUUUUCGGAGUUGACUUUGAUGCCACGCUCGGACACGAGGUAUCUGAGCAGCUUCCCCUUUGGAACACAAAAAAUACAUUUUUCGGGAUUCAAUUUGAUGCUAAACCUUCGGAGAUUCGUGAAUGUUGCGGCUAAGUUCACGAUCAGGUUGCUUGCUUGAGCCGUUUUUACUACUAUGUCGUCCAUGUAGACGGCAAUAGUAGGUUUUCGCCGCUCAACUUGGUCAGGUUGGUCGGACGAAUCGAUCUAGUCAGUGAAGCAUCGCUGCAUGCACCGUUGAUAGAUGGUGCCCACGUUCUUCAAACCGAACGGCAUGGUCACGUAACAAUAUGAACCAUACGGGGUGAUGAAGGAGGUUGCGACUUGAUCGGUCUCUUUCAUCAUGAUCUGGUGGUAGCCUGAGUAGGCAUCCAGAAAAGAGAGGAUUUUGCAUCCUAAGGUGGAGUCGACUAUCUGAUCCAUACGUGGUAAAGUAAAAUGAUCUUUGGGACACGCCUUGUUAAGGCUAGUAUAGUCAACACACAUUCUGCAUUUCCAAUUCUUCUUUUUUACAAGAAUAGGAUUAGCGAGCCAGUCGAAGUAGAAUACCUUCUUGAUGAAGCUGACUGCCUGCGAUCUCCUCGCCUAUGGCCCUGCGUCUCUCGUCGUCAAAGCGGCGUAGGCGUUGCUCGACGGGCUUCGAGCAUGGGGUGAUGUGUAGUGUGUGCUUGGAGACCUCCCUCGGUAUGCCCGGUAUGUCAGAAGGCUUCCAUGCAAAGAUGUCCUGGUUCGUGCGCAGGAAGUCGGCGAGCUCACCUUCCUAUUUGGUCGGGAGCUUGGUCCCAAUCGGCACCAUCUUGGUUGGGUCGUUAGGUUUGACUUCCACCGCCUUGGUCUCCUUGGUCGGAUGGAAGGCACUCGUGGAGGUUGGCUCGUUGUAGUCGGGGAUGGCCAGUGCGGCCGCGUUCCCGAGCUUUGGGAGCUUGGCGGAGUUGACGAUGUCGGUGGCGAGCUCAUAGUGCUCGUGGUGGCACGUGCAGGCGUGCGAGAAGGUGCUACCCAUGGUGAUC
rnacentral:lncRNA from 1 species